rnacentral:lncRNA from 1 species
CGGAGGAGCGGGCGCGGGUGGUGCUGCGCGUGUUGCCUGUGGCUGACGCUGGUGUUGGUGGGGCUGGUGUUCCUUGGAGCAAUCGCGUUGGGGGUGUUCUACGUGAUUUACCACCCGGAGCUUCCGACCUUCGCCGUGACGUCGCUCCGUCUGGCGGCGCUGAACGUCUCGGACUCCGACUCCGUCACCUCCCGCAUCGAGUUCACGGUGACCGCGCGCAACCCCAACGAGAAGAUCGCGUUCGUGUACGGCGACAUCGGGGCUGCCUUCGCGGCCGACGGCACGGACAUCGGGGACGGCACCGUGCCGGGUUUCGUCCAUCCAAGUCGCAACACGACGGUCAUCAAGGGGGCGGCUUCGGCGGCCGCCGCGACGGUGGACCCUGUGCAGGCGGCCAGUCUCAGAUCCAAGAAGUCUCACGCGAUGUCAGUGGAGAUGGACUCCAAGGUGGGGUUCCAGAUCGGGAAGUUCAAGUCGAAGCGCAUCAACGUCCGUGUGCUGUGCAGCGGCUUCAGCGCGGGGCUGGCCAAGCCGGCGCCCUCCCCGGCGCCGAUCAUCGUGGCCGCGGCGCCUGCACCCACCCGGUCUAAGAUCAGGCUGUCGUCGUCUUCCUCCGGAGGCGGCGGGGCGGCGACGACGGACGCAAAGUGUAAGCUGCGCGUCAAGAUCUGGAUUUGGACGUUUUGAUGCAUUUGUGGGUAGGGAGAGGAGGGAUUUUUCUUGGUUUGGUUUAACCUUUUUCACACUGUAUGUGGAUUUAUUGGAGUAUAGUUUAUAUGAUUCUAUCUUCCUCCUGGUUGCUGCUUGCUACUCUCAUCCAUCCAUCCUUUUGUCACAAGCUAAGUAGGCCGCAUAGAUCUAUGCUAUGCUACAGAUGGGCAUAAUUCUGCAAGAACGGUACGUACUAGUGACCACACCACACCACACCACAGUGAAACCGGCAGCUGAGAAGAAAUGGAAGGAGGCGAACUGCAGUAGGCGAGCGAUUCGGCGCACGCGCGUCGGUGGCGUCAACACAAGCUAUCUCCAGCUCGAUUUCCUUUUCGGUUUCUCUCCCUCCCGUUUCCUCAAUCUAUCUUCUCCUCUCAUCCGGGGCACAGCUGUACCAUGGCUGGCAGCCGACGCCGACGCCGACGUGCGGGCCCAUCGGUUUCCGGGACAGCAUGUAAGUGAACUGUGGAUAGGCGGCUGGGCCUGGAAAGAAAAGAAAAGAAAAUGCCGUUGAGUUGUGCGUGGCGAGGCGGUAUGACGUGUGUCGGGGAAAGGAUGAGGGAGAGAGAAAGGGUGGACGUCACUCUCGCUCCAGUCCAGUGGCUCGGCUCGGCUCUCCGAGUCCUAGGUGAACAGUGACCGCCGCUGAGUGCUCGUAGUGGCGGUACAAUCUUCUUUUUUAGUGGACGUGGCGGUACAAUCCGAGAGUGAAGAGAUCAUUUUUUUGUUUCGAGAAUGGAGAGAAGGGACGGAUGAUUAGUCAGUGAGAAUUGCUAAGCGCAGUGGAGCACGUGAGGUGUCAAGGUUGGGUACGCGACCACACACAGAUUUGCUAAGCCACAUGACUCGCAUACGCCAUACAUAACGGUCACAUAAUCAUCUCUCUAGUUUCCUAAACUUGGAACGCGUCAUUCCCACGAGGUGACUGCUUAAAAUCAGCACGGUUUUAUGCAACGGAACAAGCGGGAAGAUUGUAUGGCAUGUGCAGUACUCCCUCCUUUCAUUACUACCAAUAUAAGAUGUUCUGUUUUUUCUUCUUUUAAUCAGAUGUUUAUAGUUUGUUUGCUCAUUCAUUUUAAUUUCUAUGUAGUUCAUAUUGAAAUAUUCUAAACAUCUUAUCUACAUCUAAACCUACUAAUAAAAGAAAUUGGUUUUUUAGUCUGUCCUAUUAUUUUAUAGGAAACCUUCGAUGUUUUUAACAUUUAAUCCGUAAUACAUAUCAAUUGUUUUUACAAUACUCAUAUCUUUUAAACUGUAACUUCAAAUUUAACAUGUUAUAUAUGAAAUUUUCAUAGAAAAACAUGUAGAAUAUAAAAAUAAUGUUAUUUUACCUAUUAACCAUUUAAAAUACUAUCUAGGGUGCAAUAUUAAUUAAUAAUGCAUUAUUCGUCUUUCUUUUAUAUGGAUACUUAUUCGGAUUGGGGAUAAACAUCUCAGCAACAUCAAGAUUGAAGACGAAAUUAAAGAUCACUUGCUCGUUCUUUUUACGUAUUAAAUCUACAUGCAAGCCGUGUUGAACUAGAAAACCUGUGGAAUUUUGAACUGUCCUUUUUCUAGGUUAAGACCAUCUUUGUUUGAACCGUAGCUACAAAUUCUCAGAUUAUAGAUACUUUUUCUAAAUAAAGAGCAUGAGAUGAUUUUUUUCCUAUUGCAACGCACGAGCCCUUUUAUUAGUUAUUUGUAAUGGAGGUAGGAUUUGUUUGGGCUCUCCUAUCUUGAAUAUGCCAUGUAAUCUAGAGAAAAUAGCGAAAAGUCAUAUCGAGUGAGUUUCUUUUUCUGAGGGGAAAAAACCGCAUAUAUUAGACCAGAUACAAUCACUAUUAAAUAAAGGAACAAUAAGUGGAGGCACACUCGCCGACAAGACGAAAUCACCCUGCAAUCUGGCCAUCGAAGUUCUGGGGUAGAGAGAUUGUUCCUACGUCCGACUUUACAUGGGAAUCUCGUCACCGCUUGGUGCCGUUUUUUCGCGUUGCUUGCCCUCAUGGGGGUUGUCCAUUAGGGGUAGGGCCAUGGAUCUUCUAUCUAGGGUCCAUCUAGGGCUCCACACGGUCACUAAAGUCCCAGAGCUACUGAUGCAGUCUAAGUCUCACUCGGACACACAGAGUCAUUCGGACCAUCUUCGAUCAGUCGGACAUUCAUCAAAACUCGGACUAAGAUGAAGCGCAGACGUUGAAAGGACCGCAAUGACCAGAGACUUAAUCUCGCACAUAAAGCUGAGAGCACAAUUGCUCCCUAAGGUGGUUUUGAUAAUUGAUCACAACAUAUGCAUCAUUGGACUAAUGAGCUUACCCAAGUAUAUUUUUAGAAAAUUUCGAAGAUGCCUUGGCUAAAGGAUUAUGAGGAGAAACCCUUUGAGGAAGGAAGGAAUAGGAUUGGCUCAAGCUUCAAGCAAGAGGACUCUAUAUUUUAACACUUUGAGUCAAUAGGAAUGCUAAUACUAUUAAAAGGGGGUGAAGUAUUAUGAUGAAUUGGUUGCUCAAGUGCUUAGGGGUAGCCACCAAAAAUAUUAACUCAUUCUCCCACAAAAUCUCUCUCUCCAAAGCUAAACUAGCAAAAUCAGUGCCACCAAUAUUUUCCACUUGGCCCUACCGAUUUUCCACCACACAAAUCCUUUGCCAAACCCUAAUCUCUCGGUACCAGCAACUUUCAUAUCGGUGCCACCGAGAUUCAGUGAUCAACUUUCUGUUCAGAAAAUUCCAAGAAUCUGAAUUUCUGAGAUUGGAAUCUGUCUCACCGAGAUUUGGAAACUGGUCUAGGUCAUCGUAUCGGUACCACCGAGAUUUAUAUAUCAGUCUCAUCGAAAAUUCAAAUUUGCCACAUUUAGUGCAACUCGGUACCACCAAGAUUAUUUUCGGUGUCACCGAGUUGGGCAAUAAUGUUGUAACGGUUGGAUUUUGGGAGAUAACUAUAUAUACCCCAUCCACCUCCUCUCAUUCGCAGAGGAAGCACUCAGAACACCCACCCACUUGCGAGAUCCAUAUUUCUGAGAGAGAGCCACCUACUCAUGUGUUGAGAUUAACAGAUUCCAAUCCAACCAUUUGAAACUUGAUCUCUAGCUUCCCCAAGUUGCUUUCACAAGAUCAAUCUCUCCUACCCCUGCCAAAUCUGUGAGAGAGUGAUUGAGUGUUGAGGAGACCAUCUUUUGAAGCACAAGAGCUAGGAGUUCAUCGUUAUCCCACAUCUAUUACAUUUUGGGGGGGUGGUGGCUCCUAGAUUGGUUAGGUGUUGCUUGGGAGCCUCCUACUUCGUGUUGUGAAGUUGAACCAAGAAGUUUGUAAGGGCAAGGAGAUCGCCUACUUCGUGAAGAUCUAUCGUGAGUGAGACUAGUCCUGUGUGGACGGAAGGCAUGGUGGAAUAGACAAGGUCGCUUCUUCGUGGACCCCUUGUGGGUGGACCCCUCGGUGCACUCUCGCUGCCGUUACCCUCCGUGGGUUGAAGUCUCCACUAACGUGGACGUACGAUAGCACCACCUAUCGGAACCAUGCCAAAAAUCACCAUGUCAACCUUUGCGUUUGAUCUCCCUACCUUACCCUCUACAUUACAUUUGCAUAUCUUUACUUUCCGCUGCUAUACUCUUAGAUAUGCAUGUGUAGGGUGAACUUGACUAGUCAUAAUUGCUAAAACUGGCCCACAACUAAAUUGGGAAGGCUAAGUUUUUAUCUUGUCAAGUGGUCUAAUCACCCCCCUUCUAGACAUACUUUCGAUUCUACAAGUGGUAUCAAAGCUUUUGUCUCCAUUGCAUUGGUUUCACAAUCUAGGAGAGUGGCGUAUAGUGAGGGAAUUAUCACCGUAGAGGUCCAUAUUUCAAUGGUACAAACUUCGCUAGUUGGAAGCAUACGAUGAAAAUGCAUAUUCUUGGUCAUAAUCCUGCCGUUUGGGAUGUUGUUCAUGUUGGUGUGCAAGGUGAUUUCUUCAGAGAAGGAAGAGAAAUGGACCAUGAUGCGACAACGGAUGAGUUGAAGAUGUUGCAAUACAAUGCUCAAGCCCGUGACAUCCUGUUCGACUGUUUGUGCCCCGAAUAAUUCACCAAAAUCAGCCGCCUUGAGAAUGCAAAGGAAAUUUGGGAUAUCUUGAUUGAUGGGGGAAAAAACUUUUUCUUGAUUGAUAUGCUCAAACAUCCAAGAGUAACAAGAAGGCCCUCCCCACACUUCCACCAAGAAAAAGUUGUUCCGCCCAUGAAUCCCCCGCGGAUCUUGUUACUCUUGGGUGUUUGAGCACCCUAGAUGGAAGACGUCACCUCGAAGCCACAUUCCAUUGUGGUGAAGCUUUGUGGUCUUGUUGGGAGCCUCCAGUUAAGUUAUGCAGAUUGCCCCAUCCUUGUUUGUAAAGGUUCGGUCGUCGCCUUCAAGGGCAGCACUUAGUGGAAUCAUGGCACCUCGCAUUGUGUGAGGGGGUGAGGAGAACACGGUGGCCUUAGUGGCAUCUUGGGGAGUAUUGUGCCUCCACACCGCUCUAACGGAGACGUACUUCCCCUCAAAGGGAAGGAACUUCAGAAACACAUCCUCGUCUUCAUCGGUUCCACUUGUGGUUAUUUCUUACCUUUACUUGGAUUUACUUCUUGCUUAUUAUAGUUGUUGUUAGCAUCAUAUAUGUUGCUCACUUAGUUGCAUAUCUAGACAACCUAUUUGUUGCUAAAUCUAAUUUGUUUAAAGAAAAGCUUAAAAUUUCUUAGUUGCCUAUUCACCCCCUCUUGUCAACCAUACAGGUCCUUUCAAUUGGUAUCAGAGCCUCGUCUCUUUAUUAAGGGUUUCACCACCCAAAGAGUAUGGUUGACGAUGGGGACCAGGCUGGGGAGGUGCCAGAGGGAGCUGCUGCAAACUCAGUCACCAGAGAGGAAUUAAAUCAUGUCAUGUCCACAUUUAAAUCCUUAGUGGCUAUUGAAGUCAAGAACAUGCUUAAGGAUUUCCUUGAUAUUUACAAACCGCCUACCGAACUGUUGUUGGUGGCUAAUCCCACAAUUUCGGAUACGAGGGGCAAUGAAGAAAAGGAAAAUGCUGGUAGUGAAAAGGAUAAAAUGCCUCAAGGAACGAGUGCGACAAAUGCCUUUGCCUCAGUUCCUCCUCCCAUGGUCUAUGGAGGACCGGUCCACCCACCGCAUAUUAUUAAUCUAGGUCCUCCACCAAAGCUUGUUAAGAAUGAUUUUGCUAACUGGGUUUUUUGUAUCAAGUCUCAUUUUAAACACAACUCAACACAACUUUGGAGAAUCAUUGAGUAGGGGUACUACCCGCAUGAUACAAGAAAUCUCAUGUCAAGAGAAGAGGCCGACAAUCAGCUCAAUCACUCCGCCUUGUUCAUUCUUCAAGCGGUCGUACCUGUUGAAUACCUUCCUCACUUGCGUCCCUUCACUCGUGCCAAAGAUUGUUGGGAGCACAUCAUCUCCAUGUAUAAGGGAAGCUCUAGCAUUUAACGGUCCAACUAUGAAGUGGUUCUUGAUUAGGCCGAUGAAUUUGCUAUGAUCGAGGAUGAGGACCCUCGUGAGCUAUAUCGAAGAGUUACAACUCUUGCUGUUGCUCUUCAGGAUCAUGGAAGUAAAGAUGUGGAUGCCACUUGGAUGAAUCGUAACUUUCUCAAGGCCAUCAUGCCUUUCAACAAGUCCAUGUUCUCCGUCAUCUGUCAAAGUUCGGACUUUCAUUCCUUGUCCUCAAGCGAUGUGUUGGAUGAGUUUAUUGCCAUGAACAUUUUGAACAAGACCGUUGAAAAUGCUCUAAUCCGAGUUCAACGGUCAAGGAAAGACUCCCCCAACCUUGCUUUGAAGGCCAAGGUUGCUUUGGAGGAAGAUGAGGAAGACAAAGAAGAAACUUGUCCUGAAGACACCAAGUAUUCUUACCAGGAGCACAUGGCUCUUGCAUCAAGGUAGUUUUGGGGCGACAAGAAAAACUCAAGGCCCAACUUCUCUAAGAACAACUCAAAUGGGUCCAAGGUAAAGCAACGCGUGAGAACUUGUUACAAUUAUGGCCAUGUGAGUCAUUUUUUGGCGGAUUGUCCCUAUGAGCAGAGGGAAGACAAUGGUGGCAACCUCAUUCGUAAAGACAAGACCAAGUCCUUCCCAAACAAGAAGAACUUCCCCAAAAAGAUGCCCCAAAAGGUGUUGGUGGCUCAAGAAGAGUACCUCUCCGACGAGGAUGAUGACGACGAGCAAGUGGUGAAGCAAUGGGAAUGGCCACUAUGGCCAUUGCAUCCUCUUCUCCAAGCAAGGCGUUUCUCUUCAAGGCCCCCAACGAGAACCGCAUUGCCAUGUGCCUGAUGGCCAAGCCAUCCAACAAGGUAACCUCUAACACUCAAACUACCAACAUCAAAGCUACCAUUUCCACUACCAUGGAUAGCGGAGAUGAAAAGGAAGAGCUAGAGGAGGAGGAAAACUCCUUUCGUAAAUUCAUGAGAAAACUCAAGGGUAAAUCCAAGAAGCAUUUUGUUGCUCUCUUGGAACAACUCAGAGAGGCUAAUGACCUCACUGAAUCUCAUGAAGAUACUAUCUCUACAUUACAAGCUCAUAGUCGUGACUAUGCCAAUGAGAUUGCGGAUUUUUCCAUUGCUCUUGAAAAAGAGCAAGGACUUCGUUUGACUCUUGAGGAGUCACAUAAUGAUGACCUUGCUAAGUUAAAGAAAGAUCUUGAUCAUGCUCUUGCUCUUACCCGCGUGCUUCAAUCCGAAAAGAGUGCACUUGGGCUUGAUCAUGUUAGACUCAAGAAAGAGCUUGCAAAACUUGACAAGGCUCACAAGGCCUUGAAGAGUGCUCAUGUCUCUUUAAAAGAGUCUCAUGCUCAAUUCCAAGUAAAACUCACUAAGGAAAUAGCCGCUUGCUCUCCGUUUGUUUUAAUUGAUAAUGUCCAUGCUACUAACCCCUGUUAUGAGCAUGCUCAUCUUGUGGAGAAGAAUUUCAAAUUAAAAGAGCACCUUGAGAAAGUCCUUGUGACAUGCAUCCAAGGUGAAAAGACUCAUAAUGACCUUUUGAGCAUUCAAAAGUAGUGGUUGCAAUGGAAGGAGAUGGGUUUGCACCCAAGUCCAAGAAGAACAACAUGAUGAAGAAGAUCAGGCAACCCUCCCAGCUUAUGGAAACCUUUGUUAAAUCUGGGGAGGGUACUCAUGAGAAGGACAAGGACCAAAAUAAGCGUGCUAAUGCCAUGAAGGGCAAUACCCCUCUGCCCAACACACCUCGUGAUGUUAACCCCUCUUAUGUUUUGUGUCAUGCGAGUGAUAGGAAUGUUUUUGCUAAGUUUGUUGGUUCCUAUGAUGAGUACAUUGAAUGGUCUAUUUGGGUUUCUAAGACCCUUGUUACUAACCUCAAAGGACCCAUUAAAAAAAUGGGUACCUAAAUCCAAGCAUUGAUCUUAUGUAGGAGUUUCCUUCUGGUGGGGUGUCCUGGUUGCUUGAUAGUGGAGCAACAAAUCAUAUGACCGGUAGCAAGGACUUUGUGGUGGACGUUCAUACCGAAACAUCUAUUCCCACCAAGUCUCCUUUGGUGAUGAUGUGAUUUCAAAGGUAUUGGGUCUCGGCAAGGUGGUAAUUUCUACGGAACUUACCAUUGAAAAGGUUAUGCUUGUUGAGACCCUCGCAUACAAUUUACUUUCCAUUCAUCGACUUGCACUUAUGGGCUUUAGUACUUUCUUUGGCAUUGACUAUGUGGCCCUUUUGUGGCGCAAGACUCUUGAAGUAGCCUUUGUUGGACAUAUCGAGAACAGUCUCUAUGUGGUUAACUUUUCGGAGCGACCCACUAAGACCGCGACUUGCCUAAUGGCUAAAGUUGAUGUGGGGUUGCUUUGGCAUCGCUGGCUAGCCCAUGUCAAUAUGAGAUCUUUGCAAAGUCUCCUCAAAGAGGAUCACGUUCUCGGACUAACAAAUGUGAGUUUCGCGGGAGAUCGUGCUUGCAGUGUGUGUAUUAUUGGAAAGAUUCAUGAGAUAGCUCACCGCCCCACGACUAUCAUCUACACAAAAGGACCUUGGAGCUCCUCCACAUUGAUCUCUUUGGACGUCCAUCCUAUGAUAGUCUUGGGGGGGGGGAGAAAGUAUUGCUUCGUCAUAUUGGAUGAUUACUCAAGAUAUACGUGCGUAUACUUUUUCAAGAAAAAGAGUGAGACUCAACAAACUGUCAUCGACUUUGCUAAUGAAGCUCAACGCCAACAUAAUGCAAAGAUAUUGAUGAUUAGAAGUGACAAUGGUACCGAGUUCAAGAACUACACCCUAACUGAAUUUCUGAGUGAUGAAGGAAUCAAGCAUCAAUAUUCUACACCUUACACUCCUCAACAAAAUGGUGUGGCAGAAAGGAAGAACCGGACGUUGAUGGAUGCGGCAUGAACCAUGAUGGCGGAAUAUAAAUCUCCGUAUAACUUUUGGGCUGAAUCCAUCAACACCACAUGUCAUGCAUCCAAUCGCCCCUACGUCAUGCAUCCAAUCGCCCCUACCUUCGCAAAGGCUUGAACAAGACUCCAUAUGAAAAUUCUUAAUGGCAACAAGCCCAACCUCAAGUACUUCCGGGUGUUUGGCUGUAAGUGUUUCAUUCUUAAGAAAGGUCCUCGAUUGUCUAAAUUUGAAGCUAGAUCUCAAGAGGGCAUAUUUGUUGGUUAUGCUACAAACUCUUGCGCUUACCUUGUCCUCAAUAAGUCCUCAUGACUCAUUGAAAAGACGUGUAACAUGGAGUUUGAUGAGAAUAAUGGCUACCAAGUGGAGCAAAGUGGUCUUUGUGAUGUAGGUGACGAAAUUUCUCCCCAAGCCAUAAGAAGAAUGGGUGUGGGACACUUCCUGCCCGUGAAGGAACCCCUUGUGUCUGAAGGAGAAGGACAAUGUUCCACUCAUGUGGAACUAUCACACACGCUUUCGAAGAACGCUGUGAAGGCCCUCAUCCCCGUGAUCCCGAUGAAGGAAAAUAUCAACCUCAAGAUGGUCCUGCACCAAAUGAUGUCCUUGAUCCAGCUCACCCCUCCGAGGAUGCUCAAGAUCAAGAGGAGGCACCAAGUUCAAGAUCAAGAGCAAGUGCAAGAACAAACUCAAGCUCAAGAUCAAGGACAAACUCAAAUAGGCGGUAAAGGUCUCAAACAGGCUCCUCAGCUCACCCCUGAGGAGAUUCAAGAAAGACAUGCUGCCAAGACUGCCAAAACGCUCAAAAAUAAUUCUCAUGUGCUGCAGAAUGUCUACGGCAGCUUAUAGAGAGGGGUAACCACACGUCAUCAAUUAUCAAACUUUAGUGCCCAUCAUGCGUUUGUUUCUUGCAUUGAACCACGAAAGGUACAAGAGGCUCUUGGAGACAUGGAUUGGGUUGAAGACAUGCAUGAAGAACUCAACAACUUCGAGCACAACAAAGUGUGGCGACCGGUGCCGAGACCAAAGGAGAACCACAAUGCCAUUGGGCCAAACUGGAUCUUUAAGAACAAGCAAGAUGUGAAUGGUGCCGUCACUCGGAACAAGGCAAGAUUGGUAGCACAAGGCUACUCCCAAGUCGAGGGUAUCAACUACGGUGAAACCUUUGCUCCUGUCGCUCACCUUGAAUCUAUUCGCAUGUUGCUUGCAUUUGCUUCUCAUCAUAACUUAAAAUUAUAACAAAUGGAUGUGCAGUGUGCAUUUCUUAAUGGUCCCCUUAAGGAGUUGGUUUAUGUCAAACAAUCCCCGAGGUUUGAGGAUCCCAAGUUCCCUAAUCAUGUGUAUGUUCUUGAUAAGGCACUCUAUGGCCUUAAACAAGCCCCACGUGCGCGGUAUGAGCACCUUACGGAGAUGUUACAUGACCGUGGUUUUGAAGUUGGGAAAAUUGAUCCCACUCUUUUUACUAAGAAGGUCAAGGGGAGUUUGUUCAUAUGCCAACUAUAUGUUGAUGAUAUUAUCUUUGGUUCCCCUAACAAAGCUUUUAAUGAAGAAUUUGUUGCUCUAAUGACUAAAGAGUUUGAGAUGUCUAUGAUAGGAGAUUUGAAGUUUUUUCCUUGGGUUCGAAGUCAAGGAACCUUCAUCAAUCAAGCCAAAUACACUCAAGACAUGCUCAAAAGGUUCAAGAUGGAUGAUCUCAAACUAGCCAAGGCCAACACUCUCAUGCCUCUCAACUGCCAUCUUGACCUCGAUACGAAUGGUAAAGGUGUGGAUCAAAAGGUAUAUCGCUCUAUGAUUGGCUCUCUUCUUUACCUUUGUGAAUCUAGACCGGAUAUUAUGUUGAGUGUCGGAAUUUGUGCACAAUUUAAAUCUGCACCUAAGAAAAGUCACUAUGUGGCGGUCAAGCGAAUCUUUCGAUAUUUCGCUCAUACCCCAAACUUUGGCUUAUCGUAUCCCAAAGGGGCUUCAUUUGAUCUCAUAGGAUAUUCGGAUUCGGAUUGAACGGGACACCGUGUGGAUAGGAAGUCAACUUCCGGAGAUUGCCAAUUCCUUGGUCGCUCUCUGGUAAGUUGGUCUUCCAAGAAACAAAUUUGCAUUUCUCUCUCGUCCAUCGAGACUGAAUAUGUUGCUGCUGCAAGGUGUGCUCAGUUGCUUUGGAUGAGGAGAACUUUAAAGGAUUACGGUGUCACUUGUGACAAAAUGCCUCUUUAUUGUGAUAAUAUUAGUGCUAUCUCAAUAUCCAACAACCCGAUUCAACAUUGCAAGGCGAAGCACAUCAGUAUUCGUCACCACUUCAUUCGGGAGCAUAUCAAGCGCGGGGAGAUUGACCUCAUUUACCUCAACACUAAUGAUCAACUUGCAGAUAUCUUCAUGAAGCCUUUAAAUGAAGCAAGAUUUCGUGAGUUAAGGCAUGAGCUGAAUAUCAUUGAUUUGAGCAAUGUGGAUUGAAAUUAGGCACACCCCACCACUCUCAUCAUUUUGUUUUGUGUAGAUGUAGGCAUGAAUUUAGGGGGAGUGUUGUUCUCUUAAUGAACUCUCCCUCCCCCUAUUAUGCAUAAAUCGAUCAAUUAUUUCACAUUAGUCACUCAUGUGAUACAUGUGCUUCAAAGACGAAUUUUGGUCAUGGGUCCAAGCUUAAAAUCUUCACGGUGCCAUACCAACUGACUCAAACAUAGGUGGCCUCGGCCACCGCCCCUCUUCCACACAAGUUCUUUCCAUUAAUUGCAUGAACGGUCACUCCACAAUGGGCUCUACUUCUCAUUUUGCAUUCUUUUAAAAGUGGAGUACCUUCUUUAUUUUUGUGCCUUUAUUCUCUCCUCUGCAUGGUCAAAUAGAUCCCCAUCUUUUAAGGUGCCUGUUGCUUGGGUCAUAGGUGGUACUACCGUACUGAUCGGUGGUACUACCACUCCAGCGGUACUACCAUGCUCAUGGGCGGUACUACCGCCUCGGGGAAUUUAUGGGGUGUUAAGAUUGGGGUAGGGGGAGUUCUAACUCCCCCAUACCCAUUCCCUCCCUAUCCCCAUGCCUCUCCCUCUCUGUGGCGGCCAGGAACAUCACCAGAGGCCGGCUCCGGAUUCCUCUAUCCGUGCCGCCCUCCACUUUUUCAUCCGGAGGGAUCUCCCCCCUCAUCUCCCUCGUGCCAUGGAACCCGAUACUGCCCUGGAUCCCCAUCUCUCUCGUGGUAUUUUUGUUGGAUCUUGAUCUAGGGCAAUGCGUGUGUAUUCCUUGUUUAGUUUGUUUUUCCAUGGCCUGCGUAGGAUGUCUAGAUGAUCUUGUGUUGCAAUAAUUUUGGUACUUGCACUAGAGAUUUGUCGGAUGGAGAGAUCCGACACUGCCGCAUCCAUUGACAAUAGUUGCCCAGGACGGUACUACCGCUCAUGCAUGACCGAUACUACCGCUUCGGUGGAAGUACCGCUCUUGCACAACGGUACUACCGCUGCAGCAGAAGUACCGCUCUUGCACAUCGGUACUACCUCCCUGGCACGUGCACCCCUUUUCUUUCCUCCAUCCGCCGAUCCCUGUAUGGUUUCCUAUUUUACUUUUGGAGUCAGUUUAUACUUGUUUUCUUGUCAUUCUCCUUGUGAGUACCACGUGAUGGCUCUGGUCCUAUGACUUGUCGCAUGAACCCCAAGCAUGGCUCCAAGCACCCACGUGCAUCUGAGGAGGUAGCUGCUAAUUCGAGUGCGCAACCACAAAAGCAGCAUGUGAGGAGGACAGGUACUAAGAAGAAGGCCCCCAAAGAACCCCAAGAGUUGCCUCAAGAAGAGUUUGCUGUGUUGUGCAAGCAUAAUCCCUAUUUUCUGCCUCAGGAUGAAUCUCUUACAUGGCAUCCAUAUUGGAAGAAGGAUGUCAAGAGCAAUGAUAUGGGGCACAUGAUCUCUAAUCCCCAUACUUCUUAUUUUGCUGAAGCUUAUGCUCUCUAUGAGAAGUGGCGUCUUGGUCCUAUCAUCAAUUUCAAGAAGGACAUUGAAAGCAAGAUUGUGGCUCAAUUCUAUGCCACUAUUCCCUUCCAUGACGGUGAUGAAAGGCGCUUGACCUGGAUGACUGGUGCCCGUGUGUUACACUCUGAUUGGAAGACGUUUAUGAACUCUCUGGGCAUUGCUGACACGGGACUGGAUGAGCCCAUUGGCCCGAGGCCUCACACUGAGGGUAUUCCUACUAUUCACAAGUCCAAGCUCAUUCGUUACUCGAGGAUUGUGAAGACUGCCAAGGGUGACCGUACCGAGCUCAUGCCUUUUCUGGACAUCAUGCACAAGAUCUUUCGCAACUCUUUGUUUCCUCGUGUUGGGAACAAGGACCGGGUGCACUCCUGUCUUGUCAAUCUCCUUCUUUUCUGCCAGAAGGAGCGAGACCGCCAGUCCAAAUUGGAUGUUUCCCACAUUAUGUGGAUGGAGUUGAGGUCUGCUGUGUUUGACAAAAAGAAGGUGCACAUUUAUGCUCCGUAUGAGUUCAAGCUGAUUGAGGACACCUGGAAUGCUACCUUCCCUACUGAGCUAUUGGCUACCGAUCACAUGGUCACUCAUGGUCUGCUCAAGCUCCGUCUGAAGGACAAUUGGGGCAUUCCACGUGUUGUUCCAGAGAUUGCUGCUACUGACUCGGCUGGCGAUCAUGAGCCCGAUUAUGAGUUUGUUCCCGGAUAUGAUUCUAAACCUUCUUAGGCCUCAAAGCUUAGGAAGAAUAUGAAGGCUCUUUUGUGCUUCCAGGCGAAGGGUCAGUACAAGGCACAUGUCGAUGCCAAGAAAGCGCGCAGCCGUGACAAGAUGAUCAUGCGAAAGAUUGGACUUGAUGUCCAAAGCGCUUCAGAAGACAAGAUCACUGAUGAUGAGGACUGGAUAAAGGCCAACUGCCAGUGGACGGAGUCUAAGGAUGAGGUGUGUGGUGAGGAGGAGGUGUGGGCUGAGGAGGCGUGUGCUGCUUCAGAUGAGACCGAGAGAGAUGACAACGAGGACUACUAAGCUUCUCCCGUCUCUUCUUUUUGGUGUAUCAAUGCCAAAGGGGGAGAAAGUAUCUUAGUUUAAGAUGGAUUUGCCUUGCUGAGUCAUGAGUGUGUUUAUUUGCAUUUGUUUUCUCUAUCUCGUGAACUCGUUUAUUGCUUGCUAUGGUUUGCAUUUGCCCAAGACUUGUGUGAACUUAUGUGUGGUGUAAGACAUAUGCUACCCCAUCUAUCAUGUUAUGUCUUUGCCGCUGUGAUAUGCUUGCUUAUCUAUUUUACUCUAUUCCGUUCACGCAAGUAUAUAGCCUUGUCUAUAAAAUAUAGGGGGAGUAUUGAUCCUGGUGUGUGCUCUUCGCAUUCCAUAAGCAUAUUCAAAUAGAACACACGUCUAUAUUUUGUAUGUUUUGGGAUUGUCUAAGACUUCUUAGUUCAGUUUUUGGCAAAUCCCGUAUUGUCAUAAACCCACCAAAAAGGGGGAGAUUGUAAGAGCACAAUUUCUCGUAAGUUAUUUUGGUUGUUGAUGACAAUACCCUUUGCGGAAUAAUCGUGUGCGAUAUGCUUUCAGAGAAUUAUCAGGUGGCACAAGACAAUUAUACCCCCCUAGUAAGUGAAAGUGAAGACAAUGCUUAUCUAUUGAUUUAGGGUUGCUGGACUCAAGUCAUAGAUAAUCCCGUACUAUUAAGAGGGGAUCCGCGUUUGAAAAAAUUGGGUGGAACACUAUCUCUCAUUCUUGCUCCCCAUCCCUUUUUUGGAGCAAAGGAGUUGCCCUGCUAUAGUGCCCAUGAAUUUACAGAAGCGGUAGUACCACCCUCGUGAGCGAUAGUACCGAUCCAGUGGUAGUACCGCCCUCGUGAGCAGUAGUACCACUCCAGCGGUACUACCGCCCACCAGAGCCGGUCCCUCUUCCGCUUGUUUUUCUUUUCUGGUGUCGGGGGGCCUUUUUAUAUGGUGGAGCAGAAGUACCGCCCAGGGGGAGCGGUAGUACCGCUCUAGCGGUACUACCGCCCCAUUCUGUUGCGCCCACUUCCACUUAAUAUUUCUCUCUGGCUUCCUACCUCCCCUCAUUCUGGAUGAGCGGAAGCACCGCCCCUACUGGAUGCCCAGCGGAAGUACCGCCCUGGUGCACGGUACUACUGCUUAGUUGGGCCAGUAAGGGGCUGGUAACGGCCAUAUUCGCCCCACUAUAAAUAGGAGUCUUCUUCCUCGAGGAGAGCUUACCUUUUCCCUCUCCAGCUCCAUUGCUGCUCCAAAAGCUCAAACUAGCCCGAUAUCCCUGCCUAGCAAUCAACUCUUGUUGAUUCUCUAGGGUUUGGAGGAGAAGGCCCUCCCCCACACUUCCACCAAGAUAAAAGUUGUUUCCCCCAUUAAUCUCUCACGGAUCUUGUUACUCUUGGAUUUUUUAGCACCCUAGACGGAAGAGGUCACCUCGAAGCCACAUUCCAUUGUGAUGAAGCUUAGUGGUCUUGUUGGGAGCCUCCAACUAAGUUGUGGAGAUCUCCCAACCUUGUUUGUAAAGGUUCGGUCGCGGCCUUCAAGGGCACGACUUAGUGAAAUCACGACACUCUGCAUUGUGUGAGGGCAUGAGGAGAAUACGGUGGCCUUAGUGGCAUCUUUGGGAGCAUUGUGCCUCCACAGCACUCCAAUGGAGACGUACUUCCUCUCAAAGGUAAGGAACUUCAGAAACACAUCCUCGACUUCAUCGGUUCGACUUGUGGUUAUUUCUUACCUUUACUUGUAUUUACUUCUUGCUUGUUAUAGUUGUUGUUAGCAUCAUAUAGGUUGCUCACUUAGUUGCAUAUCUAGACAACCUAUUUGUUGCUAAAUCUAAUUAGUUUAAAGAAAAGCUUAAAUUUUGAUAGUUGCCUAUUCACCCCCUCUAGUCAACCAUAUCGAUCCUUUCACCUUGGAUGGAAGAUACGACACCGUGUGCACAUUAAUUUAAAUGAUGCCAAACUACAAGGAUAUCAAGGCAACUGAAGUCAUUGGAAGGAUUGUUGUUCAUGAAAUGUCACUCAAGGACAAAGAUGAGUUGCACAACAAGUCAAGCGGUGCUUACAAAGUUUCAAGUGAUGCCCCCGCUACUGCAAAUGAUAACCUUGUUACCAAUGAAGAGAUCAACCUCAUGGUCAUAAAAUCCAACAAGUUCUAAAAGAGUUGAAGCAAGGAGAGAAGCUCAAGUUCAAGAUAUGAUGAUAAGCGUUCAUCUAGUCAUGACCGAAACUGCUACAACUGUGGAAAGCCCGAACACUAUUCAAAUGAGUGCUCGGCUCCCCCACAAAAGAAGAAAGGAGUCACCUAGAAGACGAAGCUCAAGAUAUAAGUUAGCUCGCAGAGAGAGAAGGAGUAGAGAAGAUCAAUAUGAAGGAAGACAGCCUCGAAGAGGAAAGGAAUCAAAGAGGAAGGACAAGUACACCCACAUCAUCUCAAGAAGAAGACAUCAAGAUCUUGUUGGAUGGGUUUCCGGCUCCGAGUGUGACAACCAAUCUGAGAGAAGCUACCACUCCAACUCCGACUAUAGUCAAGAUGAAGGUGUUUCCAGUCUUGCACUGGUUUCCUCCAACUCCUAUGACUUAUUUGAUUCACCAAAUGAAGGGAUUGGAAACCGCUUCAUGGCAAAAGGCCUCAAGGUAUCACACCGUGAGUACUUUGACUUUGAUAGUGAUGAGGAUGACUUGUUAGAAGAUGAUGACUUGCUCCUUGAUAAGACUAGUGAUAACAUUGAAAAUGAACUUGAAAGUAAUCUUGCUAGUCAAGAGAAAUCAAAUGAUGAUGAUAAGAAAGAGAUUGAACGAAAAAUUAAAUAAUUAAACACUUUUAAGUUAGCUCAUGAAACUACUCUAGAAGAUCAUAAAGAUCUUGCAAGAACUCAUGAGAAGCUAUGCUUCGAGAAGCUAAAAUGAGAGCAAGAGCAUGAGUUUAUAAAAGCAAUCAAUGACGAUCUUUGAAAGAAGAGUUCUUAUCUAGACAAGCGAUUACUCUUGUGUACUUUUGUUCCACAAGUUGAACCUAAGAACACUAGUAACAAAGGCAAGAAAGUUUCUUCAUCUAGUUACAACAAUGCUAAAGUUAGUUCAAAUGAUGUUGUUGCUAGUAGCUCUCUUGAUUCCACUAAUGAUUAUCUUAGCCAAGUUACACUUGAGCAAGAAAACGAUUUAUUGAAAGGAAUUAUAUUGAUAGAGGUGUCUUCAAGAGUCUUGCCGGAAGUAAGCAAUUCGAGGAAAUUGUGCGCAAGCAAGGUGGACAUCGGAAGAAGCAAGGUGUUGGCUACUUCAAUGCCAACAGAGAUGUUUGCGAAGAAGGUCCAUAUCCCAUCCCGAAGUUCGUUCCUCAAGAGGAAAAGUACGAUCCUACUCUUCCCAAGGGAACAAGCUCUCAAGAUGACCUUCAACCACAAGGCACAAGGGCAAGGGAAAGCUUCAAGAGGAGAUUGACUCAUUUGAGGAAGAACCCCAAGCCAAGGUCGAGUGGAUUCCCAAGGACACUACUAGCACUACCUCAUCUAGUGCUACCACAACUCCAAGGAUCCCCAUCAAGUUGAUGUGGGUCCCCCAGAGGAAGAACUAGAAAGUUCUUGAGGGGUGAAUCCGCCAACGAAAUUCACUAUUAUUCAUUUUGGCAAGAACUAUAUGCAAUCAACUCCAACCAUAUGCAUUAGUUCAAGAAGUCACACAUUCCCACAAAGUUAACCAAAGGACAAGGUAACAAAUGCAUAUUUGGACAUCACCUCUCAUGUACUUCAUGCCAUGUGCAUAGAUAUUCUUGCAUAUGUUCCUUUUGCUUUGGGACUAACCCAUGUGGGUGAGAAGGGUAAUAAACAACGAGAAAUGCUCCCAACUCAAAGAUUAUCUUCAUCAACAAUGAGCACCCACAACUAUUUCACCUACUUGAAGUGUUCUACGACAAAACCCAAGGUUAGUUUAUCCCUCUUAGGGGAGAUGUCACAUCUAGGGGGAGCUUUACUCUAAGACUUGAGUAUAAGUGUCUCCUAAACGAUGUGAGCACUUUAAUGCUUUAUGUAAAAGUGGUAACCCUAGUUGUGCUUAAUCGGUGAGUAUAACCUAUGAUCAAGUAUUCUUACUUGGCUCCUGUCAUGGUUUUGUCACGACAGAUGUCCUCAUGAAUGGACUUAGAUGUGAGGCCAUCAUCGCAUUGUGGCGACUCAAAGGGGUUGAUUGGGGACGAGAGACACAUUUACCCAGGUUCGGCCACUCCAAUGGAGGUAAAAGCCUACAUCGUGCUUUUGUGUCUAUAUUGAUCAGGAUCUCGAUUACAAGGAUGCAUAAUCGUUAACCUAGCUCUCCAAAGUUUCUUACUUGAUCUUUCUGGAUCGAGGUCUCUCCUUUAUAUACAUGUAGAGGCCUCGAGUUUACAACCGAGUCCGGGUCAAAUAAACACCUGUGACUUACUAUAAUUCUAUCUUAUCUUACUUCCCAAGUUUAGGGAAACUCCUGGCGUCUUCUGCCUUCUGGGUCUUGAGUCGCCAUCUCGUGGUUUUGGGCCAUAUGGUGAUUUACUCGAAUAAUCUAUCGGCCCAUCUUCUUGUAUCUUCCUAUGAUUUGACCCGACCCUUUAAGGCAGGUUACAUCCUGGGGUUAUAUCCAUGACAUUAGGCCCCAGGUUGACUUGAACUUGUUCACGACAAGCUAUCCUAAUCAAAUAAUGAGCUGACCAUCCUUGCCUUUUAUCUCCUUCUUAGUUUCUUAAAUAUGUCGGCUCAUAGCUCUCGUUGUCUUAGCUAUCUUUCCUUCGUUGUGUUUCCGUGACUUCACUCACCAGAAUUUAAUGUCGUGUGGUGUCAUGUAGACCAGUUCCUGCAUGCAUUCCUAUCCCGAAAACCGAGGCGUCAUGCCUUCAGGAUUUUACUACGGCUCCUCUAUUCCCGUGCUUUGCAGUUGUCACUUCAGACAUUAUAAAUAUAGGUGGAGGCUCCCUCUUCUUCAGUUUUACCCCCUUCUUUUCAUCUUCUUGUUCUUCCUCUGGUUUGAGCACCCAGUCGUGCCAUUGUUGUUGCUUGCCAUUCACAACUGCCUCGUGUUGCAGCCAUUCCCUGUCCUCUCCCUGGUUUAUUUCACACGUCUUUUGGCAUCUCCUCCAAUCGACAAAGGUAUGUUGUUUCUAUUCCUCUAUAAAUCUUCUCCUCAGUUAUCUUCAAAGUUCUUCGGAGAACCCGAGGGUGCCACAUGUGUUCAUCGCCAUUGUGGCUAUUUGCAUGCUUCGAAUCUUUAUAAACAUGUUAUUGAACACAUUGGCUUCUUAUUCCUGCAUAGGAGGCUCAUAUCCUUUCUUAAGAACUUGCCACACAAACCACUGCCAUUUCCAUGUUCUAGGCUCAGUAAUUAUUUUUUUCCUUUCACAACCUUUUUCAGAUCCGUAGUUGUAGCAAUUUUGAUAGGAAACUGUUUCUCGUGUACUCAAGAGAAUCAGAAAGAAACUUUGUCUUGUCUAAGGUGCCUUUUAUUGUGGAUGUCUUGUAUAAAUGAUCUUAACGCGCCAUAUCUAAAUAUUGCUGGUUUUUGGGAACCGACUCAUGUUUUUGGCGACUCUAUUAUUAAGAUGUCCAUACUCUCUUAUCUUUGACCAUAACACGAAUGUUUUUGCAAUCUUGUGACUGACGUCCACGCGUAUCAUCAUGUCGAAGACUUCCAUUUGCAAUUGGGUGCCUUCACAAGUUUCAGAGGAUCUUCUCGAGGGCUAUGUAGACCAAGGCCUAUUAUCUUCCAUGGAAGUAAUCAGAUGGCGGUUCCUCAAGGGGAGACACACCCAAAGCCUAAUGAAGGAGAAGUUGUGGUUUUCAUAGAUCACCUUCUCACAGAUUUUUCUCCUCCCGGGUCAAAGUUCUUCUGGGAUGUACUCAACUUUCUUCACCUUCAUCCACAAGAUUUUCCCCCUAAUUCCAUACCAAUUUUAUGCCAAUUUCAAGUCUUAUGUGAGGUGUACUUGCAAAUUGAACCCACUGUUCCACUCUUUGUGGAAUUUUUUUAUCUGAAACGCUAGACUAAGUGCAUGGAUGGCCCCAUCCAAGAACUGGGAGGUAUUCCAAUUCAAAGACGCAGAAAUGGAGGCUUUCCUUCUGCUGCCCUGCCAAGUCAUCCCAAAGGGUGGAACAAAACUUUGUUCUAUUGUCAAAAUACCGGCCCAACAGACAAACAUCUCGUGCCAGGUUAUAUACUAAAUCGCCUUCUAGCCAAUUUUCAACUUCCCGACCAAAUUUCUCAAGAGGAACGUGACAAAUUCGCCUUUGUAUUCCAAAAUUGGCGACUCUCCGGUCUCAAGGUUUGACCGAAGUGGACUUGAAACAUUGCUGGGCAUCCUGGAUGAUCCUCCCACCGAGUUGUUGAAAUGCCCUUAUGUGCAAGUAUUUUAUUCGUGCGGAUGACCGUCAGAGAUAUAACAUAGUGAUUUUGAUAGAUGAAGACGUGAAUAAGGUUGUGAUGAAACUGCUUGGGGAAACUUAGGCGGCGUGCGAACAAGUCGGCUUGAAGCCUUUCAAUGCCAUCAACCCGACUCCUUAGGUAUGAAGCUUACUCGGCUAUUACCUGAUUGUCUUUGUAACAACAUUUCCAAGAUUAAGCACUUUAUUUUUAUUUUUAUUUACCCAAAUCUUGCAGAAUUCUUCUUUGUUUUGGAAAAAGAAGAGGAAAGUUCCGACUAGCAGAUCUAAGGCUGCUCCUUCCAAGAAGAAAUGUAAGUCGAUUGCUACUACAAUAUCUCGGCGCCAGUCUACAAUAUCUAGUAGCUCUCUUGAUUCCACUAAUGAUUCUCUUAGCCAAGUUACACUUGAGAAAGAAAACGAUUUAUUGAAAUGGAUUAUAGCUAGAUGUGUCUUCAAGAGUCUUGCCGGAAGUAAGCAAUUUGACGAAAUUGUCCGCAAGCAAGGAGAACAUCGAAAGAAGCAAGGUGUUGGCUACUUCAAUGCCAACGGAGAUGUUUGGGAAGAAGGUCCAUAUCCCAUUCCCAUGUUUGUUCCUAAAGAGGAGAAGUAUGAUCCUACUCCUCCCAAGGGAACAAGCUCACAAGAUGGCCUUAUACCACAAGACCACAAGGGAAAGGGAAAGCUUCAAGAGGACAUUGACUCAUUUGAAGAAGAAGCCCAAGCCAAGGUUUAGUGGGUUCCCAAGGACACUUCUAGCAGUACCUCAUCUAGUGCUACCACAACUCCAAGGAUCCCCAUCAAGGUGAUGUGGGUUCCCAAGAGGAAGAACUAGAAACUUCUUGUGGGGUGACUCCGCCAAUGAAAUUCACUCUUAUUCAUUUUGGCAAGAACUACAUGCAAUCAACCUCAACCAUAUGCAUUAUUUCAAGGAAUCACACAUUUUCACUCAAAGGUGAGCAAGUGACAAGGUAAUUAAUGCAUCUUUGGACAUCACUUCCCAUGUACUUCACUCCAUGCCCAUAGAUAUCCUUGCAUUUGUUCCUUUUGCUUUGGGACUAACCCAGAUAGGUGAUAAGAUUAAGAAACUUCAUCAACAAUGAGCAUCCACCACUACUUCACCUACUUGAAGUCUUCUAUGACAAAACCCAAGGUUAGUUGAUCUCUCUUAGGGGGGAUGUCACAUCUAGGGGGAGCUUUACUCUAAGACUUGAGUACAAGCAUCUCCUAAAUGAUGUGAACACAUUAAUGCAUUAUGUAAAAGUGGUAACCCCACUUGUGCUUAACCGAUGAGUAUGACCUAUGAUCAAGUAUUCUUACUUGACUCCUAAGUCAAUAUACUCAUAUAUAGAUGACUUCGUCAUCGCCAAAGUGCUUGAUAGAUGCUAGAAUGUUUGUGCAUGUUCAUCAUGAUUUCAUUUGACAUCUUAUGGUGUCAGCAUGUUGGUCUGCAUAUCUGUCCCCAUUCAAGGACAUCCAAUUGUUGCUAUUUGGCUUUUGAUUUAUCUUUUGCCAAUUUGAUGGACAAAAAUUCCUAGGACCCCUCUCUAGCUAUCUAUGCUUUCUCAUAUCAAGUUCUAUUCACGCUACAUCAUAGAACUUGAACAUGCACUUCUCGACCCCCCUAUGUGAGGAGCACUCGGAGUUCCGUGUUUACAAGGACUGCUUUCAAAAACCUCUUUGUGAAUCUUGGUGUAACCAACCCCAAAUUCUCGGUUCCACCGAUUCUCAAAGUUGAUAUUGGUUUUAAUCUCGGUACCAUGGAUAACAUAAUCUCGGCUUCACCGAGUUUCCCUGUUAACACAAAACAGUGGAACUCGAUGGCACCAAAAUUUUAGUGUGUGUGACACCAAAAGUGAGGGGUACUUAUAUCCGCGGACCCGAAGUUUUGAAAUUCCAUCUUCAAACGUCAAGUACCCAACCCCAAACUACCGCACCAGGACCCCUUGGUCGUCGCCCUUGUAUCCCCGAGCGGCUUCAUCGUUGGGAAUAAGCGCUGCCUAUGGAAUCUUCACCACCAUCGUCGCCUAGCGGAUUCAUCACCAAGCUAGGGUAUGAACCCGACCCCUUGUGCACUCCUCUAUCCGAAUCAUGUGCACUAGGUUACUUCCAUCUACAAUCCACAAUGUGAAAUUAUUCUAUGCCACAAGAUUCUUCCAUGGAAUAGAGAACAAAGAAAUUCUGGAUCUGAUCUCCUGCAACAUGCAUCUCGGUGAUACCGAGUUAUAAAAUCGGUACCACCAAUUUAGUUUUAGGGUUUUUGAGAACCACUUCGGUGAUACCGAGUAGUCCUUGUCGGUUACACCAAAAAGGCUGCCAAGGUUUCUAUUAAUGCAAGUGGUCAGUCUCGGUGACUCCAAAAACUCCAACCCAUGCUACCAAAAUACAUUCUGUAGUAGAUCAUACCCAAAAGUUUCUAAUUCAAAUUUUGAAAAACUUCUAUAAUUUUGUGAUGCUUAUAUUUUCAAGCUCUUCCACAUCUUUUCAUAGGGUCAACCAGUCUGUGUAUCAGCUUGUCUGCUUGGAUUGCAAGAUGUCAGGUUCCGAUGAAAGUCAGAACAACUUCAGUGAGCCCCAUGUCGAGUCUAAUUUAGGCACUAGUCCUCAGAGGACCUCUUCUCAUCCAGGUACCCCCAGCUCCCAUGGCUUUCCCAAGGCAGCUACGAGGCCCAGGAAGAAGCUGAAUUCUGAUGAAGAAGAUUCUCAUUUUGUUCCUGAACUCCCCAGAAGCAGAAAGAGAAGUCUGCAGUCAAGAAAACUGUGAGGAAGGAGUAUGCUUAACCUUCCAACCUGAGAACUCUAGAGUCUGCAAGGCAAGGGAUGGCACUUACCUUUGAGAGACCUUCUAAGAAGCCACGAGUUAAAAGAGCCAGGAAGAGAACUAUUCAUGCCAUUGGUAGACAAACCUCUAUGUAUGAAGACCCAGCAGAAACUGCUACAACUGCUGAGGAAGAGGAAUAAGAAAUUCCAGCUAAGGCCCCUACUCCAAAAAAUAAGAAGCUUAUGGAAGAUGCUAUGAAGCCUUUAGCUCCUAAGAAGCGUGUAGCUCCCAAGAGAACUACAAAGUACAUACCUGCAGGGCUGACUGAACAUUGUAAUUCAUGGCAUAGAUAAUCCAGUCACAGUCAUACUCAAUAACAAUUAAAAGCAAAGCAUAAAAAUGACGGAGGUGCUCUCUAAUUGGUGCCUUUAUAAGGAGAGGAUGACUCAACAGAAACAUAAAUAGAUAGGCCCUUCGCAAAGGGAAGCAUUGAUUUGCAGAGGUGCGAGAGCUCAAGCUUUUAAAACAGAGAUACAUAAUUUGGAGUGGUAUGCUCUCAUUGUCAACGCAAUGACCAAGAGUUUUCACCAUCUUCCAUGCUACACAAAUUAUAGGCGGUUCCCAAACAGAAAAGUAAAGUUUUGAAUCCCCCACCACCGAUCAAUCACACUCCACGACUAGCCGAAUACUCGGGUGCCGUCCAUACCAACAACAAUCCACGUGGAGUUUUGUUUGCAAUUAUCUUUUUGAUUUGAGCAUGGAACUGGGCAUUCCAAUUACCGACCCUUUCUCAUGAGUGAUAGUGAAUAAACACAUAUCGAGGAUAAAACGCCUAGCAUGGAAGAUAUUGACCGCCCCUUGUCACCACAUGAGCGGUUCGGUCAUACAAAACAUAUUAUUUCUUGAAGAUUUAGAGAGUAGUACAUGAAAAUUUACUUGGAACGGCUGGUAGAUACCGCAUAUAGGUAGGUAUGGUGGACGCAUACGCAACAACUUUGGGUUUAUGGAAGUGGAUGCACAAGCAGUAUUCCUGCUUAGUACAAGUGAAGGAUAGCAAAAGACUGGGAAGCGACCAACUAGAGAGCGACAACAGUCAUCAAUAUGCAUUGAAAUUAACCAACAUUGAGUGCAAGCAUGAGUAGGACAUAAAUCACCAUAAACAUGAAUAUCAUAGAGGCUAUGUUGAUUUUGUUUCAACUAUAUGCGUGAACAUGUGGCAAGUCAAGCCACUUGAAUCAUUCAAAGGAGGAUACCAUCCUGUCAUACUAAAUCAUAAUCAUCUUGAAAUUCAUAUUGGCAUCCAAGACAAACCAUUAUAAGCUCCUAGCUAAUUAAGCAUGGCAUCAGAAACUAUGAUCUCUAAGUAGUCAAUGCAAACAUGUUUCUCUCAUAACAAAUCUGAAUUAGGAACGAAUAGCUAGUCAUAUUUACAAAAACAAAAUAUAUCGAGUUCAUACCAGCUUUUCCACGCUCAGUCACUUCAUCAUAUAUCGUCAUUAUUGCCUUUCACUUGCACGACCGAAUGAAGUGAAUAAUAAUGAGAGUGUUCGUGCAUUGCACUAAGCUGGAAUCUGCAAGCAAGCACAAAGGAGAAGACAAGAUAAUAUGGCUCUUUGACGGAUAAAUAGAUAUGCAGGCGAGAGCCACUAAACAUUGUAACCAUGGUCUUCUACCUUGACCCAAAGAAAAAGAAAACUAUUUACACGGGAAAGCUCCCAACAAGCAAAAGAAGAAUGGGAAAUCUUUUUGGGUUUUCUCAAUCUAAAAAAACACAUGAGAAGAAAGCGAGAAAAAGAAGUAAACUAGCAUGUAUUAUACAAUGGCAAGGUGUGAACACCGACUAUCAAAGUGAAUGUGUGAGCAUGAAUAUAAAGUCGGUGAGAAAAACGUACUCGCCCAAGCUUAGGCUUUUGGCCUAAGUUGGUCUACUCCCAUGGCUGGUCCGGGCGAUAUCCAAAAUCAUAAUGGUGGUUGUACGGGAACGCGGCAGCUACCGCCUGAAUUGCUGCCUCACGGAGGCGAGCAGCCUUUGCCUCCCUCUCAUACUCCUCUGCCUCUCCUCUGGUUAUAUAAUAUCUUUGUUUUACCCGAAAGUCAAAGAAGCCAGGACCAGGAAGGGUAAUAUGGAAAACAUGUUGUCGGUUAAAUAUUAACCGGUAUAGGAGGGAUUCUUUAUCCCUCUCAAGGAACUGAUAACGUGUCAUAGAGGCGCGAUCAAGGAAAGCUGUAUGGAGCGGGAGAUCUCCUUCGCGGAUGGGUACUCCAAGAAAAUUUGCUAUGCGCGUGGCAUAGAUCCCGCCAAAGAAAUCCCCUUCAAUAGCAUUAUUAUUUAGCCUCCUCGUGAUUAUAGCUCCCAUAAUGAAACUUCUAUCACCCGUUACUGCGCUCAUAAGAAUACUAAGGUCAGGUGUGUAGAGGUGACAAUGCUCAAGAACAGGGUCACCAAGGCAGUAAUAAUCCGCAAUGAAUAAAGCACUAGAGCACAAACUAAUUGGACCAAUAGAGGAGUCACAUACCAAGGAACAAUUCCCCCAAAACAGUUUGGUGAAUGGGGCUUUGCACAAGGAAAUUGAAAAAUGGAGCAAGAAGAGCAAGAACACGGGUUUGAGCUGUGGAAUAAUUUUUUCUAGAGGUAGCAGAAGGAGAUGGGAGCUGGAAUAAGUGGAGGGGGGCACGUGGGGCCCACAAGCCAGGCACGCACGGCCACGGGGGGGGGGGUGCCCGCGCCUCCUGGGCUUGUAGCCCACUCGUGCAUCCCCCUGAUUAGCUCUCGAUCUCAGAAUUUUUUGAAAAUUCCAUAAAAAAUAAUACUUGAUUUUCAGGGCAUUUGAAGAACUUUUAUUUUCGGGACACUUUUCUAAGGGAUCAAAAAGCAGAAAACAGGAAAAACUAAAGCUAAUUUUAUCAUUUUUCUUCUAAACAACAGAAAGUAAAAGUUCGGAGGAGAAGGUUGUGACCCCUAGAUUCAUCCAUCUCAUGGUCAUCAAAAGAAAUCCGCCAAUGAGGUUGAUCAAGUCUCCUUGACAAACUUUUUUUGAAUUACAUGAAACUGGAGAAUUUUCGAAUAAUCACUAAGUUACCUCAAUAGGGAUGUGCAUAUCCCCUACAAGCAAUUCAUACUUCAUCUUGACAGUAGGUAUAGGGCAUUCAAAGCUCCCAAUAAGGAUUGAUGAAGUUUUUCAAUAGCAUUGAUGCAAUGUACUCGAUAUUGUUACUUCGGAAAGUGCACCGUAUGCUCAUUACCAUUUACAUGGAAAGUGACAUUGCCUUUGUUGCAAUCAAUAACAGCCCCUGCAGUGUUUAAAAAGGGUCUUCAAGGAUGACCGCCAUGGCAUCAUCCUCGGGAAUAUCAAGAAUAACAAAGUCCGUUAAGAUAGUCACGUUAGCAACCACAACAGGCACAUCCUUGCAAAUGCUGAUAGGAAAAGCAGUUGAUUUGUCGGCCAUUUGCAAAGACAUUUCAGUAGGUGUCAACUUAUCCAAUUCACGUCUACGAUAAAGAGAGAGAGGCAUAACACUAACACCGGCUCCAAGAUCGCAUAAAGCAGUUCUAACGUAGUUUCCUUUAAUGGAGCAAGGUAUAAUGGGCACUCCGGGAUCACCUAGUUUCUUAGGAGUUCCACCCUUGAAGGUGUAAUUAGCGAGCAUGGUGGAAAUCUCAACCUCAGGUAUCCUCCUUUUAUUAGUCACAAUAUCUUUCAUGUACUUAGCAUAAGGAGAUAUUUUGAGCAUAUCUGUCAAACGCAUUUGCAGAAAGACAGGUCUAAUCAUUUCAACAAAGCGCUCAAAAUCCUCAUCAUCCUUUUUCUUGGAUGGUUUGGGAGGAAAGGGCAUGGGUUUCUGAACCUAUGGUUCCCUUUCUUUACCAUGCUUCCUAGCAAUGAAGUCGUUCUUAUGAUAUAUCCUAUUCUUAGGUUGUGGGUUAUCAAGAUCAAUAGGUUCAAUCUCCACAUCCUUAUCAUUGCUAGGUUGAGCAUCAACAUGAACACCACUAUCGAUAUUAUCACUAGGCUCAUGUUGAUCACCAGAUUGUGUUUCGGCAACAGAAACAGAGAUAUCAUUUGGAUUCUCGGGUGUAACAGUAGCAGGUUUGCUAGCAUGCAAGUUCCUAUCAUCUUUCUUUUUCUUCCUAUUACUAGGAUGACUAGGUGCCUCAGUGCUAACUCCUUGAGAAUCUUGUUCAAUUCUCUUAGGAUGAACCUCAUGAUACAAAGGUUCUUGGGUCAUUCUACCACCUCUAGUGAUAACUCUAAUAGACUUGUCGUUUAGCUCAUUGAGCAAGUCAUUUUGAUCCUUAAGUACUUGUUCUACUUGAGUGGUGACCAUAGAGGCAUGUUUACUGAAGAGCUUAAGAUCAUUGACAUUUCUAUCCACACAAGCACUUAUAUGACCAAUCAUGCGAGCAUUUUGCCUCAAUUGUAUGCUAACAUAAUCAUUGAAACUUUGUUGUCUGGCAACAUAGUUAUCAAAUUCAUCUAAGCAUAAGUUAGCAGGUUUAUCAAAAGGAAUAUCACUCUCAUUGAAUCUACGAAGAGAAUUUACCUCUACUACCUGUGUUGGGUUAUCAAGACCAUGUAUUUCUUCGAUAGGUGGUAGAUUCUUAACAUCUUCAGAUUUGAUACCUUUCUCUUGCAUAGAUUUCUUGGAUUCUUGCAUAUCUUCAGGACCGAGGAAUAGAAUACCUCUUUUCUUCGGAGUUGGAUUCGGAGGUGGUUCAGGAAUAAGCCAAGCAUUCUCCUUGCGCAAGAUAUUAUUCAAUAGAAUCUCAGCUUGUUCCACAGAUUGUUCCCUGAAAACACAACCAGCAAACUAUCUAGGUGGUCCCUAGAAGCAUCGGUUAGUCCAUUAUAAAAGAUAUCAAGUAUUCCAUUUUUCUCAAGAGAGUGAUCAGGCAAAGCAUUAAGUAGCUGGACAAUCCUCCCUGAAGCUUAUGGGAGACUCUCUUCUUCAACUUUCACAAAGUUAUAUAUAUCCUGCAAGGCAGCUUGUUUCUUAUGGGCAGGAAAAUAUUUCUCAGAGAAGUAGUAGAUCAUAUCCUGGGGACUACGCACACAACCAGGAGCAAGAGAAGUAAACCAAGUCUUAGCAUCACCCUUUAGCGUGAAAGGAAACAAUUUAAGGAUAUUGUAGUGGCGGAUCUUUUCCUCACUCAUGAAUAGGGUGGCUAUAUCAUGCAGCUUAGUAAGAUGUGCUACAACCGUUUCAGGCUCAUAACCAUGAAAAGGAUCAUAUUCGACCAAAGUGAUUAAAUCAGGACCGACAGAGAAUUCAUAAUCCUUAUCAGUAAAAAAGAUAGGCGAAGUAGCAAACUUAGGAUCGUAUUUCAUCCUAGCGUUCACAGAUUUUUCUUUCCACUUGCGCAAUAAAUUCUCAAGAUCAUAGCUAUCCUUACAAGCAAGAAAGUCCUCGACUACCUCUCCCUCCAUAACAUAACCCUCGGGUAUAUCAGGCAAUUCAUAUCUAGGAGAGCUAGUUCUAACAGGUGUAACAACAGGUUCUAGUUCAAUAAUUUCAGCAGUUUCAGAAGUAUCAUCACAUUCAGCAGCAACUCUAGCAAUUUGUGCAUCAAGGAAUGCACCUAGUGGCAAAGCAGUAUCAAGCAAAGCAUCAUCAUAAGAAUCAUGUAUAGCAUAAGUAGAAUCAUUAAGCACAGGCGACACAUCAGAAUUUCUAGUAGGUGGUGGUGUCACAAAUUUACUCAUAACUGAAGGUGAAUCAAGUGCAGAGCUAGAUGGCAGUUCCUUACCUGUCCUCGUAGUUGAGGGCAAGACUUUAGUUUUUGGAUCUCUCGGAUUGAUCAUAGUGAUCAACAGACGUAAAUUCCAAGUGACUCAGAGAAUAGUGCUAGGCCUCCCCGGCAACGGCGCUAGAAAAUAGUCUUCAUAACCCACAAGUAUAGGGGAUCGCAACAAUUUUCGAGGGUAGAGUAUUCAACCCAAAUUUGUUGAUUCGACACAAGGGGAAGCAAAAGAAUAUUCUCGAGUAUUAGCAGUUGAGUUGUCAAUUCAACCACACCUGAAAGACUUAGUAUCUGCAGCAAAGUUUCAGUAGCAAAGUAGCGUGAUAGCAAUGGUAGCAAGUACCAGUAGGAAAAACUCAUAGGAAUUGGAUCGGUGAUGGAUAAUUAUGCCGGAUGACAUUCAUCAUGUAUCAGUUAUAACAUGGGGUGAUUUGUAACUAGCUCCAGUUCGUCAAUGUAAUGUAGGCAUGUAUUCCGUAUAUAGUCAUACAUGCUUAUGGAAAAGAACUUGCAUGGCAUCUAUUGGCCAUCCCUCCUGUGGCAGCGGGGUCCUAAUGGAAACUUAGGGAUAUUAAGGUCUCCUUUUAAUAGAGAACCGGAACAAAGCAUUACCACAUAGUGAAUACAUGAACUCCUCAUACUAUGGUCAUCUCUGGGAGUGGUUCCGGCUAUUGUCACUCUAGGGUUGCGGGGUCAUAACACAUAGUAGUUGACUACAACUUGCAAGAUAGGAUCAAGAACACACAUAUAUUGAUGAGAACAUAAUAGGUUCAUAUCUGAGAUCAUGGCACUCGGGCCAUAGUGACAAGCAUUAAGCAUGACAAAGUAGUAGGAACAUCAACCUCAGAACAUAGUGGAUACUUGGGAUCAAACCCCAUCAAAACUAACUCGAUUACAUGACCGUCCAGCAAGCCUACGAUGAGAUUACUCACGAACGGUGAAGAGCAUCAUGGAAUUGGUGAUGAAGGAUGGUUGAUGAUGACGACGGCGACAAUUUCCCCUCUCGGGAGCCCAAAACAGACUCCAGAUCUGCCCUCCAAAGGAAGAACAGGUGGUGGCGGUGGCUCCGUAUCGUGAAACGCGAUGAACUCUUCUCUAUUAUUUUUUCUGGGCGAGAGAGACUAAAUAGAGCUGGAGUUGGAGGCGGCGGAGCCCCGAGGGCCUCACAAGCCUGCCAGGCGCGGCCAGGGGGGCGCCUCCUGGGCUUGUGGGCUCCUUGCUCCGUCCCUCCAGGUAUUUCUUGCGCCAAUAUUUUUUAUAUAUUCCACAAAAAAUCCUCGUAAAUUUCCAGGUCAUUCCAAGAACUUUUAUUUCUGCGCAAAAACAACACCAUGGCAAUUAGAGUCCGGGUUAGUUCCAUUCAAAUCAUGCAAAUUAGAGUCCAAAACAAGGGCAAAAGAGUUUGGAAAAGUAGAUACGAUGGAGACGUAUCAAGUGGCGGCGGAUCUCUCCGGUGACCCAGAGCUUUCGAGAGGUGCCACGCGGCUGCCAGGAACACCGUUGACACCACGGACAAGGAGGGGGCAGCGAAAGACGGCUCGGGCGCCUUGGCUGUCACAGUAACUGCAUAGAGCGCGCGUUGUGGCAUGCCAGUACUGUGGUCACCAUGGUUACGGCUGCCACAAGGCCACACAAGCCUGGAGACCUUGUCCAUUGCGUCGACUAGACUCUCAUUAGUCACCAUCCACCACUGGUUAGACCAGUCACACUCCCGUGCGAAGUGUAGCUUCAACUACAAUUUCUGCCUGCAGACUUGGGGAGUUCUAGAGCUCAAAUGGAUUAGGGUUCGAGCAAGCUAGCAUGUCCGAGUUAAUCAGCAUAGGAGGGACUACAAACUGGCAAGGUUUGAAAAGAUUUGAAGAUCAAAUGAAUAUAGUUCCUUUGAAAAUCACCUUUCUGGUACAGAAUGCAAAUGAGCUCAUGGCACUCACAUGCAAGCCCUGCUAAUGGUGAAACUUGGUGGAGGAGUGUUAUUAGGUAGUGCACACAUGUCCAAAAUUUUAUAGAUCAUUUGUGCACCCCUAGCUAGGGCUUCCUUCACAAAGGUUCAAUUUUAACAGAAACUUAGCAGAGUUUUCCUGCUCAAAACUUGUAUUGGACCAUCAGAUGUUUUUACAUAUUGGCACUAAAUAGGAUCCCUAGGAGCUAAGGGAAUUUAUUGGGAAUUUUCUAAAACAGGAAAAAUAGGGUUGCUUCACAAAGUGACAAUUCUAGUCAGAAAAGAAAUAAUUAUUCUGGCCAAAAUUUUACAUUGGGCAAGGAAAUGUUUUUGAAGAUUUUGAAAUAAUAUGAUACUGAGAAUAUGUGGAAAACGUUUUGGGGUUUAUAGCUUAUCCCAACUAUAGGUUUCUUCACAACCCAUGGUGAUGCCUUAAUUCCCCAAAAUAUAAAAAGAAUUAUUUGAAAGAAUUAAAUAUUGCAAAUUAAUCCAAGAAAUGUUUUGGCAAUAGGAAAAAGGUUUUAGGUUAAUUGAGACAAGAAAUCAGAGACUCACAAUCCAACUUGCUUGAAAGCAUUUGAAAAUCCACCAAUUUGAAAGUGAAACUCCAAAAUAUUUUGAAAAGAAAAGAAGUUUGAAAAAUCAGGGUGUUACAACGCGUCCAGUAGAGUGCCGGCGUGCGGGGCGGCCGAGUGACGAUGGAGUGUCUCGCCGAGUGGUGAUGCGUGGAGCUGUCGAGUGACGAAGGCGUGUCUCGCCGAGUGGCGACGCGCGGAGCUGCCGAGUGAUGACGACACGUCCAAUAGAGUGACGACACACGGAGCUGCCGAGUGACGAAGGCGUGUCUCGCCAAGUGGCGAUGUGUGGAGCUACCGAGUGAUGAAGACGCGUCCAAUAGAGUGACGGUGCACGGACCUGCCGAGUGAUGACUACGCGUCCAGGAGAGUGACGGCAUACGGGGCGGCCGAGUGAUAACUACGCGUCUAGCAGAGUCACGGCGCACGGGGGGCCGAGUGUCGAUGGAGCGUUCAGUAGAGUGACGGCGGGCGGGGUGGCUGAGUGUCGAUGGAGCAUUCAGCAGUGACGGCGCGCUGAGCAGCCGAGUGAUGACGACGCGGCCAUCAUAGUGAUGGCGCGCGGAGCUGCUGAGUGAUGACGACGCGUCUAGCAGAUUGAUGGCGCGUGGGGCGCCCGGAUGAUGGAGAUGCGUCCAGUCGAGUGGUGGCAUGCUGGACGACCAUGUGAUGAAGACGUGCUCGGCGGAGUGAUGGCGCGCGGGGUGCCGAGAUGAUGGAGAUGCGUCUAGCUGAGUGGUGGCGCGCUGGGCGGCCAUGUGAUGAAGACGUGCUCGGCGGAGUGAUGGAGGUGCGUCCAGCCGAGUGGUGACGCGCUGGGCGGCCAUGUGAUGAAGAUGUGCUCGGCGGAGUAAUGGCGCAUGGGGCGCCCAGAUGAUGGAGAUGCGUCCAGCCGAGUGGUGGCGCGCUGGGUGGCCUUGUGAUGAAGACGUGCUCGGCGGAGUUAUGGCGCGCGGGGCGCCUGGAUGAUGGAGAUGCGUCCAGCCGAGUGGUGGCACACUGGGCGGCCAUGUGAUGAAGACGUGCUCAACUGAGUGACGAGGCGUGAGGGGGCCGAAUGAUGGUGUAACUUAUGUACGAAGAAUAGGAGAAGCCAACGUAAAAAAUUCUCAAAGUAAUAUGAGUUUGCUGAAAUGAUUUGUGUAAAUUACACCCGUAGACAACCGCCGGGUGUGCCACGUGAUUGCUGGUUUGGAACCAGCAAGAGUCUGAAAGAGUGAAGGAUCCAACUAAACUCGUGUGUGUACUGGAUCCAAAUGAAGUGGAAGUGAAGUGUUUCGACAUGAAAAUAAACAACCACUUCAACUAGCUUCCAUGCCGGUGUGCCGUGUUGAGAGACUGAUGGUGGAGGGAAAUCUCAGAAGGUGGAGCCGCUGUGUGUCCCCGCUGCCGGCGUGCAGCUGAGGCCUCGUCGCUCCGGAGGCCGAUCCGUUUCAGCCGACGCUGCUACUGUGGGCCGCGCUGAACUGUCGUGGAGUCAUCGUCUGCGUGAGGUGACUAGUUGCCCAAACCACCGUUUGUAGCUCUUUUGAUUCUUGUAUGUGAUUGCACCGAUCAGCAUGGAUGCAUGAACGUGUGAACAUGCAAAAGAGACAAAAACCAAUUAGUAGAUCGUCGAUUGAUCAUUAGAUCAAAAGAGGAUAUCAUUCAGAAGAGGGAAAACUCCCGAUCCAUCCAUUUGUGAUUCGUCCGGUGAAGAUAUAUCUUUUCCCUUCCUUUUGCGAUACUUCAGUUACUUGUUGUGCUAAGACGAACAUUAUGCUCAAGAAGAACAUGAAAUAAAACAUAGACGAAUAAACCAAACCAUCGGCAUCAUGGUUCGAUGGACGCCAUGCCCCAUGGUGGACGCCAAAUGUCGUGGUAACGAUUCCGGCAUUAGAGAGGGGUAGGAUAGCGGAGCAUGAUCUAUCGAGAUGCAAAUGGGUGACACAUUGGUUUUAGCGAGUUUGGGCCUCUCACGGUGGAGAUAACAACCCUACGUCUCGUGCUCCGGAGAGGCUUUUCUUAUCUAUCAUGAACACGGAGUUACAUGGUGUAUUAGAGAGAGAGGAAGAAGAACAGGUCUCCAAACUAAGUCCUCAGACUAGAGAGAGCCAGGGCUCCAUGAGGAAGAAUGAGCCCCGGUGGGAGAAGAUGCUAACCGACCUAUGUGGUGGGGGUGGCUUAUAUAGAGUGCGCCACCCCCUCACCUCAUAUGUUACAAUGUGGGGCAUUAAUUCCAUGAUGUGAGCCCACUACAAAAACUACGCUAUGAGGACGAUGCUCCGACUGCCUUGCUCACUGUUGAUCCUUGCAUAUCCGAGUGAGUCGUGCGACCGAGUGGUUGACUGUCGUCUGAGUGGACAGACUGUACUCAUCAGAGUGGAUAGGUUUUACUCGUCCGAGUGGAUAGAUUGUACUUGCCCGGACCCACCUCAUCUGUGGACCCCAUGCUAUUAUGGUAUUUUGACCCUUCAUGUGCCUACCCUUUUUGUGUAUCCCCAACAUCCUCCAGUCCCACGAUGUUUCUUUUCCCUGAAAGAACUAUGUGGCGCUUUGGCUCAUCGUAUGAUGUAUUUGCUUCCUUACCUUUUCUUUUUCUUGGCUUGGUAGACAUAUCCUUCACAUAGAAAACCUACGCCACAUCAUUGGCUAGGACGAAUGGUUCAUCUGUGUACCCAAGAUUGUUGAGAUCCACUGUUCUCAUUCCAUACCACGGAUCUUCCUUUACCCCGCCUCCUUUCAGAUUGACCCAUUUGCACCAAAACAAAGGGACCUUCAAAUUUUUCCAUAGUCAACUUCCCAUAUAUCCUCUAUGUAACCAUAAUAUGUGUAUUUUGGCCUAUUGUUGGUGUUUGCUGCAUCAAAGCGGACACCACUGUUUUGGUUGGUGCUCUUUUUAUCUUGAGCAAUCGUGCAAAAUGUAUUCCCAUUUAUCUCGUACCCUUUAAAAGUCGAUAUAGUCAAAGAUGGUGACUUGGCGAGCAAGUACAGGUCAUCUCCAACUUCACGGUCAUGCAUGAGACGUGUUUGCAACGAACUGCCGAAUGACUACAUGUGUACGUUUGAUCCAGGGAGCAGACUGCUCCGGGUUCUUGGAGCAUACAAUAUACAUAUGUUCCUCGAUAUACGGAUCCACCAAGGUGGAAUUUUGUAGAACUGUGUAGUGUGCUUCCGCCCUAGAAUGCCCGUCCUUACAUAUUACUGAAUCCUUUCCUAGCGUGCCUUUUCCACCCAGUCUGCCCUGAUGCCUCGAUUCAGGAAGACCAUUCAACUUAAUAUCAGAAAUAAAGUCAACACAAAAUUCAAUGACCUCCUCUGUUUCAUGGCUCUUGGAGAUGCUUCAUUCUGGCCUAGCAUGGUUGUGAACAUAUUUCUUUAAGACUCGCAUAAACCUCUCGAAGGGGAACGUAUUGUGUAGAAAUACAGGGCCCAUAAUGGAAAUAUCUUCGACUAGGGGAACUAGGACGUGUGUUAUGAUAUGGAAGAAGGAUGGUGGGAACACCAGCUCGAAACUAACAAGACAAUGCCCCAAAUCAUUCUGUAACCUUGUUAGGAAUUCUGGAUCGAUUACCUUCUACGCGAUAGCAUUGAGGAAUGCACAUAGCUUCACAAGGGAUGAUCGGGCGUUUUCCGGUAGAAGUCACCUCAGUGCAACCGGAAGCAAUUGCGUCGUAAUCACGUGGCAGUCAUGAGACUUUAGGUUCUGGAAUUUUUUCUCUGUCAUAUUUAUUAUUCCCUUUAUAUUCGACGAGUAGCCAUAUGAGACCUUCAUACUAACCAGGCAUUCAAAGAAGAUUUCCUUCUCUUCUUUGGUAAGAGCGUAGCUUGCAGGACCUUCAUACUGCUUUGGAUUCAUGCCGUCUUUUUUGUGCUUACAUUGCUGGUUCUCCGUGCCUCCGGGUUAUCUUUUGUCUUCCCAUACACGCCCAAGAAGCCUAGCAGGUUCACGCAAAGAUUCUUCGUCACGUGUGUCAUCUCUAUUGCAGAGUGGACCUCUAGGACUUUCCAAUAAGGUAGGUCUCAAAAUAUAGAUUUCUUCUUCCACAUGGGUGUGUGUCCGUCAAAGUCAUUCGGAACCGAUUGUCCGCAAGGACCCUUUCCAAAAAUUACCUUUAAAUCCUUGACCAUAUGAAGUAUAUGAUCACUAUUAUGGUGGCCAGGCUUCUUUCAGUGAUCUGCCUCACCUUUGAAAUGCUUGCCUUCUUUUCUUAAGAGAUGCUUGAUCGGAAGAAAUCGACGAUGUCCUAGGUACACAUUCUUCUUACAUUUAUCCAAGUAUAUACUUUUGGUAUCAUCUAAAUAGUGCGUGCAUGCAUAGUAUCCCUUGUUUGUCUGUCCUGAAAGGUUACUAAGGCAGGACAAUAAUUGAUGGUUACAAACAACAACGCUCGUAGGUCAAAUUCCAGCUGUUUGUGUUCAUCCCACACACGUACACCUUUGAUAUCCCACAACUAUAGAAGUUCUUCAACUAAUGCCCUCGGGUACACAUCAAUGUUGUUGUCGGGUUGCUUGGGGCCUUGGAUGAGCACUGGCAUCAUAAUGAACUUCCGCUUCAUCCACAACCAAGGAGGAAGGCUAUAGAUACAUAGAGUCACGGGCAGGUGCUACGAUUGCUUCUCUGCUCCCCAAAAGGAUUAAUGCCAUCUGCACUCAAACCAAGCCAACAGUUCCUUGGGUCAUCUGCAAAGUCCGGCCACUCUCUCUCGAUUUUCCUCCACUGCGACCCAUCUGCGGGUACUCUCAACUUCCUGUCUUGCUUACGCUCGUCUUUGUCCCAUCGCAUCAACUUGGCAUGCUCUUUGUUUUGGAACGAACGUUUCAAUCGUGGUAUUAUAGGCGCAUACCACAUCACCUUGGCAGGAAUCCUCUUCCUGGGGCGCUGGACCUCAACGUCCUCACCAGGGUUAUCGCGGCCGAUCUUAUAGCGCUCGGCACCGCAUACCGGGCAUGCAUGCAAAUUCCCGUACUCCUCACCGCGGUACAAGAUGCAGUCAUUAGGGCAUGCAUGUAUCUUUUGCACCUCUAAUCCUAGCGGACAGAUAGUCUUCUUUGCUUCGUAUGUACUGUCGGGAAAUUCGUUGUCCUUUGGAAGCAUCUUCUUUAACAAUUUCAGCAUAUUUUCAUAACCCUUGUCAGAUACACCAUUCUCUGCCUUCUAUUGCAGCAAUUCCAGUGUGGUGCCCAACUUCUUCUUGUCAUCUCCGCAAUUUGGGUACAACAAUUUCUUGUGAUCCUCUAACAUGCACUUCAACUUCAGCUUCUCCUUUUCACUUGCGCAGUUUCCCUUUGCAUCAGCAAUGGCCCGACCAAGAUCAUCAGCAGGCUCAUUUGGUGCCUCUACUUCAGCAGGCUCAUCUGGUGCCUCUACUUCCCCCAUUGUAGUACCAUCGUAUCAUGGGAACAAAGGAUAGCCGUCAUCAUCAUGUUCUUCAUUCUCGCCGGACAUGAAACCGGACGUAAAUAGGUGGACGUGAAUGACUCUUGACAUAUUGCAAGUUUUAUCAUUCUUACAGACAUGGACAACACAUAAAACCAUCUCGUUGGUUUGCCUCAGCUAUGCGCAGAAAACUCUGCAAGCCAUUAAUGAACUGGGGAGAGCGUCGGUCGUCAUACAUCCAUUCUCGGUUCAUCUUCAUUACAGAAGACCGAAAAGACCAAAUUUAUAAAAGUUCACACAUAUGGUUCAUACACACGUAUUCUCAUAAAACAACAUAGAAGAGUUUCUAGCUAAAGUAUAUAAAUGCAAGAACAAAUGUGACCAAGAUCGCAACUAAGGUAACAAUUGAUCCAACAUCAUAGUGAUACAAAGCCUCUUUAUUAAGGGCAUAUUUUCUAAUCCUUCUAAUCUUCAAGCGCAUUGAAUCCAUCUUAAUCUUGUGAUCAUCAACGACAUCGACAACAUACAACUCCAAUAUCAUCUUCUCUUCUUCAACUAUUUUCAAUUUUCCUUUCAAAACCUGGUUUUCUUUUUCAACUAAUUUUAACUUCUCGACAAUAGGGUCCGUUGGAAUUUUCGGUUCAACUACCUCCUAGAUAAAAGUAUCUAUCUCAACUUCAUGGGCAUAAUUGUCAUAAAUAUGAAAUGCAACAAAUAGUUAAAGAAUAGAAUAUACCACAUCUGAAUCGUAAACCGGACGAGGGCCGACGGACACGGAUAUCAAAACCAUGGCACUUCGUAUAACAAACAAUUAUACAAGUAAGAAUAUUAUACAAGUAACUAUCUAAAUCAUACAAAUAAGAUCUAUUUUGUAAAAAGGAUAAGAACAAGGGCUUCACCAAGGUGGUGUCGACGGCGACGGGACGGUGCGUGCGAUCAACGGUGCUUAGGACGGGGACGACACUAAGUAAACCACACCUACACAUAUGCAAACUAGCAAGUUAAUUUGAGCUCAAAUUGCAUAUAAAUCAAAUAAACUACCACAUAAUUACUCCCAAACUAAAAUCCACAAAUCACUAUACUUAUAGAGCAUUGCACAAGUCGAUCUAGCAAUGAGAGAUGAAAGGACAAAGUUGCUAACCUUUGUGAACACUUGGAGAGAUGGGGUGCCUCAAACCUUGACAAAUCUAGGAAAAAAUGGAGGUUGAGCUCGAGCCAAGGUGGAGAACAGAGAGGGAAAUGAAGAAAAUAGAGCAAUGUGCUCGGGCUGGACGAAGGUGUUUAUAUAGGAAAACGUGUAGUCUCAGUUUUUAUCACAAUGCAUGACUAAUGGUCUACCUAUAGUCCCAGUUUUGAUACAAACCGGGACUAAAGGGGCUAGUGGGGGCCCCAGCCUCACACGAGACUGCACGCUUGUCGUCUCCCGGUAAGUGUCUUGCCCCUUACUCCAAGUCUGGCAGGUUUCUUCUUGUCCAAGAAAAAUCAUUCCGGAGAUUUAUUCCGUUUGGACUCCGUUUAAUAUUCCUCAUCUGCAAUACUCAAAAACAUGGAAAAAACAGAAACUGGCACUAGGCUCUAGAUUAAUAGGUUAGUCCCAAAAAUAAUAUAAAACAGCAUAUUAAUGCAUAUAAAACAUCCAAAAGAGAUAAUAUAAUAGCAUGGAACUAUCAAAAAUUAUAGAUACGUUGGAGACGUAUCAAGCAACACCAAGCUUAAUUCCUGCUCAUCCUCGAGUAGGUAAAUGAUAAAAAUAGAAUUUUUGAUGUGGAAUUCUACCUAACAUAUUUAUCCAUGUCAUAUUCUUUAUUGUGGCAUGAAUAUUCAGAUCUAUAAGGUUCAAAACAAAAGUCUAAUAUUGACAUAAAAACAAUAAUACUUCAAGCAUACUAACAAGGCAAUUGCUUCCCUUGGAAUUAACAUGGUCGUAGAAAUUUAUCCCUACCAAAUCAUAUGGUCUGGCUAUGCUCCAUCUUCCCCACACAAAGUAUCUAAAUCAUGCACAACCCCGAUGAAAGUCAAGCAAUUGUUUCACACUUUUUAUGUUCUCAAACCUUUUCAACUCUCACGCCAUACAUGAGCAUGAGCCAUGGAUAUAGCACUAUAGGUGAAAUAGAAUAUGGUGGAGGUUGCAAAAAUAAAGAGGAGAAGAUAGUCUCACAUCAACUAGGCGUACCAACGGGCUAUGGAGAUGCCCAUCGAUAGAUAUCAAUGUGAGUGAGUAGGGAUUGCUAUGCAACAAAUGCAGUAGAGCUAUAAGUGUAUGAAAGCUCAAAAAGAAAACUAAGUGCUUGUGCAACAGAUGAAAUUCCACUAGUUAUAUGAAAGUUACAAAAUAGGAGACUCUCUAUGAAGAAGAUGGUGUUUGUUUGAAGCACAUGUGUGGAAAAAGAUAGUAGCAUUUUCCCUUCUCUCUUUCUCUCAUUUUUUUGGUGGCAUCUUUGUCCUCUAUUAUUUUUUAUGGGCUUCUCUGGCCUCUUUUAUUUUUUGUGAAGUUCAGAGACUCAUCCCAACUUGUGAGAGAAUCAUAGCUUCCACUAUCCUUUUCUCACAUAGGACAAUGCUCUAAUAAUGCAAAUCAUCACACUUUUAUUUACUUACAACUCAAAGAUUACAAGUCGAUAUCUAGAACAAAAUAUGACUCUGUAAGCAAUAUGGAAGUGAUGGUGUGUGUCAUAAAAACAAUAGGAUGAUGGUGUUGCAUGGCAAUAUAUCUCAGAAUAGCUAUGAAAAUGCCAUAAUAGGUAGAUAUUGUGGUUGUUUUGAGGAAAGUAUAUGGUGGCUGUUUUGAGGAAGGUGGGUUUAAUGUAGCGACGAAAGUUGUGCGGUACUAGAGAGGCUAGCAAAGGUGGAAGGGUGAGAGUGCGUAUAAUCCAUGAACUCAGCAUUAGUCAUAAAGAACUCCCAUACUUAUUGCAAAUGCCUAUUAGUUAUCAAAGCAAAGUAUUAGACGCAUGCUCCUUGGGGAAGGGUUGGUAGGAGUUAACCAUCGCGCGAUCCCGACCUCCACAAAAAGGUUGACAAUCAUUAAACAAAUCAUGCUCCGACUUCAUCACAUAACGGUUCACCAUACGUGCAUGCUAAGGGAAUCACAAGCUUUAACACAAGUAUUUCUUCCAAUUCACAAUUACUUACUAGCAUGACUCUCAUAUUACCAACUUCAUAUCUUAAAACUAUAUGCAAGGAAUCAAACUUCUCAUCAUAUCCAAUGCACUUAAUAUGAAAGUUUUUAUUAUAUCCCUCUUGGAUGCCCAUUAUAUUAGGACUAAAUUCAUAACCAAAACGGAUUACCAUGCUAUUUAAAGAACUCUUAAAAUAAUAUAAGUGAGGUACGAGAGUUUAAUAAUUUCUAUAAAACACCGCUGUGCUCUAAAUGAUAUAAGUGAAGCACUAGAGCAACAUUGCCUAGCUCAAAAGAUAUAAGUGAAUGAUAACGAGUUUAUGUAUAUACUUCUCGCACCUCGUUGGACCCCAAGUGGAAGGUGGAGAUGUAGGCAGCAGCAAAGUUCCCUUACACAGAGAUUGUAAGGUUUAUCUAACCAAGAGGACUCCUAGGCUCAACAAGUAGGUGUCUUCCACCCUGGCGAUAGCAGAAGACGUGGACCUGCACACACAAUAAAUAACUUUGCUCCCAACGAGUAUAGAGAGGUUGUCAAUCUUUCCGGCCUUGUAGUUUGCAAAGGAUCAAAACACAAGCGGGAAGGUAAUAGUGAUUGCAAUGGAAAAGUAAAUGAAAGCGGUAAAUGAUGGAGGUGUAAGCAAUGAUGGUGAUAUGGACCGGAGUCACAUGAUGUUCACUAGUGAUGUCUCUCUCCCAAAAGACGAUAAACAACUAUGCUAGGGUAAACAAAUCAUAGUUGGGCAAUUGACAGAAUUAUGCUGGCACCGCAAUGCUAAUUAUGCUCCUUGAUAGUUAGAGGUUCAAUAGUAAUGGGCAAUACGCCAAGACAAGUAGACCGUUUACUCAUAAUCAUCUACUUACUAAUCAUCCAUCUUGAUAUAUCUAUCUAGAACAUCUCUCCGGUAUUAAGUUGCGAGCGCAACCCAAACUGUAGACUAAAAGCAACGGACAACUACAUUAACGAACUAUGCGUAAGGUAAACAAUCCUUGCAACCGUGGUCACAAGCACCAUUGUUUUCUCCCUGGUGGCAACAAGCACAUCCCCUAGUCUCUUGUUUCUGUCACUCAAACUAGACAUCGAGGGGCCCGAACCCACAACCAUGCAUAAUGCUCCCUCUUGGAGUUGCGAUCUACUACUUGGCCAAAGCAAUAAAAAGCAAAGGAGAACAUGCAUGAAUCACUAAGGAACGUAAUAUAAAAGGAUAAUCAAAUAUAUAACUCAUAAAAUCUGAACAUAAUCUCAUAAUCCAUCGGAUCACAACAAAUCCAUCAUAGCAAUAGCAAGAGAAUUACAUAGAUUCCUUUAUCGUGUAGGGCAGCUCACAAGGACUAACCAUUGAAGCACAAGAUUGGAGAGAAGACAUCACAUAGCUACUGGUCGUGGACUCAUGGUCCAAGGGAAACUACUCACGGCACGUUCGGGAGGCGUCCAUGGUGGUGGAGAAGCUCCCGGAGGUCAAUCCUCCCUCCGACAUUGUGCCGGGAAGAGGUCUCCUAACACUCCCGAUCUCGGAAGUGCUGCGGCGGCGGAACGAUGAAGAAAUUCGCGAUUCCAGAAAGUCUGCGAGGGUUUCCUCUCGGGACUCUAAAUAUAGGCCAAAGGAGGGCACCGGAGGAGGUGGGACCCACCCAGACGACCUCCUAGCGCGGCCUAGGGCCUGGCGGCGCCAGCAGGCCACCUGGGAGGCCCCUGGCCCCCCUCGGGCCCUCCUUUGGUGAUCCUGAAGCUACUGUUUCUCUUAUUUUUUAUAUAUUUUUUCUGGAUUUUUUCGGGCUUCGGAAAAUUGGGUAAAAGCCCCUGCAAAAAAGACAUCAGCAGACAUAAACUGGCAUUGGGUGCACUGAGUUAGUAGGUUAGUCCAAAUAUGUGUAAAAUGGUAUAAAAGUGUAGCAAAACAUAUAACAAUCUCACCCAAAAGAUCAUAGAACAAGCAUAAAUUAUAGAUAUGUUUGGGACGUAUCAGUGAAGCACAUAGAGCAUUCAAACAAAUUAAUGAUUCAGCUUGCCUCUCUCAAAAGAUGUGUGCAGCAAGGAUGAUUGUGGAAAACUAAAAAAUAAAGACUCAUAUCAUACAAGACGCUCCAAGCAAAACACAUAUCAUGUGGUGAAUAAAAAUAUAGUCUCAAGUAAAUUACCGAUGGAUUGAAGACGAAAGAGGGGAUGUCUUUUGGUGCAUCCCCAAGCUUAGGCUCUUUGGUAUCCUUGAAUAUGGGUUGUGGUGCCUUGGUCAUCCCCAAGCUUAGGCUCUUUCCACUCCUUAUUACAUAGUCCAUCAAAUCUUUACCCAAAUCUUGAAAACUUCACAACAAAAAACUCAACAAAAAACUCAUGAGAUCUGUUAGUAUAAGAAAAAUAAAUGACAACUUUAGGUACUAUUGUAUUGGUGUAAUAUUUACUGUAUUCCAACCUCUCCAUGGUUCAUACCCCCGAUGCAACCCAUAGGUUUGUCAAAAUAAGUAAAAAACACAAAGAAAACAGAAUCUGUCAAAAUGCAAUAGUCUGUAGCAAUCUGUAUACUUCGAAUACUUCUGAACUCCAAUUUUUUUGAAAAACUAGGAAAAUCUGGGAAAUUUGUAAAUCAAUCUUUUUCGAAAAUUUCAGAUCAAAAGCACGUUCCAACUUAUUUACAAAAUUCCUAGACUGAGAGAAAUUUUUUUGGUUUUUUAGCAAAAUCAACUUGCAAACACUAUAGACCAUCCCAAAGGUCUUACUUGGCUCAAACACUAAUUAAAACAAGAAAACACAAUCAUUACAGAGGUAAUAAUGUCAUAAAAAUAAAAUUGGUUUCCCUCCCAACAAGCGCUAUUGUUUAACGCCCCUUGCUAGGCAUAGUGCAAUAGAUCUAGGUAUUAUCAUCUUUGGUAUGCAAUCCAUAAGUAGCUCUUAUAAUAGAUUCAUAAGGUAAUUUUAUUUUCUUUAUAGGAAAGUGAUGUGUGCCUUUCCUUAACGGAAAUUGAAAUCUAAUAUUCCCUUCUUCCAUAUCAAUUAUUGCACCAAUCGUUCUAAGGAAAGGUCUACCAAGAUUAAUAGGACAUGUUGGAUUGCAAUCUGUAUGAAGAACUAUCAAAUCUAUGGGUGCAUAAUUCCUAUUUGCAACAAUAAGAACAUCAUUAAUCCUUCCUGUAGGUUUCUUAAUUGUAGAAUCCGCUAGAUGCAAAUUUAAAGAGCAAUCAUCAAAUUCACGGAAUCCUAGCAUGUCACAUAAAGUUUUUGGAAUCGUGGAAACGCUAGCAGCCAAAUCACACAAAGCAUGGCACUCAGAAUCUUUAAUUUUAAUCCUAAUAGUAAGUUCCCACUCAUCAUAAAGCUUAAUAGGUAUAGAAACUUCCAACUCAAGUUUUUCUUCAAAAGAUUUCAUCAUAGCAUCCACAAUAUGUUUAGUAAAAGUUUUAUUUUGAUUAUAAUUAUGCGGAGAAUUCAACAUGGAUUGCAAUGAGGAAACACAAUCAAUCAAAGAACAACUAUCAUAAUUAAAGUCCUUGAAAUCCAAAAGAGUGGGUUCAUUGCUAUUUAAAGUUUUGACCUCUUCAAUCCCACUUUUAUCAAUCUUAGCAUUAAGAUCUAUAAACUCUGAAUCGUUGGGAUGCCUUUUAACUAAAGUUGACUCAUCUCCAGUACCAUCUUUUUCAAGAUUUAUACUAGAAAACAAAGGUUCAAUAGGAUUCAGAUCAAUCACUUUAAUAUCUUCAUCAUUAUUAUCACAAGAAAACACAUUUUCAAGCCAUUCACGCUUAGCGCGUAUUCUAGCAGUUCUUUCCUUACACUCAUCAAUAGAAAUUCUCAUAGCUUUUAAAGACUCAUUAAUAUCAAGCUUGGGUGGAAUAGAUCUAAUUUUCAAAAAAUGAAACUCAAGAGAAAUUCUAUCAACGUUCCUAACCAAAUCAUCAAUCUUGAGCAAUUUUUCUUCAAUCAUAGCAUUGAAACCUUUUUGAGAGCUAAUGAAUUCUUUAUAUUAUUCUCAAGAUCAGAGGGCAUCUUAUUAUAAUUUCUAUAAGAAUUGUUGUAGGAAUUACCAUAAUUGUUAGAGCAAUUACUAGGAAAUGACCUAGGAUUGAAAUACCAAUAUACGCGUUAUUGCUAAAAUUAUUCCUACCAACAAAAUUCACAUCCAUAGAUUCGUUAUUAUUUCCAAACAAAGAAGACAAAGGAAUAUCAUUGGGAUCAAUAGGAUCAUUCUUACUAGCAAACAAUUUCAUCAAUUCAUUCAUCUUUCCACUCAAAGUAUUUAUUUCUUCAAUAGUGUGCACUUUUUUACUAGUAGGAGAUCUUUCGGUAUACCAUUGAGAGUAAUUUGCCAUAAUGUUAUCUAGGAGUUUAGUAGCUUCUCCUAAUGCGAUUUCCAUAAAAGUACCAUCCGCGGAGGAAUCUAAAACAUUUCUAGAAGGAAAAUUUAGUCCCGCAUAAAUAAAUUGUAUAAUCAUCCAUAAACUCAAACCAUGCGCGGGGCAUUUCCUAAUCAUUAGUUUCGUCCUCUCCCAAGAUUGUGCAACAUGAUCAUGAUAAAGUUGCUGAAAAUUCAUUAUAUCGUUCCUAAGGGAGAUAAUCUUAGUGGGCGGAAAGUACUUGGAAAUAAAAGCAUCUUUACACUUAUUCCACGAAUAAAUACUAUUUUUAUGUACAGAUGAAAACCAAGUUUUAGCACGAUCUCGUAGUGAGAAAGGAAAUAGCUUCAAGUUAACAAUUUCAUUAUCCACAUCUUUAUUCUUUCGCAUAUCACAUAACUCAAUGAAAGUAUUUAUAUGGGAUGUCGUAUCUUCACUAGGAAGGCCAGAAAAGUGUUGUUUCAUAACAAGAUUGAGCAAAGAGGCAUCAAUUUCACAAGAUUCUGCACUAGUGAUGGGAGCAAUCGGAGUACUAAUAAAAUCAUUAUUAUUAGUAGUGGAAAAAUCACAUAACUUGGUAUUCUCUUGAGCCAUUGUGACAAAGCAAGCAAUCUAGCACACAAGCAAUCAAACGAAAAGACGAAUGAAAAAAGGCGAAUAGAAAGGGAAAUCUUUUUGGUAUUUUCUGAAAAUCGUUUUAGAAGUGGGGGAGAGGAAAACAAGAGGCAAAUGGAAAAUAAAGUAAAUGCAAGAUAUGAGUUUAUGAUGGGUACUUGGUAGGAUUGAUCUUGCUAUGUAUCCUCCCCGGCAACGGCGCCAUAAAUCCUUCUUGCUACUUCAUGAGCUUGCGUUUGUUUUCCCUUGAAGAGGAAAGGGUGAUGGAGCAAAGUAGAUAAGUAUUUCCCUCAGUUUGUUGAGAACCAAGGUAUCAAUCCAGUAGGAGGAACAAGCAAGGCCCCAAUCGUAGUACUUACACAAACAAUCAAACACUUGCAACCAACGCUAAAAAGGGGUUGUCAAUCCCUUCACAGUUAUUUGCAAGGAUGAGAUCUGAUAGAGAUAGAUAUAAAAGAUUGAUAGAUCUAAAAGUUAAAAAAAUGUAAAUAUAUAGAAACAAUAUAUUUAUGGUAUUUUUGGUUUAUAGAUCUGAAAGUAUAAUAUGGAAAUAGACCCGAGGGCCAUAGGUUUCACUAGAGGCUUCUCUCAUAAAGGAACAUAACAUGGUGGGUGAAAAAAUUACUGAUGAGCAAUUGAUAGUGAUGGGGUUAUAGUCCUAGGGUAGGGUCAUAGGCCUGCCCUAAAGGUCCAACCCAAGGACUACCCCUCACAAGGGACAAGGCCCUUAGUCAGUUCCGACUGAACGAAGGAGUUCCAUUCAUCCAGUCGGUAACAGAUCCUCGACCGUCCAGUCGGAGAUUAGCAUUCGGAGUUUAUCAAACUAACCGACUGGAUUCCACUCUGCGCAUCGUAACCCCCUGGAGGGAAACGGUCAUACAUUUCCAUAUGCCUUAAUUAGCAUUUAGGACGUACGUUACCUGUAACGUAGACAUUUAUUCGCCACUACUCCACCCCUGUGCACUGAACCGUUGUGGAGGGCAGCGCACUCUAUAUAAGCCACCCUCCCCUUCUGGUGCAGGGGUUAGAAAUUCACUGUAUUUGAUAUUCCACUCGACAACAAGCUCCCUGAGCACUGAGACGUAGGGCUAUUACCUCCACUGUAGAGCGGCCUAAACUCAUACAAUCUCGCCGUAGCUAAGGCUCUGCCCAUUCCUUUCGUACCCUACUCAUCUAUUGUCAGGCUUAUACCCACGACAGUUGGCGCCCACCGUGGGGCAGGCGUCUAAGCGACUUCCGGCGAGUUUGCGACUACAUCACUUCGUCAUGUCGUCUGGUGGAGAUUCGAGCAUGGGUCACGAGAUCCUCUACGGCGCUCUCUCCUUCAUCGUCGACGAUUCGGUAUGGCUUCGGGACGCCCCUCUCGACGUCGAGGCGCUUCCCCGUCGCGGGGCUACGCCCUUCCGUGCCGGCGCCCGCGACAUUCUUCUUCUCCAGCAGUCGGCUCCGGUGUCGACCUACACCGCCGUCACGCGCCGCAACAAGCAGUCCCGUCGUCCGCGGCUCCAGCAUUGGGUGCAACACGCCCAGGCGCGCCACUACGCGUCUUCACAAGUGGCAGUUCUAGAGUCAGUUGUGGUUGCCCCGCCGUCCCAGCGCUCGGGCUGGGUUCCGACUGAGUUUCCUUCCGAGUACGCGGGUCGCAGGCCUGCAGCAGAAGUACACAUGGCCAAUUCCCAUGAAGAUCCCCGUCAAGCUGGCCGGAACGAGCACGAGAUCGGCGAAACGUCCGGCGCGCGUUGUCCGCCUCGCCGUUCUGCCAGUCGGCACACUCGGCGGAGCAACGUGGAGCUAUUCCGCACACCCCUCCUCAACUUGGCCGCGGCUGCCAAGAUAGCCGAUUCCCUUCAGCCGACUGAUUCAGAGGCUGGCAGGGGAAUCGAGUAAAUCCACGCCCUGUUGCACACGGUGCAGCAGCUAAAUUCGGCGGUCUCCCAGUCGCACAACAGGAUCUGCAAUAGUUCUGUUCAUGCGAAUACGCAUCGGUCAGUUCAUAGCCCUGGUUCUCAUCAGCGACACAGAGGAGGCAGUCGUUCCAUAAAUCCCGAAGAUCGUCGCCGUUCACGCACCCCUCCGCGGGGUGGGCCCUAUGGGCCCCGACAUCCUGAUGAUCGGCGUUCAGUCGGCGGCACUUACGACCCAAGGCCCGACGCGAGAGGGCAUAUCGCCCAGCGGAGGGUCGACAGGGGCCGAGCCCACCGCGAUGGUUACGAUAUUGACCAUCCGAGUGGAAGCAGGGCCAUCGUUUCUGGUCCCGAGUGUUUCAGUCGAGCCAUCCGUUCGGCUGACAUCCCUCCCAACUUCCGAUUGGCGACGGGAAUUAGCAAGUUUAUAAGAGAGUCCAAGCCAGAAACGUGGCUGGAUGAUUACCGAGUAGCAGUCCAGAUCGGAGGAGGAGACGACCAUGUCGCCAUGAAGCACCUCCCCCUGAUACUCGACGGCUCGGCGCGAGCGUGGCUGAACGAGUUGGCCCGCUCAAGCAUCUACAGCUUGGCAGAUCUGGCCCGAGUGUUCAUCAGGACCUUCGAAGGGAUGUGCAAGCGCCCUGCUGGCGUCAUGGAGCUCCAGCACUGCGUCCAGAAGUAGAAUGAGCCCCUGCGUGAUUUCAUUCAGCGCUGGACAACUCUCUACCACACGGUGGAGAACGUCACGGAGCAUCAAGCAGUCUGCGCCUUCAAGACAGGCGUGCGGUACAGGGAUCUGUACCUGAAGUUCGACCGAACAGGCGACAUCUCCAUGAGCAAGAUGAUGGAGAUAGCAACACGCUAUGCAAAUGGCGAAGAAGAGGACCGCAUCCGAAGCGGCAAGCACAAAACAGUCGCCGAUGGAGAUGGGGGCAACACUCGGAAGCAGAAGCAGAAAGCUCCGUCUACUCCGCAGGCAGAAGCUGCAGCCGUAACCAAUGCCAAGUUCAAGGGCAAAGGGAAGGCUCAGUUCACCCCUAAGAAGAAACAGUUCAAUAACCCCAUCCUGGAUCAGCCAUGUCCGGUUCAUACGAAGAUGGAUGAAGAGGGCAACCCCAUAUAUGCGAAGCAUACCACUCGACAGUGUCGCCUCCUAAUCCAAGGGUUCAGAGAAGGGUAACCGAGUGAGAAGGACAAUGAACAGGAUGAGGAGGAUAAGGAGGAUCCGUUCCCCCAAGUCCAUGCAACACUCAUGAUUUUCGCUGACGUCGAGGGCAAGAGUCGACUGAAGCUGGUGAACAGGGAGGUGAACAUGGCCACCCCUACCAACCCCAAGUUCCUCAAAUGGUCCCAGACUGCGAUCACCUUUGACCAGUCAGAUCAUCCAGCACAUGUACCCACCCCAGGGAGACAGGCUCUAGUCGUCGACCCAGUGGUGGAAGGAGUCCGACUGCGCAAAGUCCUCAUGGACGGUGGCAGUGGCUUGAACAUCAUGUAUGCCGACACUCUCAAGGGGAUGGGCAUUCCGAUGUCCAAACUCAGCGAGAGCAGAAUGCAGUUCUAUGGAGUCGUCCCUGGACGAAAGGCCAAGUCACUCGGCCAGAUCGCGUUGGACGUCGUUUUUAGCUCCGACAAGAACUUCCGCAAGGAAAAGCUGACGUUCGAAGUGGUCGACUUCCAGAGCGCUUACCACAUGAUUCUGGGCCGCCCAGCGUAUGCACGUUUCAUGGCCCGUCCAUGUUACGUAUACCUGAAGCUGAAGAUGCCGGGCCCGAAGGGCGUGAUUACCAUCACAGGCAAUCGGCAGCGGGCCGAAGAAUGUCUGCAGCAGGGAUCAAGAAUCGCCGACCAGCAGAUGGCCGUCCUCGAGCUUGACGAGUACAAGAAAACAGUCGACCCCGCAGACUUGAUGCGUUCGAAGAAGCCAGCUUCGGAGUCUGCAUUCCAGUCGGCGGGAGAGACGAAGAAGGUCAGCAUCCACCCGACGGACGCCACUGCUGCCCUGACGAACAUCUCCACCACCCUCGAUCCUAAAUAGGAAGCCGAGCUCACCCAAUUCCUCCAUGAGAACUGGGACAUCUUCGCAUGGAAACCCUCUGACAUGCCAGGUGUACCCAGGGAGUUGGCUGAGCACCGACCGCAUGUGGAUCCCACCGCUCGGCCUGUCCGAGAACGCCUGCGUUGUUCCGCCGCGCAUAAGAGGAAGGCAAUCGGAGAAGAGGUGGCCAAGCUGUUGGCAGCCAACUUCAUUCGCGAGGUUCACCACCCCGAGUGGCUCGCCAAUGCUGUCAUGGUGCCCAAGAAGGACAAGUCGCGCCGAAUGUGCAUCGACUUCAAGCACCUCAAUAAGGUCUGCCCGAAAGACCAUUUUCCGCUCCCGCGCAUCUAUCAAAUCGUCGCUUCGACAGCGGGUUGCGAGCGUCUGUCAUUUCUAGAUGCCUAUUCGGGCUAUCAUCAGAUCCGUCUGUAUGGCCCCGAUGAAUUAAAAACAGCCUUCAUCACCCCAUUCGGGUGCUUCUGCUACAUCACUAUGCCAUUCGGUAUGAAGAAUGCAGGAGCUACCUUUAUGCGCAUGAUCCAAAAAUGUCUCCUCGACCAGAUCGGCCGGAAUGUGGAGGCGUAUAUGGAUGAUAUCGUAGUCAAGUCACGCAAAGGUUCCGACCUGCUGACUGACUUGGCAGAAAAGUUCGCCAACCUUCAUAGGGACGAUAUCAAGCUUAACACCGCCAAAUGUUCAUUCGGUGUUCCCAGCGGGAAGUUACUUAGUUUCUUCGUUUCUGAACGAGGGAUCGAUGUCAACCCCGAAAAGAUCGGGACCAUCGUCCGAACGGAGAGGCCGGUCAGAAUACACGAUGUUCAUCGUCUCACAGGUUGCCUAGCGGCUUUCAGCAGGUUCAUCAGUCGACUCGGCGAGAAAGCACUUCCUCUGUACCGACUCAUGAAGAAAUUAGAUACUUUCGAGUGGACAGACGAAGCCCAAGUCGCAUUCGACGACCUCAAAGUCCUACUUUCCACCCAGCCGGUUCUUACUGCUCCGCUCAGUAAAGGGCCCCUUCUUCUGUAUAUCGUGGCUACAAAUCAAGUCGUCAUCACUGUUCUUACAGUCGAACGAGAAGAAGAAGGCAAAGCAAAAAAAUUCAGCGGCCAGUGUAUUACGUCACCGAAGUCCUGACUCCUUCCAAGCAGAGGUAUCCCCACUAUCAAAAACUCAUCUAUGGGAUUUACAUGACUGCGAAGAAGGUAGCCCAUUAUUUCCAAGACCACUCGGUGUCUGUCGUUUCUGAUGCUCCGUUGUCGGAAAUGCUCCACAAUCGAGACGCAUCAGGCCGAGUGGCGAAGUGGGCAAAGGAGAUGUUGUACUCCGAUAUCAAGUUCGAGGCCAAGAAAGCUAUUAAGUCUCAAGCUCUGGCUGACUUUAUAGCAGAAUGGGUAGAACAACAGCAACCAACCCACAUCUACUCGGCUCAUUGGACAAUGUUCUUCGAUGUGUCCAAGAUGUUGAAUGGCUCUGGCGCUGGCGUUGUGAUCGUAUCGCCAAAGGGCGACAAACUCAAAUAUGUGUUGCAGAUACACUUUGAUUCCUCCAACAAUGAGGCGGAGUAUGAAGCUCUCCUUUAUGGACUGCGUAUGGCCAUCGCACUCGGCGUCCGUCGCCUGAUGGUCUAUGGCAAUUCAGACUUGGUGGUUAAUCAAGUGAUGAAAGAGUGGGACGUCAGGAACCCCACCAUGACCACAUACUGCAAUGCAGUGAGGAAGCUUGAGAAGAAGUUUGAAGGUCUAGAACUCCACCAUGUUCUGCGACUGAAGAACCAAGCAGCUGACGAGUUGGCAAAACUCGGAUCCACACGGAGACCAGUCCCGAGUGACGUCUGCCUCGAGCACCUCCACCUUCCCUCAGUCAAAGAANNNNNNNNNNNNNNNNNNNNNNNNNNNNNNNNNNNNNNNNNNNNNNNNNNNNNNNNNNNNNNNNNNNNNNNNNNNNNNNNNNNNNNNNNNNNNNNNNNNNGGGGUUGCGCGCGGUCACCGUGAACUCGAUGCGGGAGGUGACGGAGUCGGAGUCCGAGACGUUCAGCGCCGCCAGACGGAGCGACGUCACGGCGAAGGUCGGAAGCUCCCGGGUGGUAAAUCACGUAGAACACCCCCAACGCGAUUGCUCCAAGGAACACCAGCCCCACCAACACCAGCGUCAGCCACAGGCAACACGCGCAGCACCACCCGCGCCCGCUCCUCCGGCGGCGCGGUGGCUGUUGCAUCGGCUUCGGCCGGUACAUCGGCGGGGGCGGGACGCGGCCGGGCACCAUGGGCGGAGGCCGAGGUGGCCCUACGCCGCCGCCGUUCGCCGUGCCGUUGGCGGACCGCGGCGCCGCCACAGGGACAGGCUUGGAGGCCGGCGCGUACGCCCGGUCGCCCAUUUCUUGGCCUCUGCUGCUUCUUCUGGGCUUGGGGAAGGAGAAGGCUUGGGGAAGGAGAAGGGGGGAGUAAAAGAGACUGGGGGGAGAAACGCGAAGAAGACGGGCGCAAUAAGUGGCCGCAUUUAUAUAUACACUGUAUAUAUUGUGCUAGUGCUAGUACUGCGUGUUUGCUUGCUCGUGUCGUGUGGGCGUUUAGGCAUGGGAAACGCUUCUCACCAGAAGUCUGGUGCGUAGCAUUCGUCGGACCAGUUGUCGACUGUCGAUUCUUCUUUGAUCUCACGGUCGAGAGAAGCAAGCAAAACCAGUAUUUUUAUGCUCCAAAAGAACCCGAUUUUCAUGCCCAUGAUCCCGUGAUCUCUCCUUAUCCGGUUAUCCCGUAUUAAUUGGCCCAAACAAAUCAACCCAGUGCCCAUCUCUCUGCUCGUUCCCUGCUCUCGCCGCCCUGGCUCUCUCCUCAUCCAGUAUCGCGUCUAACCUCUCUGCGGCGCCUCCGCUCAACCAAACCGGUGUGUCGUCCCGUUUGAUGGCCACGCGAGAAASGRCCUGUCAGUGUACGCCCUCGCGAGCUCCCAGUCGUGCUGAUCUCCACCAUGGCCAGCCGGCGAGGCCCUACUCCGUUGUAUGCCUGCGGUUCACCUCGUCAGACUGUCUUCUCUGUCUGGCAAUGNNNNNNNNNNNNNNNNNNNNNNNNNNNNNNNNNNNNNNNNNNNNNNNNNNNNNNNNNNNNNNNNNNNNNNNNNNNNNNNNNNNNNNNNNNNNNNNNNNNNGAUCCUUUCACAGAGGAACCAACACAACCAAAGAGCUCGUCUGAUCCGACUGAAGUCGACGUACCUGCUGUGGUUGAUCUGAUCAUGGAGAUUCUUGCUGUCAUCCCCGAUUGGACUGUGCCGAUCAUUGCAUAUAUCCUAAGGCAAGAAUUACCAGAACACGAAGUCCAGGCCCGGCAGAUAGUCCGCUGGUCAAAGUCAUUCACUGUCAUUGAUGGCCAGUUGUACAAGGAAAUCGUUUCGGGCGUUCUUCAACGAUGCAUCUCCUGAGAGGAGGGACAGUUAAUCCUGGAAGAUAUUCACUAGGGAACCUGCGGUCAUCACGCCUCUUCAAGGGCAAUCGUCGCCAAAGCGUUCAGACCUGGUUUCUUCUGGUUGCAGGCAAACGAAAUGGCUAAAGAUAUGGUCGAUCGAUGUGAGGGCUGUCAGUUCUACUCCAACAAGUCCCAGAAGCCAACAUCUGCGUUGAAGACAAUCCCUCUUGUGUGGCCGUUUGCAGUAUGGGGAUUAGAUACAGUCGGUCCAUUCAGGACAGGCCAAGGAGGAUACACACAUUUGCUGGUGGCAGUCGACAAGUUCACAAAAUGGAUUGAAGCCAAGCGCAUCAAGAAGCUCGACGCCCUAACAGCCAUCAAGUUUGUCAGGGACAUCAUCUCCAGAUUCGGUGUACCUCACAACAUAAUCACGAACAACGGGACAAACUUUGACUCGGACAAAUUCAAAAGUUUCUGUGCAAGCCAAGGUAUCCGAGUGGAUUUUGCUUCCGUGGCGCAUCCUCAAUCCAACGGACAAGCAGAGCGGGCGAAUGGACUUAUUCUGCAAGGUUUGAAGCCCCGACUGCUGCGAGAGGUGGGACAUGCCGCUGGUGCAUGGGUCACCAAACUACCUUCAGUGCUUUGGUGUCUCCGCACAACCCCGAACAGAUCUACAGGGCGAUCACCGUUCUUCCUCGUUUACGGAGCAGAAGCAGUCCUUCCGAGUGACUUGCUUCACAAUGCUCCACGAGUCGAACUCUUCUCCGAAGCUGAAGCAGAACAAGCAAGGCAAGAUGGAAUGGACCUUCUAGAGGAGGAGCGCGAGAUGGCACUGACUCACUCAACCGUUUAUCAACAAGAUCUGCGGCGCUUUCACGCACGCCACGUCAGGAGUCGCACGUUCCAAGCAGGCGACCUGGUGCUCCGAGUGGAUCAGCAAAGACCUCACAAGAUGGCUCCUGCCUGGGAAGGACCCUUCAUCAUCUCCAAGGUACUGAACAACGGAGCAUAUGGACUCGACAAAAUCGACAGGGAGACAAACGAGCCGCGAGCAUGGAACGGAGAUCUCCUGAAGCGCUUCUACACAUGACCGUCGACUGAAGCGAUGUAAAAAGCAAGUAUUGAUGAAAUAAUAUAAAGCAGAUUGAGCUUUUGCAGAUUCAGAAUUCUUCCGUGGUCACAGACUCCGGUAUCAAAAAAAAACUUAGCUGCGUUCCAGAAUCGCCUAAGUUCUAAUUUUCUCCGAGUGUGCACUAAACGCCGCACUCGGGAGAUUAGCUGCGAUCCAGAAUCGCCUAAGUACUAACUUUCUCCGAGUGCGCACUAAACGUCGCACUCGGGGGCUUAGCUGCGAUCCAGAAUCGCCUAAGUACGAACUUUCUCCGAGUGUGCACUAAACGUCACACUCGGGGAUUUAGCUGCGAUCCAAAAUCGCCUAAGUAUCUACAAUCGCCGAAAUGGGAAAGCUUCCCUCGACUGUAUCCUACAGAUACACUCGGAGACUCAGCAGACCCUCAUUGAGACUCAUGUGGAUGUCAAGACAACUGACAAUUACAUGAGUAGCAGACCCUCAUUGAGGCUCAUGUGGAUGUCAAGACAACUGACAAUUACAUGAGCAACAACUUGCUCCGAGUGCAGCAUGUCCGUCGCACUCGGAGACUUAGCUGCGAUCAAGAAUCGCCUAAGUACUCUAUUAUCUUCGAGUGUAUCCUAUAGAUCCACUCGGGGACUCAGCAGACCCUCAUUGAGGCUCAUGUGGAUGUCAAGACAACUGACAAUUACAUGAAUAGUAGACCCUCAUUGAGGCUCAUGUGGAUGUCAAGAGAACUGACAAUUACAUGAGUAACAACUCGCUCCGAGUGCGGCAUAUCUGUCGCACUCGAAGACUUAGCCGCGAUCAUGAAUCGCCUAAGUACUCUAUUACCCUCGAGUGUAUCCUACAGAUCCACUCGGUGACUUGGCAGAUCCUCCGAAAGGUUCACACAGAUGUCAAGCAAACUUCCAGUUACAUGCUCCGCAUGUUUGCCAUUGGCUUAACCAAGAAACGCCAAACAAAACUCGAGCCAAAAUCGCAACAGAAGAGCAAACGAUUUGAUUCAAAUUUGAAGUCCACCUAAAGAUGGUUCACUCGGUGCGGAUCAAGCUUACCCGCACCGAACCAAGAAUGGGACGGCGAACAGAAGUGGCCAAGGUUUCUUACAACCAACACUCGGCAUACUGAGGUAAAAUUUUUCUUACGUGUCGUCCGGAUUGGCGCCAGGACUGGAGGGCUCCACGAAUGUGUCCAGGUCGAUCCCGUUGGUGAUGCGGGUGGCACUCUCAAGGAAGGUUUCCAUGAAGUCUUUGAAUCGUAGUUUCUUUGUGUUGGCGACCUUCAACGCUUUCAGCUUCUCCUCGCGCACCUCCUUGCAAUGCACUCGGACCAGGGACAGAGCAACGUCGGCACCACAGCGAGCCGCAGAUUUCUUCCAUGACUGCACCCGGUUUGGGACGUCCUCCAGUCGAGUCAUCAAGUUUUCCAUCUCAUGCCGCGACUCAUCUUCUGGCCAAAGCUCCUUGUCGAUCCAGCCGACGAAUUCUCUCAGUCGACCGAUGAAAGGACCAACUUUGCCCACGCGAAUGUGCGCUGCGAGCAGAUCUCGAUUGGCGUCCUCGCCAAGUGGAGUGUUCUCGCGAAUCGACCACUCCACGUCAGCUGCUUUAGCUUCAGCGUCCAUGCAAAAAUCUGCAAACACAGGACAACCAAACAAUUAGCGCCGAGUGUAACGCACGUACCACAAGCACUCGGAAAAACAGGACUUACCACCCAGACGCGCCAUCAUCUGCCGAGCCCAGUCACUGACGUAUUUCUCCUGCGCUAUACACCGUUUGUUCAGCACAGCCAUUUGUCCCAUCAGUGCAGACCUUUGUUUCCCCAUAUUCUCAACUUCAGCAGUCAGGGCCUUGUUCGCUUCACGAGCCUGCUCCAACGACUUCUCUCGCUCCACCAGAACCUCCUUCAUACCAGCCAUUGCAAUCAGUGCCGCAUCCAGCUCACCGGCAAACUGAACCUUCUCCGCCCUAAGAGUCUCGUAUGCUGCCCCCAUCUCACAAGUUUUCUGCCAGCCAGCAACAAGAGACGAUCAGACAAAUCAAACACUACAAAGUCUAAGUUCUUCAGACCACUGCCGACGUAAGAAGUCGACAGCGGUCUCGGGGACUACACCCAGUGGGUUCGCUGAGAGUGACCCCACUGGCAUGAAACUCAAACGGCCCGCCCCAUUGAGAUACAUGACAACACCUACGCCCACAAGGCUAAUACUACCCGACCUGAGUAAAAUUACUCUCGGGGACUCUUACAGUAGGUGCACUCCGAGCGCCCCAACUGUUAGCAGUCGACCAUAUUAUUUACGGAUCUGGCCAAGGCAAAGACAAUAUGCGUAAAGACAACUGUCGGUGCAAGCACUCGACAGAAGUCUCGGGGACUACACCCACUGGGUUCACUCAGAGUGAACCCAUUGCAAACAUCAUACGGUAUCCGAGCACACCCAGUGGGUUACAAGAGAAAAGUAAAUACUUAAUAGCCCACUUACUCGGAUAUCGUCCCGCAGCUCCAAGCUCCGCUGGUACAAGGAUGUGAUGGAGUCGUACGCCUUCUUGGCUUCUCCCGCCAUCAGCUCCGCCUGCACCAUGGCCCCCUUGGCCGCUCCCACCUGAUCCUCCGGGAGGCGCUGGACGUUGAACCCGACAUUUGACGGGCCUGGCAUCGUUGGAAGCUCCUUGGCUUCUCCCGACAAUGCACUUACGUUGAGGUGACGGGAAUAGCGACCCUCAUCCGCGGCAAAGCCUUCCGAGGUUUAGAUCCGCUCGGUUUAGCCACCUUGGAAGGCUGACCCGCAGGCUCAGCAGCAACGUCCCUGGUCCUCUUGGUGCUCCGAGCACUCGAGACCACGGGAACAGUGGGCGGAGCACUCGAGGAUGCCGGAGGGGCCGAAGGAACAGCAGGUUCAUGUCGGCGCUUGGUUCGGUGCUCCGGCAGCGGAGGCGGCGAGUCCUGCUCUUCGUCUUCCUCCUCCUCCUCACUAGACUCUUCCACCAUUUCCCCGCUGUCGGAGACAUACUCGGCGCUCUCCACGCUGCCCUCCUGGCUGCCCUCCUCCUCCUCCUCGGCCGGGUUCCCGUUCGAGAUAGGGGAAAACCAGUUGGUCCACUUCUGCAUAGAAUACGGUCGGUGACAUCAGACGCCAGGCAGAGGUUCAAGAAAACAAUAAAACUAAGACAGAUACGUGCACUCGACAAAUGGUACUCACCUGGUUCGGAGGAGGAUUGUCCGCGCAGAAAGCCCUCACUCGCCAAGACCCUCUGGGGUUCUCGCAGGCGCCUGUGAUCUGGAGCACCCACGACGCCACCGUCUCCUCGGUCACGCCCAAGACGUUGGUCCGAGUGGAGUCUUCGGGCCCCGUGUAGUGCCACAUGGCAUGGUCGCGAGCCUGCAGUGGUUGUAUGCGCCGACCGAGGAAAAUCUCCAGCAAAUCUAUGCCGGUGACCCCCGUUCUGACGGCGUCUGCGAGGGCGUCGACCAGAGGCUGGAUGUCGACCUUCUCCGCCUUCCUGAGUGCAAGCUGCUUAGGCGGAGCGGGUCGAUCUAGGCUAAAGGGAGGCAGCCCUGUUGUGGCAUUCAGGCAGGCAACGUCGUGGCAGUAGAACCACGUCGACUGCCUGUUCCUAACCGACUCCAUCAGCUGAAGGACAGGAUAACUACUCCUACUCUUCUUCUGGAAACCUAAGCCUCCGCAGAGCUGGAGAAGGUGUGUCUUAUCAUCCGACUGGUGGAGUCGUUUGAUAGUUUGGGAUCUAGCAGAGAAAAUAUGUUUGAACAACCCCCAAUGGGGGGGACAGCCGAUGAAGCACUCGCACAGGACUAUGAAAGCAGAGAGAUGAGCUAUAGCAUUCGAGGGAAAGUGGUGAAGCUGCGCCCCGAAGUGGUUCGUGAUGCCUUUGAAGAAAGGAUGCGGGGGCAGAGAGAAACCUCGAUAUACGUGGCUGAGCAAUAGGACGCGCUCUCCCUCCCGAGGCGCCGGCUUGAUCUCAUCCUCUGCCGGCAGCCUCCACGACUUGUGCACGAUCAUCCCGUGCUCCACCAGCUGCAGCAGAUCCCCCUCCGUCACCGUGGAGGGGAGGAAGUCUCCUUGGAUCCACCCCGUCGGCAACGCUCGCUGCCGCCGCCGAGCAGGAUCCGCCGCCUUCCCCUUCUUCUUCUUCGCCUCCAGCUUGCUGGUCUGUCCCUUGGUCAUGGCGGAAGCUGCGGGUCCACGAAGGGGAAGGAAAAGGAGGAAGCUUGGGUGCGCAGGGGAAGGCGAGAGGAGCGGAGCAAGCAAAGGCAAGAGAUCCGGCGAGCGUAACGAGAAAACCCUCGCCGCUGGGGUUUAAGUAAGGUUCCGAUUGUGUCACUGGCGGGUCGCCCCGAAACCUUAUCCCCCGACCAACCGCGGCGAUAUCAGUGGAGAAGAUGAAGGCGCGAGAAUCGAGGCGUCAGGCGCUACUCGAGCGCGAUGGCGUCAACCCCGCUGAGCGCGCGGUAACCGAAAUUUGAGGAUCCCGGAAAAUCCGCCGCUGUCAGUUGACUGGUCACGUCAGAAGAUGUCGCGGAAGCACUCGGUUUCCGACAGUUUGUUUCGCAGCUACUUCCACUCGGAUCAUUGAUCAGAGAAGAUAAAGUGGAUCGCGGCAAACAAUGCCAAAUUCACAUCCGUUCCAGUCGAAUCCAAACUUCGAGGAUCGCUUCGUCGUUCCAACCCCAAUCCAUUCGGGGACUAAUGAUGGGGUUAUAGUCCUAGGGUAGGGUCAUAGGCCUGCCCUAAAGGUCCAACCCAAGGACUACCCCUCACAAGGGACAAGGCCCUUAGUCAGUUCCGACUGAACGAAGGAGUUCCAUUCAUCCAGUCGGUAACAGAUGCUCGACCGUCCAGUCGGAGAUUAGCAUUCGGAGUUUAUCAAACUAACCGACUGGAUUCCACUCUGCGCAUCGUAACCCUCUAGAGGGAAACCGUCAUACGUUUCCAUAUGCCUUAAUUAGCAUUUAGGACGUACGUUACCUGUACCGUAGACAUUUAUUCGCCACUACUCCACCCCUGUGCACCGAACCGUUGUGGAGGGCAGCGCACUCUAUAUAAGCCACCCUCCCCUUCUGGUGCAGGGGUUAGCAAUUCACUGUAUUCGAUAUUCCACUCGACAACAAGCUCCCUAAGCACUGAGACGUAGGGCUAUUACCUCCACCGUAGAGGGGCCUGAACUCAUACAACCUCGCCGUAGCUAAGGCUCUGCCCAUUCCUUUCGUACCCUACUCAUCUACUGUCGGGCUUAUACCCACGACAGAUAGAAAAGCAAGUAAUUAUGAAUAUAUCCAAGGCAAUGAUUAUGCAUAUAGGCAUCACGUCCGUGUCAAGUAGACCAAAAAAAUUCUUCAUCUACUACUAUUACUCCACACAUUGACCUACUCCUGCCUGCAUCUAGAGUAUUAAGUUCAUGAAGAACAGAGUAACACAUUAACUAAGAUGACAUGAUGUAGAGCAAUAAACUCAAGGAAUAUGAUGACAACCACAUAUUUUUAUCCUCGAUGGAAACAAUGCAAUACGUGCAUCACUACCCCUACUUUGUCAUUGGGUGAGGACACCGCAAGAUUGAACCCAAAACUAAGCACUUCUCCCAUUGCAAGAAUUACCCAUCUAGUUGGCCGAACCAAACCAAUAACUCGAAGAGACUUGCUAAGAUAUGAAAUCACGCAUAUAAGAAUUCAAAGAAGGUUCAAAUAGUAUUCAUAGAUAAUCUGAACAUAAACCCCCAAUUCAUCGGAUCUCGACAAACACACCACAAAAGAGUAUUACAUCGGAUAGAUCUCCAUGAAGAUCAUGAAGAACAAAGAGAUAGAAGAAGCCAUCUAGCUACUAACUAUGGACCCAUAGGUCUAUGCUGAACUGCUCACGCAUCAUCGGAGGGGCAAUGGAGUUGAUGUAGAUGCCCUCCGUGAUGAAUUCCCUCUCCGACAGAUUACUGGAAAAGGCUCCCAGAUUGGAUCUCACGGGAACAGAGGCUCUCGGCGGUGGAAAAGUAUUUUUUCAUCUCUUUUUAGCAAUGGGGGAAUAUUUGGGAAUUUAUAGGAGGAAGAUGUAACAGCCUGAGACCAACGCUCCAGAAGAUUCCCCUUUUAUUUCGUUCUUGUCGUGUGAUUCGUCUGCUUGUUGUGUUCAUCAUCGCAUCAUGUGCAUCAUCUGCGUGGCAUCGGCACUCUGUUGCCGCCACUUUUCAAAAAUUGCAUCCGCUAUUAGUUGCUGACUCUCUCCGUUUUCGGAGUUGAGCGUUUUGAGACCAACCACACAUGCACGCGCCCAGGGCAUCGAUAAUAUUUUUUUAAAGUGUGUACCAAAUAUUCUCGGAUUGGGUUGAAACUUGGUGUGCGGUCUUAUUUUGGUGUAGGUAGGCCACAUGUCAAAUUUCAUCGCAAUCGGAGUCCGUUUGAUACCCGUAUGGUCGACCGUAGCGGCACCGUCAUCGAGUUAUCGUCGGACGUUUUUUGGUGUUAUAAAAUAUUGUGCCAGGCCGCAAACUUCCCUCUCUUCUUAGCCCACCACCACUCUACACAGCCCACUAACCCAGUGAUACGUCUCCAACGGAUCUAUAAUUUUUGAUGGUUUCAUGCGAUUAUCUUGUCAAACUUUGGAUGUUUUGCAUGCCUUCUAUAUAUUUUUUGGGACUAACUUAUUAACUCAGUGCCAAGUGCCAGUUCCUGUUUUUUCCAUGUUUUUGACCCAUUUCAGAGGAGAUUUUGAAACGGAGUCCAAACGAAAGAAACUCCCUGAAAAGAUUUUUUUGGAACGGAAGAAGAUCGGGGAGCUUGGGAGCCAAGGCAGGGAAGCCCCAGGGGCCCCACAAGCCUCCACCCCGCGGCCAGGGGGCCGCCAUCCAGGCUUGUGGGCCCCCUGGACGCCCUUUUCCCUAGGUCUUUCGCCUAUAUAUUCCCAUAAAUUGCAGAAAAAAUCAGGAGAUCAUCGCAAUCACUUUUCCGCCGCCGCAAGCUUCUGUCUUUGCAAGACCCCAUCUGGGGCACGCCCUGGUGCCCUGCCGGAGGGGGGAUUCGGACACGGAGGGCUUCUUCAUCAACACCAUGACCUCUCCGAUGAUGCGUGAGUAGUUCACCAUAGACCUACGGGUCCAUAGCUAGUAACUAGAUGGCUUCUUCUCUCUCUUGGAUCUUCAAUACAAAGUUCUCCAUGAUCUUCAUGGAGAUCUAUCCGAUGUAAUCUUCUUUUGCGGUGUGUUUGUCGAGAUUCGAUGAAUUGUGGAAUUAUGAUCAGAUUAUCUAUGAAUCUUAUUUGAGUUUCUUCUGAUCUCUCUUAUGCAUGAUUUCAUAUCCUUGUAAUUCUCUUCGAGUUGUGGGUUUUGUCUGGCCAGCUAGAUCUAUGAUUCUUGCAAUGGGAGAAGUGCUUGGUUUUGGGUUCAUACCGUGCGGUGACCUCCCCAGUGACAGAAGGGGUAGCGAAGCACGCAUCGUGUUAUUGCCAUCAAGGGUAAAAAGAUGGGGUUUUCAUCAUUGGUUUGAGAUUAUCCCUCUACAUCAUCUCAUCUUUCUUAAAGCGUUACUUUGUUCGUCAUGAACUCAAUACACUAGAUGCAUGCUCGAUAGCGGUUGAUGUGUGGAGUAAUAGUAGUAGAUGCAUAAAGUAUUGGUCUACUUGUCUUGGACGUGAUGCCUAUAUGUAAGAUCAUUACCUUAGAUAUCGUCAUAACUUUGCGCGGUUCUAUCAAUUGCUCGGCAGUAAUUUGUUCACCCACCGUAACACUUGCUAUUUCGAGAGAAGCCUCUAGUGAACACUAUGGCCCCCAGGGUUUACUCCACACCAUAUUUCCAGCCUUACACUUUUUACUUCGUUGCACUUUCCGCCUUCAGAUCUCACUUUGCAAACAAUCUUGAAGGGAUUGACAACCCCUUUGAAGCCUUGGGUGCNNNNNNNNNNNNNNNNNNNNNNNNNNNNNNNNNNNNNNNNNNNNNNNNNNNNNNNNNNNNNNNNNNNNNNNNNNNNNNNNNNNNNNNNNNNNNNNNNNNNUGCUCGCGCCCCUAGGGCUUGUGGCCCACUAGUGUGGCCCCCAGACAGACUCUUUUUCCCAGUAUUUUUCAAAUAUUCCAGAAAAAAUCAUACUAGAUUUUCAUAGCGUUUGGAGAACUUUUAUUUUCAGGGUAUUUUUCUACCGGACACUAAUACAGAAAACAUGGAAAACUAAACUAAAUCUAUCAUUUUUCUUCUAAGCAACCUAACGUAAAAGCUUGGAACAGAGGUUCGUGACUCCUCGAUUAAUCCAUCUCAUGGUCAUCGAAAGAAAUCCGUCAAUGGGGUUGAUCAAAUCCCUUCAACAAGACUUUCUCGAAUCGCAAAAGAGAACGGAGAAUUUUUGAAUAGUCACUAGGUCACCUCAAUGGGGAUGUGUAUCUCCCCAACAAGCAAAUCAUACUUCAUCUUGACACGAGGAAUAGGGCAUUCAAAGCUCCCAAUAAGUAUCGAUGAAGUUUUUUGAUAGCAUUGAUGCAAUGUACUCGAUAUUGUUUCUUUGGAAAGUGCACCGUAUGCUCAUUACUGUUGACAUGGAAAGUGACAUUGCCUUUGUUGCAAUCUAUAACAGCUCCUGCACUGUUUAAAAAGGGUCUUCCGAGGAUGACCGCCAUGGCAUCGUCCUCAGGAAUAUCCAAGAUAACAAAGUCUGGUAAGAUAGUGGUGUCAGCAACCACAACAGGCACAUCCUCGCAAAUGUCGAUAGGGAAAGCAGUUGAUUUGUCGGCCAUUUGCAGAGAGAUUUCUGUGGGCGUCAACUUAUCCAGUUCAAGUCUACGAUAAAGAGAGAGAGGCGUAACACUAACACCGGCUCCAAGGUCGCAUAACGCAGUUCUAACAUAGUUACCUUUAAUGGAGCAAGGUAUAGUGGGCACACCGGGAUCACCUAGUUUCUUCGGAGUUCCACCCUUGAAGGUAUAAUUGGCAAGCAUGGCGGAGAUCUCAAGAUCAGGUAUCCUCCUCUUAUUAGUCACAAUAUAUUUCAUGUACUUAACAUACGUAGAUAUCUUGAGCAUAUCUGUCAAACGCAUUUGUAGAAAGAGAGGUCUAAUCAUUUCAACAAAGCGCUCAAAAUCCUCAUCAUCCUUUUUCUUGGAUGGUUUGGGAGGAAAGGGCAUAGGUUUCUGAACCCAUGGUUCCCUUUCUUUACCGUGCUCCCUAGCAGCGAAACCAUUCUUAUCAUAUCUUCUAUUCUUAGGAUGUGGGUUAUCAAGAUCAAUUGGUUCACUCUCCACAUCCUUUUCAUUGCUAGGUUGAGCAUCAACAUGAACAUCACCAUUGAUAUCAUCAUUAGGCUCAUGUUCAUCACCAGAUUGUGUCUUAGCAUUAGAGAUAGAGGCAUCGUUUGGACUCUCAUGGGUAGCAGCAACAGGGUUGCUAGCGUGAAGGUCGCUAUCACCUUUCUUCUUAUUUCUAGGAUGACUAGGUGCAUCAGUGCUAACUCCUUGAGACUCUUGUUCAAAUCUCUUCGGAUGACCCUCAGGAUACACAGGUUCCUGGGUCAUUCUACCGCCUCUAGUAACAACUCUGAAAGAAUUGUCAUUCAACUCGUUGAGCAAGUCAUUCUGAGCUUUAAGUACUUGUUCUACCUGAGUAGUAACCAUAGAGGCAUGUUUACUCAAGAUCUUAAGAUCAUUGACAUUUCUGUCCACACUAGCACUUAAAUGACUAAGCAUUCUUUUCCAAUUGUCUGCUAACAUAAUCGUUGAAAUUCUGUUGUUUGGCAAUAAAGUUAUCAAAUUCAUCCAGGCAUAAGCUAGCAGGUUUAUAAAAAGGAAUAUCACUCUCAUCAAACAUACGCAGAGAAUUUACUUCUACUACCUCUAUCGGGUUAUCGAGACCAUGGAUCUCUUUGAUAGGUGGUAGAUUUUUGACAUAUUUAGAUUUAAUGCCUUUCUCUCGCAUAGAUUUCUUAGCUUCUUGCAUAUCUUCAGAAUUGAGGAAUAGAAUACCUCUUUUCUUCGGAGUUGGCUUAGGAGGUGGUUCGGGAAUAGUCUAAGCAUUCUCAUUGCACAAGAUGUUAUUCAGUAGGAUCUCAACUUGUUCUACGGUUCGUUCCCUAAAAUACUACUGGCACAACUAUCUACGUGGUCUUUGGAAGCAUCGGUGAGUCCAUUAUAGAAGAUAUCAAGUAUUUCAUUCUUCUCAAGAGGGUGAUCAGGCAAAGCAUUCAGUAGCUGGAUGAGCCUCCCCCAAGCUUGUGGGAGACUCUCUUCCUCAGCUUCAGCUAAGUUGUAUAUUUCCUGCAAGGCAGCUUGCUUCUUAUGGACAGGGAAAUAUUUUUUAGAGAAGUAGUAGACCAUAUCCUAGGGGCUACGCACACAUCCAGCAGCAAGAGAAGUGAACCAGGUCUUAGCAUCAUCCUUUAGCGAGAAAGGAAACAACUUGAGCAUGUAGUAGUGGAGGAUCUUUUCCUCACUAGUGAAUAGGGUGGAUAUAUCGUGCAGUUUGGUAAGAUGAGCUACAACCGUUUUAGACUCAUAACCGUGAAAAGGAUCUGAUUCGACCAGAGUGAUUAGCUCAGGGUCGAUAGAGAAUUCAUAAUCCUUAUCGGUAACAAAGAUAAGCGAAGUGGCAAACUUUGGGUCGUAUUUCAUCCUAGCGUUCAGAGAUUUUUCUUUCCACUUGCGCUGUAGUUUCGCAACAUCAUAGCUAUCCUUACACGCAAGAAAGUCCUCAGCUAUCUCUCCCUUCAUAACAUAGCGCGUAUCAGGCAUAGUAGGCAUAGUAGCAGGUUCUACUUUAAUAGUAUCAGCAGUUUCAGAAGUAUCAUCACAUCUAGCAGCAGCUCUAGCAAUAUGUGCAUCAAGGAAUGCACCAAGUGGCAAAGCAGUAUCAGGCAUAGCAGGCAUAGUAUCAAGCAUAGCAUCAUCAGGCAUAGUAUCAAGCAUAGCAUCAUCAGGCAUAGUAUCAAGCAUAGCAUCAUCAGGCAUAGUAUCAAGCAUAGCAUCAUGGAUAGCAGAAGUAGCAUCAUCAAGCACAUGCGACAUAUCAAGAUUUCUAGAAGGAGGCGAAGUCGCAAACUUACUCAAAACUUAAGGUGAAUCAAAUGCAGAGCUAGAUAGCAAUUCCUUACCUCUCCUCGUAGUGGAAGGCAAGAUUUUAGUUCUUGGAUCUUUCGAAUACCUCAUAGUGAUCAGCAGACGUCAAUCCCAAGAGACUCAGAGAAUAUAGUUGUGCUUCCCCGGCAACAGUGCCAGAAAAAAGCUGUUGGCAAUCCCCGGCAACGGGGCCAGAAAAUAGCCUUGAUGUCCCACAAGCGUAUGGAAUCGCUGCAGUUUUCAAGGAUAGAGUAUUCGACCCAAAUUUGUAGAUUCGCCAAGACGGGAAGCGAAAGAAUAUUCUCAAGUAUUAGCAGCUGAAUGUGUCAGAUUCAACCACACCUGAAAGAUUAGUGUCUGUAAGCAAAGUAUCAGUAGCAAGGUAGUAUGAUAGAAACGGUGCCAGAAACGAUCUGUUGACGGCAUACUGUUCCUAACUGUUGUAUCAAUGGCGCCAGCACGUUGACGGGGGAUUAUUCUUGAGAAGUAUGCUUCCCUGGCUACGGCUCCAACAAAGUCUUGCAACAAAUAACGGCAGAGUAGCAAGGAACAGCAGUAGCAACAACAACAAAGUGACAGCAAUAGCAACAGUAGCAGCAAAGUGGCCCAAUCCCUUUUGUAGCAAGGGACAAGCCUAGACAAAGUAACGUAGCGAAAACUAGUAGUGAAAGACUCGUAGGCAUUGGAUCGGUGAUAGAUGAGUAUGACGGAUGUGAUUCAUCAUGUAACAGCUAUAACACGGAGAUAUAUGUAACUAGCUCCCGUUCGUCAAUCUAAUGUAGGCAUGUAUUCCGUAUGUAGUCAUACGUGCUUAGGGAAAAGAACUUGCAUGACAUCUAUUGUCCAUCCCUCCCGUGGCAGCGGGGUCCUAAUGGAAACUACGGGAUAUUAAGGUUUUUCUUUUAAUAAAGAACCGGACCAACGCAUUAACACGCGGUGAAUACAUGAACUCCUCAUACUAUGGUCAUCUCCGGGAGUGGUUCCGGCUAUUGUCACUCCGGGGUUGCCGGGUCAUAACACAUAGUAGGUGACUAUAACUUUCACGAUAGGAUCUAAAACACACAUAUAUUGGCGACAACAUAAUAGGUUCAGAUCUGAAAUCAUGGCACUCGGGCCCUAAUGACAAGCAUUAAGCAUAGCCAAGUAGUAGCAACACCAAUCUAGAACAUAGUGGAUACUAGGGAUCAAUCCCCGUCAAGAACUAACUCGAUUACAUGAUAGAUCUCAUCCAACUCAUCACCGUCCAGCAAGCCUACGAUGAUAUUACUCACGAACGAUGAAGAGCAUCAUGGAAUUGUCGAUGGAGAAAGGUUGAUGAUGACGAUGGCGACGAUUUCCCCUCUCCGGAGCCCGAAACGGACUCCAGAUCUGCCCUCCAGAUGAAGAACAGGAUGUGGCGGUGCCUCCGUAUCGCAAAAUGCGAUGAAACCUUCUCUUUGAUUUUUUUCUAGGCGAAACAGAAGAUAUAGAUCUGAGUUUGGGGGCAGUGGUGCAAUGUGGGCCCCACAAGCCCUCACGGCGUGGCCAUAGGUGGUGGUCGCGGCCUGUGGGCUUGUGGCCCACUGGCAUGCCCCCUCCGGUGGAUCUUUGUGCACGUAUUUUUCUUUUAUUCCAGAAAAAAUCUUCGUAAAUUUUCAGGACGUUCCAAGAACUUUCAUUUCUACACAAAAAAAACCACCAUGGCAAUUCUGCUGAAAACAACGUCAGUCCGGGUUAGUUCCAUUCAAAUCAUGCAAGUUAGAGUCCAAAACAAGGGCGAAAGAGUUCAGAAAAGUAGAUACGACAGAGAGAUGUCACUUCCUACCAAAGUUGGUCAUGCUUCCUGAGGUAAAUACUCUCAACAAAUAUCAUCGAAGCAAGUAUUGCAUCAAAAUUAGCGCAAAUCAAAACAAAGUGAUUAAACAUAAAUCAAAGAAGAGAUGAAUCAAAACCCUAAUUCAUGUGCAUAGAUACCGCGGGUCGACGUGUGAGAUCUGCGUGCAGCUUCUUUGGCAAGCCGAUAAGAGGGAAUUGACGAGCAUGGUCGGGCGGGGGACAGGGGCGGCGAUGGUGAUUACAUCACGUGGUCGGUGGUGAGAACAAGAUUUGAUGAAGGAGACAGCGAACCGACGACAUGGAGCAGUUCUAGCUGCAAUGGAGUUCUUGGGGUGGAGCAGGGCGGAGGCGGAGGUUGUCGUCGUGGUGACCGAGCUCGGCGUGCUGGGGAUGAUCUUGUCCAUGAGAUGUGACAUGGGGUUGGAUGGGUGGAUCGUCCAGGCGAGAUUUAUUCGCCUUGAUGUGGUGAGGUGGUUGGGGCUGGGAAGGAGGUGAGAUUUACUCGGGCUGGAUGAAUACGUGCAGUUAAUGGGAUGGAUGAGGGUAUCGCGAGGCCAUGCGAUUAAAUAAGAAUCAAUGUUGCACGACACGUCUGCUGAAAAGUUUCUGUCACACUACAGAUAAGAAGCGUUUCCCAAUUACUAUCACUAUUUAUUAACUCUCAAACAAAUAUGAGGAACGAGAGCAUAUUAUUUCUAUAAAAUCGACAUGCCAUCAUGCUCAAAAAGAUAUAAGUGAAGUACUAGAGCAACUGAUAAGCUCAAAAGAUACAAUUGAAGCACAUCGAGUAUUCUAACAAAUUAUAAUGAUGGUCUCUCUCUCUCUCAAAUAGGUGUGUCCAGCAAACAAUGAUUGUGGUAAACUAACAGUAAAAGUAAACAAAAGCAAACGACACUCCAGGCAAAACUCAUAUCAUGUGAUGAAUAAAUAUGUAGCUCCAAAUAACAUGCCGAUGGAUUGAUACAAAAGAGGGGAUGCAUUCCCGGGGCAUCCCCAAGCUUAGAUGCUUGAUUCUUCCCCGAAUAUUACCUUGAGGUGCCUUAGGAAUCCCCAAGCUUAGGCUCGUGCUACUUCUCAAUCCUUUGUCCAUCGAAAUAAUACCGAAAUCUUGAAAUCCUCAACCACACAAAACUCAACAAAACUUCAUGAGAUCCGUUCGUAUAGGUAACAUAACAAACACUUUUAGGUACUGUUAUAAAUUGAUUCUUGUUUCACUUUGGCAUAAGGUACUGUAUUGUAAAUUCUCCAUGGCUUAUACCCCCCGAUAUAAUCCAUAGCAUAACCAAAACAAGCAAACUAUGCAUGCAAAAACAGAAUAUGUUUAAAACAGAACAGUGUGUAGUAAUACAUUUAAUUGCCAUACUUAUGUAACUACACAAAUUCUGAAAAAUUAGGAGAACAUGAUGAAUUUGUAUAUCAGUACUAUGUAAAAAACUCACCUUAAAAAGAUGUUCUAGUAAAAUCUGACAAUUAUUGCACUCUGCAUUAAAGUUUCUAUUUUUGCACCGUAUCAUUCUACUCAUCAUGAAAAUCAUCCCAAAGUCUUUACUUGGCAGAAACACUAAUUAAAACAUAAAAACACAACCAUUAUAACAAACCAUUAUGCCAUCACAAUCAAAUAGAAAGCGGAAAGCAAAAUUAAAAGAUAACUAUUGGGUUGCCUCCCAACAAGCUCUAUUGUUUUACGUCCCUAGCUAGGCAUAUCGCACAGUUUCAAGUGUUGUCAUCUUUGACAUUGAAUCCAUAAGUGGCCCUCAUGAUAGAUUCAUAAGGUGGUUUGAUUCCCUUUCUAGGGAAGUGUUCCAUCCCUUUAUUUAGUGGAAAUUGGAACCCUAUGUUGCCCUCUUUCAUAUCAAUGAUUGCACCUAAAUUCCAUCGAAAAGGUCUUCCAAGUAUAAUGGUACAAGUAGGAUUGCAAUCAAUAUCAAACACAAUAAAUCUACAGACACAUAAGUUCUGUGUGCAAUGAUAAGCACACCAUUAAUUCUACCUAAGGUUUUCUUAAUGGUAGAAUCCGCAAGAUGCAAGUUAAGGGAACAUUCUUCGAUAUUAGUGAGACCAAGCACAUCACAUAAAGCUUUAGGUAUAGUUCAAACACUACCACCAAGGUCACACAAAUUAUUGCAUUCAUAUUUAUUUAUCUUAAUUUUGAUAGUAGGUUCCCACUCAUCAUGCAACUUUCUAGGAAUAAAAAACUUCAUGCUCAAGUUUCUCAUCAUAAGCGUUUACCAUAGCUUCAACUAUAUGUUGAGUAAAGGCUUUAUUUUGUUCAUCGUGCUUCCUUUUGAUGUUUGUCGUGCUUGCAAUGGUAGUCUUGCUUCCAUUUUUUGGCCAACGUACUUUCUUUGCGAUGGUAGUCGUUCUUCCUUCCUAAACUGUGAAUGAUGGUCGUGCUUCCUACCAGAGUUGGUCAUGCUUCCUGAGGUAAAUACUCUCAACAAAAUUCACCGAAGCAAGUAUUGCAUCAAAAGUAGCGCAAAUCGAAACAAAGUGAUUAAACAUAAAUCGAAGAUGUGAUGAGUCAAAACCCUAAUUCAUGUGCGUAGAUACUGGGGGUCGACACGUGAGAACCGCGUGAAGCUUCUUUGCCAAGACGAUAAGAGGGAAUUGACGAGCAUGGUCGGGCGAGGGACAGGGGCGGCGAUGGUGAUUACGUCAUGUAGUCAGUGGUGAGAACAAGGUUCAACGAAGGAGACGAAGAGAGACAGCGGACCGACGACAUGGAGCAGUUUUAGGUGCAAUGGAUUUGUUGGUGCGAAGCAGGGCGACGUCAUAGGUCGUCGUCGUGCUGAGCGAGCUCGGCGUGCUCGGGAAGAUUUCGUCCAUGAUAUGCGAGAUGGGGUUGGAUGGGGGCCAGGCGAUAUUUACUCGCCUUGAUGUGGUGAGGUGGUUGGGGCUGGGAGGAGGCAAUAUUUACUCGGACUGGAUGAAUACGUGGAGUUAAUGGGUUAGAUGAGGGUAUCGCUAGGCCAUGCGAUUAAAUAAGAAUCAACGUCGCAUGACACGUUGGCUCAAAAAUUUCUAUCAGACUACUGAUAAGAAGCGUUACCCAAUUACUAUCACUGUUUAUUAACUCUCAAACAAAUAUGAGGAACCAGAGUAUAUUAUUUCUAUAAAAUCUACAUGCCACUGUGUUCAAAAAUAUAUAAGUGAAGUACUAUAGCAACUGCUAAGCUCAAAAGAUAUAACUGAAGCACAUAGAGUAUUCUAACAAAUUAUAAUGAUGGUCUCUUUGUCUCUCAAAUAGGUGUGUCCAGCAAACAAUGAUUGUGUGAAACUGAAUGUAAAAGUAAACGAAAGCAAAUGAUGCUCCAAGAAAAACUCAUAUCAUGUGAUGAAUAAAAAUGUAGCUCCAAGUAACAUGCCGAUGGAUUGAUACAAAAGAUGGGAUGCAUUCCCGGGUCAUCCCCAAACAUAGACACUUGAGUCUUCCUAGAAUAUUACCUUGAGGUGCCUUGGGCAUCCCCAAGCUUAGGCUCUUGCUACUUCGCAUUCCUUUGUCCAUCGAAAUAAUACUCAAAUUUUGAAAACUUAAACCACAGAAAACUCAACAAAACUUUGUGAGAUCCGUUAGUAUAGGUAAUAUAACAAACACUUUUAGGUACUGUUAUAGAUUGAUUCUUGUUUUAUUUUGGCAUAAGGUACUGUAUUAUAACUUCUCCAUGGCUUAUACCCCCCGAUAUAAUCCAUAACAUAACCAAAACAAGCAAACUAUGCAUGCAAAAACAGAAUCUGUUUAAAACAGAACAAUGUGUAGUAAUAUAUUUAAUUGCCAUACUUAUGUAACUAAAACAAUUCUGAACAAUUAGGACAACAUGAGGAAUUUGUAUAUCAGUACUUUGUAAAAAAAUUCAGCUUAAAAAUAUGUUCUAGUAAAAUCAGAGAAAUUCCGCACUCAGCGUUACAGUUUCUGUUUUUGCACCAUAUCGAUUCUACUCAUCAUGAAAAUCAUCCCAAAGUAUUUACUUGGCACAAACACUAAUUAAAACAUAAAAACACAAUCAUUAUAGCUGGCAAUUGUGUCAUCACAAUAAAACAGAAAGUGGAAAGCAAAAAUAAAUUAUAACUAUUGGGUUGCCUCCCAACAAGCGCUAUUGUUUUAUGUCCCUAGCUAGGCAUAUCGCACAGUUUCAAGUGUUGUCAUCUUUGACAUUGAAUCCAUAAGUGACCCUCAUGAUAGAUUCAUAAGGUGGUUUGAUUCCCUUUCUAGGGAAGUGUUCCGUCCCUUUCUUUAAUGGGAAUUGGAACCUUAUGUUGCCCUCUUUCAUAUCAAUUAUUGCACCUAUAUUUCGUAGAAAAGAUCUUCCAAGUAUAAUGGUACAAGUAGGAUUGCAAUCAAUAUAAAGCCCACAAUAAAUCUACAGGCACAUACUUUUUUUUGCAAUGAUAAGAACAUCAUUAAUUCUACCUAAGGUUUUCUUAGUCUCGGCGUUGACCCAGUGCUCGUGGUAGAGGAAGAUGGGCGUGCGACGUACGUGGCACUUCUCGAUACAAUCCACUAGGAGUAGUGGAAAGCCGGUCUCCAGAAGCGUCUCAGGUACGGUAGCCAUCUACAAGGCAUAGUAGAGAGGUCAGAAGGUUGUAUGUGCAAAAGUUUGUGCAAGGCUUGUGUUCUAACGUUCUCGGCUAACGUCCAUGUUAUCUAAGGCUUCCUAUAGUCAGGAUGGCUCUGAUACCAGUUUUGUGGGGACCCCGACUAGCAAGUCGAGUUCGUCGUGCCUAGUGACCCCAAGGAUCAAUGUUCACUGAACACAGAUACUGAAUAAUAGAGUCUUACAUCCAAGUACCGAAAUUAUUACAUCAAACGACCAGAAGGUCGGGUUCAAGAGCGAGGCCUAAAGCCAAAUUAAACAGAUACAUCGAGUAGCGGAAACUCGUAAGGGCUAAGCGGUGCCCAAGCCAUGAAGCCUACACCGACAGGCAUUAUGACUUGGAAGCGUCCUAGCUCGCAGGUUCAUCUCCGACGGCGUACUCGUCGCCAAACUCCGGUCCUUCCAUGUCUGGUCAAUAAUAUAACCAGUGGCAAGCCAAUGAGUACUUUGAAUGUACUCGCAAACAACCCAUGAUAUGAACAUUGAUAGUGAAGAAUAAUAGUAACAUGUAUCUAUAGUGGAAUGCAAUUUUGUGGAAUGAUCAGGUAUAUGCAACAAGUUAAAGAACUACUCUUGAAGAACAGGUUACAGAUAUCAACAUAUCUGCUAAGGGUUGAACACACCGGGUUCACCCUAUAUGCCAAGUCAUCGGACUUGUCAUAACCUCAAUGUAUUAAUGAGGGCUAAACAAUCCGGGUUUACCCUAUAUGUCAAGUCACCGAACUUGGUCAUAAUGUUAUGAUUAUAACAACACCUUUUUAACACCACACACACACACACUUCACUUGGUUUAUGCGGAAACACUGGACGUAGUUUAAGCAGCACCACCCAACUGUCCUUGACCGUGGACACGGCUAUUCGAAUAGUUUGACACUCUGCAGAGGUAGUACGCUGGACCCACGAGAAACGGGAAACUUUCGUGUCAUCCACGACUCACGGUAUAUCACAUAUACCCGAGGUAAGUACCCGAUCAUCAUCUUUCCCCUGACGAUACUAGACAAAGAGGUCCACUCGAUUGGUACCCAGCCCACAUGUUGUACGUCUUACGAGCACCGACUCUAGACAGUAUCAACCAUGCGGGGACCAACGGUGUGCCUGGAACUCAUAAUAAUGGCAUAGUCGUCCUACCUGGCACGACCCCAUCACGAGAGUGACACCGAUCACUCCCGCCACUAGUAAUGUGGCUCUUUGCUAGUACCGACCAGAGUAAUCAACAAAGCCCCGUCCCAUAAAGGGGUAUCGUGGUCGUACUGGUAAGGUUGGGACGGUUGACACAUCAUAAUUCUAAUCCCAUUUCCGAAACCACACACGCAAAAUACCCGGUGCACCAUUUCUCCAAAAGUGUCCACCAACUCAUCAUCACCCUCGGGCAUUAUUGGCACCCGACGGGGUUUUCAUAAACUCUUUAUUUUAUGACAUCAACAUGCUCAUGAUAAUACGCUCUAUCUGUACUUGUCAACAUGGUAUAACAUGACCCUCAAGGGGUAGGGUCAAGCUCAAUGCAAUGAUCUUACUCUACUAGUCAACAUGACAGUAGCAUGAUCCUUAUAAGUGGUAGGGUCAAGCUCAUCAUGUUUGUGCUCCGAGGAGCCACAUGAAUAACAUCAUCAACAUGCAAGGGCUUUGAAGAAGCCUCCGGUGCCAUCACCACAAUGAUGAACCGGCAUCGUGAUCACAUGCAACAGGAAAAUACCAACUAUACUAGCAUGCAACAAUGUUUGUGCUCAAGUCAUGGUCAAAGUGUUGGAAUUAUGCCCUAGAGGCAAUAAUAAAUAUAGUUAUUAUUAUAAUUCCUGUAUCAAGAUAAUCGUUUAUUAUCCAUGCUAUAAUUGUAUUGAAUGAAGACUCAUUUACAUGUGUGGAUACAUAGGCAAAACACCGUCCCUAACAAGCCUCUACUUGGCUAGCCAGUUGAUCAAAGAUAGUCAGUGUCUUCUGAUUAUGAACAAAGUGUUGUUACUUGAUAACUGGAUCACGUCAUUAGGAGAAUCACGUGAUGGACUAGACCCAAACUAAUAGACGUAGCAUGUUGAUCGUGUCAUUUUGUUGCUAUUGUUUUCUGCGUGUCAAGUAUUUAUUCCUAUGACCAUGAGAUCAUAUAACUCACUGACACCGGAGGGAUGCUUUGUGUGUAUCAAACGUCGCAACGUAACUGGGUGACUAUAAAGAUGCUCUACAGGUAUCUCCGAAGGUGUUAGUUGAGUUAGUAUGGAUCAAGACUGGGAUUUGUCACUCCGUGUGACGGAGAGGUAUCUCGGGGCCCACUCGGUAAUACAACAUCACACACAAGCCUUGCAAGCAAUGUGACUUAGUGAAAGUUGCGGGAUCUUGUAUUACGGAACGAGUAAAGAGACUUGCCGGUGAACGAGAUUGAAAUAGGUAUGCGGAUAUUGACGAUCGAAUCUCGAGCAAGUAACAUACCGAAGGACAAAGGGAAUGACAUACGGGAUUAUAUGAAUCCUUGGCACUGAGGUUCAAACGAUAAGAUCUUCGUAGAAUAUGUAGGAUCCAAUAUGGGCAUCCAGGUCCCGCUAUUGGAUAUUGACCGAGGAGUCUCUCGGGUCAUGUCUACAUAGUUCUCGAACCCGCAGGGUCUGCACACUUAAGGUUCGACGUUGUUUUAUGCGUAUUUGAGUUAUAUGGUUGGUUACCGAAUGUUGUUCAGAGUCCCGGAUGAGAUCAUGGACGUCACGAGGGUUUCCGGAAUGGUCUAGGAAUGAAGAUUGAUAUAUAGGAUGACCUCAUUUGAUUACCGGAAGGUUUUUGAAGUUACCGGGAAUGUAUCGGGAAUGACGAAUGGAUUCCCGGAGUUCACCGGGGGGGGGGCAACCCACCCCGGGGAAGCCCAUAGGCCUUGAGGGUGGCACACCAGCCCUUAGUGGGCUGGUGGGACAGCCCAAAAGGGCCCUAUGCACCUAGGAAAGAAAAUCAAAGAGAAAAGAAAAAAAGGGGAGGUGGGAAGGGUAGGAAGGACUCCCACCCACCAAACCAAGUCCAACUCGGUUUGGGGGGGGAGCCUUCCCCCUUGGACUCGGCCGACCCCCUUGGGGCUCCUUGAGCCCCAAGGCAAGGUCCCCUCCCUCCCACCUAUAUAUACGGAGGUUUUAGGGCUGAUUUGAGACGACUUUUCCACGGCAGCCCGACCACAUACCUCCACGGUUUUUCCUCUAGAUCGCGUUUCUGCGGAGCUCGGGCGGAGCCCUGCUGAGACAAGGUCAUCACCAACCUCUGGAGCGCCGUCACGCUGCCGGAGAACUCUUCUACCUCUCCGUCUCUCUUGCUGGAUCAAGAAGGCCGAGAUCAUCGUCGACUUGUACGUGUGCUGAACGCGGAGGUGCCGUCCGUUCGGUACUAGAUCGUGGGACUGAUCGCGGAAUUGUUCACGGGGCGGAUCGCGGGACGUGAGGAUGUUCCACUACAUCAACCGCGUUCACUAACGCUUCUGCUGUACGAUCUACAAGGGUACGUAGAUCACUCAUCCCCUCUCGUAGAUGGACAUCACCAUGAUAGGUCUUCGUGCGCGUAGGAAAAUUUUCGUUUCCCAUGCGACGUUCCCCAACAGUGGCAUCAUGAGCUAGGUUCAUGCAUAGAUGUCUUCUAGAGUAGAACACAAAAGUUUUUGUGGGCGGUGAUGUGCGUUUUGCUGCCCUCCUUAGUCUCUUCUUGAUUCCGCGGUAUUGUUGGAUUGAAGCGGCUUGGACCGACAUUACUCGUACGCUUACGAGAGACUGGUUUCAUCGCUACGAGUAACCCCGUUGCUCAAAGAUGACUGGCAAGUGUCGGUUUCUCCAACUUUAGUUGAAUCAGAUUUGACCGAGGAGGUCCUUGGAUGAGGUUAAAUAGCAACUCAUAUAUCUCCGUUGUGGUGUUUGCGUAAGUAAGAUACGAUCCUACUAGAUACCCAUGGUCACCACGUAAAACAUGCAACAACAAAAUUAGAGGACGUCUAACUUGUUUUUGCAGGGUAUGCUUGUGAUGUGAUAUGGCCAACGAUGUGAUGUGAUAUAUUGGAUGUAUGAGAUGCUCAUGUUGUAAUAGUAAAUAUCGACUUGCACGUCGAUGGUACGGCAACCGGCAGGAGCCAUAGGGUUGUCUUUAUACUAACGUUUGUGCUUGCAGAUGCGUUUACUAUUUUGAUAGGAUGUAGCUUUAGUAGUAAUAGCAUGAGUAGCACGACAACCCCGAUGGCAACACGUUGAUGGAGAUCAUGGUGUGGCGCCGAUGACAAGAAGAUCGUGCCGGUGCUUUGGUGAUGGAGAUCAAGGAGCACGUGAUGAUGGCCAUAUCAUGUCACUUAUGAAUUGCAUGUGAUGUUAAUCCUUUUAUGCACCUUAUUUUGCUUAGAACGACGGUAGCAUUAUGAGGUGAUCUCUCACUAAAAUUUCAAGACGAAAUUGUGUUCUCCCCGACUGUGCACCGUUGCUACAGUUCACCGUUUCGAGACACCACGUGAUGAUCGGGUGUGAUAGACUCAACGUUCACAUACAACGGGUGCAAAACAGUUGCGCACGCGGAACACUCGGGUUAAGCUUGACGAGCCUAGCAUGUGCAGACAUGGCCUCGGAACACGUGAGACCGAAAGGCCGGUCAUGAAUCAUAUAGAUGAUAUGAUUAGCAUAGGGAUGCUUACCACUGAAACUAUACUCAACUCACGUGAUGAUCGGACUUGAGCUAGUAUAAGUGGAUCAUGAACCACUCAAAUGACUAGAGAGAUGUACCUUUUGAGUGGGAGUUUAGCGAAUAAUUUGAUUAAGUUAAACUCUAAUUAUCUUGAACAUAGUCUAAAGUCCACUUUGAAUAUAUUUGUGUUGUAGAUCAUGGCUCACGCUACAGUCAUCCUGAAUUUUAAUACGUUCCUAGAGAAAGCUAAGUUGAAAGAUGAUGGAAGCAACUUUGUAGACUGGGCUCGUAAUCUUAAGCUAAUCUUACAAGCUGGGAAGAAGGAUUAUGUCUUUAGUGCUGCGCUAGGAGAUGAACCACCCGCUACGGCUGAUCAGGAUGUUUAGAACGCUUGGUUAGCACGUAAGGAGGACUACUCAAUAGUUCAAUGUGCAGUCUUGUAUGGCUUAGAACCGGGACUUCAACGUCGCUUUGAGCGUCAUGGAGCAUUUGAGAUGUUCCAGGAGUUGAAGUUUAUCUUUCAGAAGAACGCCCGGAUCAAGAAGUAUGAGACCUCUGAUAAAUUCUAUGCUUGCAAGAUGGAGGAAAACUCGUCUGUCAGUGAACAUGUGCUCAAAAUGUCUGGGUACUCAAACCGUCUAGCUGAGCUGGGGAUUGAACUCCCGCAAGAGGCUAUCACUGACAGAAUCCUUCAAUCACUGCCGCCAAGCUAUAAAGGCUUUGUGUUGAACUACAACAUGCAAGGGAUGAACAAGUCUCCCGGCGAGUUGUUUGCGAUGCUGAAAGUCGCAGAGUCUGAACUCCGUAAAGAGCAUCAAGUGUUGAUGGUGAAUAAGACCACUAGUUUCAAGAGAAACGGCAAAGGCAAGAAGGGUAAUUCGAAGAAGAGCGGCAAGCCUAUUGCCAAUCCGACGAAGAAACCCAAAGCUGGACCUAAGCCUGAAACGGAGUGUUACUAUUGCAAGGGUAUGGGUCACUCGAAGCGCAAUUGCCCCAAGUAUCUGGGAGAUAAGAAGGCGGCCAAAGAAAAAUCAGGUAUAUUUGAUAUACAUGUUAUUGAUGUGUACUUAACCGGCUCUCGUUGUAGUGCCUGGGUAUUCGAUACCGGUUCUGUUGCUCAUAUUUGCAACUCGAAACAGGAACUGCGGAAUAGACGAAGGCUGGCGAAAGAUGAAGUGAUGAUGCACGUAGGAAAUGGUUCCAAGGUUGAUGCAAUCGCCGUCGGCACAGUUUCACUUCAGUUACCAUCAGGAUUAGUGAUGAACUUAAAUCAUUGUUAUUUAGUGCCUGCGUUGAGCAUGAAAAUUAUAUCUCGAUCUUGUUUAUUGCGAGACGGUUACUCUUUUAAGUCAGAGAAUAAUGGUUGUUCUAUUUCUAUGAGUAACAUCUUUUAUGGUCAUGCACCUAAUGUGAGAGGAUUGUUCAUAUUGAAUCUUGAUAGCGAUACGCAUAUACAUAACAUUGAGACCAAAAGAGUUAGAGUUAACAAUGAUAGCGCCAUAUUUUUGUGGCACUGCCGCUUAGGUCAUAUUGGUGUAAAGCGCAUGAAGAAACUCCAUGCUGAUGGACUUUUGGGGUCACUUGACUUUGAUUCACUUGACACGUGCGAACCAUGCCUCAUGGGCAAGAUGACUAAGACUCCGUUCUCCAGAACAAUGGAGCGUGCAAGUGACUUGUUGGAAAUCAUACAUACCGAUGUGUGUGGUCCGAUGAGUGUGGAGGCACGCGGCGAAUAUCGUUAUUUUCUCACCUUCAUUGACGAUUUCAGUAGAUAUGGUUAUGUCUACUUGAUGAAGCACAAGUCUGAAACAUUUGAAAAGUUCAAGCAAUUUCAGAGUGAAGUGGAAAAUCAUCGUAACAAGAAGAUCAAGUUCCUACGGUCUGAUCGUGGGGGUGAAUAUCUGAGUUUCGAGUUUGGUACUCACUUAAGACAAUGUGGAAUUGUUUCACAGUUAACACCACCUGGAACACCACAGCGUAAUGGUGUGUCCGAACGUCGUAAUCGUACUCUAUUAGAGAUGGUGCGAUCUAUGAUGUCUCUUACUGAUUUGUCGUUAUCGUUUUGGGGUUAUGCAUUAGAAACAGCUGCAUUCACUUUAAAUAGGGCACCAUCAAAAUCCGUUGAGACGACACCAUACGAACUGUGGUAUGGCAAAAGGCCAAAGUUGUCAUUUCUUAAAUUUUGGGGAUGUGAUGCUUAUGUCAAAAAGCUUCAGCCUGAAAAGCUGGAACCCAAAGCGGAAAAGUGCGUCUUCAUAGGUUACCCAAAAGAGACAGUUGGGUACACCUUCUAUCUCAAAUCCGAGGGCAAAGUGUUUGUUGCUAAAAACGGAGCUUUUCUCAAGAAGGAGUUUCUCUCGAGAGAAUUGAGUGGGAGGAAGAUAGAACUUGACGAGUUUGUCGAACCUAUCAUCCCUCUGGAUGGUGGCGCAGGGCAAGGGGAAACCUCUAUCGUUGCGACGCCGGUUGAGGAGGAAGUUAAUGAUGAUGAUCCUGAAACUCCAGUUCAAGUUUCUGUCGAACCACGCAGGUCGACGAGACCACGUGCUGCUCCAGAGUGGUACGGUAAUCCCUCCUUUUCAAUCAUGUUGUUAGACAACAAUGAACCUGCAAAUUAUGAAGAAGCAAUGGUGGGCCCAGAUUCCAACAAAUGGCUAGAAGCCAUGAAGUCCGAGAUAGGAUCCAUGUAUGAGAACAAAGUGUGGACUUUGGAGGUACUACCUGAGGGCCGCAAGGCUAUUCAGAACAAAUGGAUCUUUAAGAGGAAGACGGACGCUGACGGCAAUGUGACCGUUUAUAAAGCUCGACUUGUGGCAAAGGGUUUUUGACAAGUUCAAGGAGUUGACUACGAUGAGACAUUCUCACCCGUAGCGAUGCUUAAGUCCGUCAGAAUCAUGUUAGCAAUAGCUGCAUUUUUCGAUUAUGAAAUCUGGCAGAUGGAUGUCAAAACAGCGUUCCUUAACGGUUUCCUUAAGGAAGAGUUGUAUAUGAUACAACCCGAAGGUUUUGUCGAUCCUAAGAAUGCUAACAAGGUGUGCAAGCUCCAGCGAUCAAUUUAUGGACUGGUGCAAGCAUCUCUGAGUUGGAACAAACGCUUUGAUGAGGUGAUCAAAGCAUUUGGGUUUAUACAAGUGGUUGGAGAAUCUUGUAUUUACAAGAAAGUGAGUGGGAGCUCUGUGGCGUUUCUAAUAUUAUAUGUGGAUGAAAUAUUACUGAUUGGAAACAACGUGGAGUUUUUAGAGAGCAUAAAGGAUUACUUGAAUAAGAGUUUCUCUAUGAAGGACCUAGGAGAAGCUUCUUACAUUCUAGGCAUUAAGAUCUAUAGGGAUAGAUCAAAACGCCUGAUAGGACUUUCACAAAGCACAUACCUUGAUAAAGUUUUGAAGAGGUUCAAAAUGGAACAGUCCAAGAAAGGGUUCUUGCCAGUUUUACAAGGUAUGAGAUUGAGUAAGACUCAGUGCCCAGCAACUGAUGAAGAUAGAGAGCAUAUGCGCUCCGUCCCCUAUGCUUCAGCCAUAAGUUCUAUCAUGUAUGCAAUGUUGUGCACUAGACCGGAUGUUAGCCUGGCCAUAAGUAUGGCAGGUAGGUUCCAGAGUAAUCCAGGAGUGGAUCACUGGACAACGGUCAAGAAUAUCCUAAAGUACCUGAAAAGGACUAAGGAGAUGUUUCUCGUGUAUGGAGGUGACGAAGAGCUCGCCGUAAAAGGUUACGUCGAUGCAAGUUUUGACACAGAUCCGGACGACUCUAAGUCGCAAACCGGAUACAUAUUUAUUCUUAAUGGGGGUGCGGUAAGCUGGUGCAGUUCCAAGCAAAGCGUCGUAGCAGAUUCUACAUGUGAAGCGGAGUACAUGGCUGCCUCGGAGGCGGCUAAGGAGGGUGUCUGGAUGAAGCAGUUCAUGACGGAUCUUGGAGUGGUGCCAAGCGCACUGAAUCCAAUAACCUUGUUCUGUGACAACACGGGUGCCAUUGCCUUAGCAAAGGAACCACGGUUUCAGAAGAAGACCAGACACAUCAAACGACGCUUCAACCUCAUCCGCGACUACGUCGAGGGAGAGGACGUAAAUAUAUGCAAAGUGCACACGGAUCUGAAUGUAGCAGAUCCGCUGACUAAACCUCUUCCACGGCCAAAGCAUGAUCAACACCAGAACUGUAUGGGUGUUAGAUUUAUUACAAUGUAAUUCACAUGAUGAUGUGAGGGCUAGAUUAUUGACUCUAGUGCAAGUGGGAGACUGUUGGAAUUAUGCCCUAGAGGCAAUAAUAAAUAUAGUUAUUAUUAUAAUUCCUGUAUCAAGAUAAUCGUUUAUUAUCCAUGCUAUAAUUGUAUUGAAUGAAGACUCAUUUACAUGUGUGGAUACAUAGACAAAACACCGUCCCUAGCAAGCCUCUAGUUGGCUAGCCAGUUGAUCAAAGAUAGUCAGUGUCUUCUGAUUAUGAACAAAGUGUUGUUGCUUGAUAACUGGAUCACGUCAUUAGGAGAAUCACGUGAUGUACUAGACCCAAACUAAUAGACAUAGCAUGUUGAUCGUGUCAUUUUGUUGCUACUGUUUUCUGCAUGUCAAGUAUUCAUUCCUAUGACCAUGAGAUCAUAUAACUCACUGACACCGGAGGGAUGCUUUGUGUGUAUCAAAUGUCGCAACGUAACUGGGUGACCAAGUCCAACUCGGUUUGGGGGGGGAGCCUUCCCCCUUGGACUCGGCCGACCCCCUUGGGGCUCCUUGAGCCCCAAGGCAAGGUCCCCUCCCUCCAACCUAUAUAUACGGAGGUUUUAGGGCUGAUUUGAGACGACUUUUCCACGGCAGCCCGACCACAUACCUCCACGGUUUUUCCUCUAGAUCGCGUUUCUGCGGAGCUCGGGCGGAGCCCUGCUGAGACAAGGUCAUCACCAACCUCCGGAGCGCCGUCACGCUGCCGGAGAACUCUUCUACCUCUCCGUCUCUCUUGCUGGAUCAAGAAGGCCGAGAUCAUCGUCGACUUGUACGUGUGCUGAACGCGGAGGUGCCGUCCGUUCGGUACUAGAUCGUGGGACUGAUCGCGGGAUUGUUCACGGGGCGGAUCGCGGGACGUGAGGAUGUUCCACUACAUCAACCGCGUUCACUAACGCUUCUGCUGUACGAUCUACAAGGGUACGUAGAUCACUCAUCCCCUCUCGUAGAUGGACAUCACCAUGAUAGGUCUUCGUGCGCGUAGGAAAAUUUUUGUUUCCCAUGCGACGUUCCCCAACACAAAGGGCUGCUUGCCUUGGUCAGCUAGGUAUCCGAGGUCUUCGAGGUCUUCCGCUCCGGAUCCUCCGUCACUCGGUAACUCUACCGUCGAGAAAGGAAUAAAUAAAUAAUAGCUCACACCAAAACAGAUCACAAGGUGCUUUUAAAAAUGUUGCAAGGCUUGAAUAAAUUCAGUUUAUUAUUUUGGAAAAUGUUUCCUAUGGUUUUUAUUAGCGAAGCAUUUUAUUUAAAAGCAAACAUGAGCAAACAAUUGCUUUAAUAUCAUUUUAUUAUACCAAAACAGGUUCUGUUUUUGAUAAAUGUCAAACUCUACAGAAUCAAUUACUACACAUUUUUAGAAAAUUGUUGGUGGAAGAAUCAUAUUUUUCUACUGGCUAAAUAUUUUUAUAAAAAUCAUUUAAGCUCCAGGUUAAAAAUAAAAUGAAAAGGCCAGGGGAGAGACCCGGUCGGCCCAGCUAGCAGAUCGGCCACCACGCGCGUGCGGGCCAGGUUCAAACCUGACUUGCGGGCCCCUGGGGUCAGUGUCAGUGGCUGCGCGCGCUGGCUGCCCCAGGACACCGACAGGUGGGCUCCCCCUGUCGGGUCCUUCUCCUUCCUCCAGCCAGAGAGGUGGAGACGGACGCCGGCGAGGCUACCGUUGCCCUCAGUCCAAUCUAGGAGCGGGAAUGGGUCCCUCGUUCCUCCGCCUACCUGCUCGUGGUUGGGACGUCAUCGGAGGUGGUCUGGGUCGUCGGCGAUGAGAUGAUCGUGGCGGAAAGGUUUCGGGCUGGCGUCGAGCUAGUGGCUAGGGGCACGGACUCGCUCGGGGAAGUUGGGGGAAAUGAUCCUGGCGUCAAGGGGAGUGCAAUGGGAGGUGGGGCAGCGCAGGAGCCGGCGUGUAGCCGGAGAUCGACCGGAGCUCCGAGGCGGAGGGGCCUCGGUCGAUCUCGAGCACCGGGGCUCUGCGAGCUCGAUUGGGCGACUAGGGGGAGUCUAGUGAUUGUGCUGAAGCUGUCUGGGGGUGCUCGGGUGCCGGGGGGGCUAUUUAUAGGCCAGCGGCGGUGAGCUGACUCGGGCGCGUCGGUGACUCACCGUGGCGCGCAUGCGAGCACACUGAGGUGCUGGCCGCGAAACCACGGGUUCGGGACGUGGUUUAGGACCUCCUGGUGCAUCGGCCGCACAGGGAAAGCGAGUGGGGUCGAGCCGCAGCGACCGUGCAUGCUCAGCCGCGCCGGGCGCGCGCGGGCACGCGUCGCCUGAGCUAUUUUGCGAGGAGAGGGGGCCCCUGAUGGUAGCUUUGCACAGAGUGGGUGUCGGGGGAGCGUUUGGACAUUACUAGGGGGGGUUGGAACUGGCCGGGGCGACGUCCCCUUGCUGGAGGCUCUCUGUAGCGCGCCCAGAGCGCAGUUUUGGCAUGCCACGGCAUGCUGGCGCGCUCUGGGGCACUUGGGACGUGUCCUCUAUGUCCCGAGUGUUGCUGGGAGUGUGCCUAGCCGUUGUGUGUUAGUGGGAGCACGAGCUGGUCAAAGGAGGCAAGGAACACCAGUGUUGCCAGUACUGGCCUGCGGCUCAAAUUGAAGAUCUUGUCACUAGUGCUUGGAGUUGCGGAGGGGCUGGUUGACUGGGUGCUCAGGGUGUUCUGGGCUCUAACUCACCAAGUUUGGGGCUUUGACAUUGGGUAAAACAGUGGCUAGGAGGGUUUUUACCUUCCUGUCAGUAGGUGUUCGACGGUGAUUUGGGGUGCUUCCACUCCACCACUGGAACUGAAACUUAACAGGUUUGGUCUUGGGGUAAAAACAUGGGGUUUCACCAAAUUUGAGAUCCAUUGAACAAGUUUAGCUUUGUAAACUUGAAAAUGCUUCAAAAUGACCAGUACUGUCCUUUACAAAGGAAGUGUGGCCAAAGAGAGUCUCACAAAUCCCCUCUUUGGUGUGGAGUCCUCAUUUGGGGUGUCAAACACCUCUGCAAAGUUUCAGCUCCAUUGGAGAGACUUUGCAAUGUAGAGUUGUUCCAACUCUUCUCUGGAGAGAGAGGGUUUUGGGCUCAUUAGGUGCACUUCCCCACCGUGGAUCAAGGUGAGAUUUUAUGUGAGCACCUAAUAUGGCUUGGGAGAGCUCCUGUAAUUUUAUGGGAAUUUAUUGAGAUCAUUUCCUUUGGAAACAUCUCAAAAAGCUAAAACAAACAGAAAUGGUUUUCAGGGUUUUACUCAAAUAAUAUUAAUAUAAAAUAGGGUUGAAAAUCUUAUAUAUGGAAAAUAUAUGUCCUUCUGAGCUUCCAUGAAUUUACUCAGAAUUUUCUAAGGUAGGAAAGCAAUUUUCCUUGUGGGAAUAUCAUUCCUAGCCUUAGAAACAAACAUAAACAUAAAAUAGGAAAAUAAUAUUUUAAAUCACCAAUUAAUGUUUUUAAUGAAUGAAAAUAAUAUCUGGAUCAGAUCACCAACUUUGGUUGGAAGUGCCACUUGUCUUCAUGAGCUAGUAGUGUAUCCCAACAUGAUGAAGGUGAUCUUGAUAUAAAGGAAAAAGGGUUUUUGAAGAGAGCAAAAUAAUAAGUUUUCAUGGGUUUGAGUCAUCAAGCAAGCAAGCAUUCACUCAUACAAGGGCUGACAUUGCACAAACAACAUUAUUUGAAAAAGUUUUAACAAGCUCUGAUUUUUGCAACAUAAAAUACUUGUGAUGAAAAACAGGGUGUCACAGACCUAUCCCUCUUACAAGAAUCUCGUCCCCGAGAUUCCUAAGCUAAGCUUUAAAUAGCUCGGGAAAUUCUGAUCGGAGAUAGUCUUCACGUUCCCACGUGGCUUCUGCUUCGGUAUGGUUGCUCCACUGAACCUUGAAAAACUUGAUGGUGCGGCUUCUGGUGCAACGUUCGGCUUCAUCCAGAAUGCAGAUCGGUUUCUCGCGGUAGGUAAGGUCCGGUUGAAGGUCAAUAGCUUGAUGAUCAAUGUCCUUGUGAAGAUCGGGACGGUUCGGCACUUGUAAACACUUCCGGAGCUGUGACACGUGAAACACGUUGUGCACACCCGAAAGCUCAGGAGGUAGCUCCAACUGGUAAGCUACUUCUCCGUGCCUUGCCGUGAUCUUGAAGGGUCCAAUGAACCUGGGAGCUAGCUUCCCCUUGACGUGGAAACGCUUGGUCCCCUUCAGAGGCAUGACUUGCAAGUACACCUGGUCUCCGGGAACAAACUCCACAUCUCUGCGGCGAGGGUCCGCAUAGCUCUUCUGCCUUGACUUAGCUGCCUUCAAGUUCUCUCGGACAAGCUGAACCUUGCCCCCUGCUUCUUGCAGUGCUUCUGGUCCUAAAACUAGUCCUUCACCGGUUUCGGACCAAUUGAGCGGGGUGAGGCACUUCCGCCCAUAUAACGCUUCGAAUGGGGCCAUCUAAAGACUGGACUCGUAGCUGCUGUUGUAAGAAAACUCAGCAAAUGGCAGGCAAUCUUCCCACUUGGCACCAUGAGCGAAAACACAGGCGCGGAGCAUGUCCUCAAGUAUCUGGUUUACCCUCUCAGUCUGUCCGCCCGUUUGCGGGUGGAAAGACGUACUGAAGGAGAAUUUGGUUGCGAGAGCUUCUUGAAACUUCUUCCAGAAUCAUGAGGUGAAUUGCGUGCCGCGGUCGGACACGAUCUCCUUGGGAACUCCAUGGAGACUCACCACUUGAUGAAUGUAUAGACUGGCCAGCUGGCUGCCAUGGUAGGUGGUGUUAACGGGGAUGAAAUGGGCCACAUUGGUCAAAUGAUCGACUAUGACCCAAAUGGAGUUAUGACCCUUAUUCGACCGGGGCAACCCGGUGAUGAAGUCCGUGCCGACUUUAUCCCACUUCCAUUCCGGCACUUGAAGAGGUUGCAGCAAUCCAGCAGGUCGCUGGUGUUCAGCCUUGACUCGCUGGCAUACAUCGCAUUUAGCGACAUAGGAUCCAAUUUCCCUCUUCAUGCCAUGCCACCAGAAUCGUUCUCGGAGGUCUUGGUACAUUAUGGUACCACCUGGAUGGAUAGAGUACGGUGUGUCAUGAGCCUCUUGCAGGAUCAAGUCCUUAAGUUCGGCCUUGUUAGGUAUGCAUAAGCGCUUCCCGUACCACAGUACUCCUUGCUCAUCAAUCGAGAAUCCUGGGACUUUGCCUUCUCGCACCUUCCUCUUGAGGCCUUCAAUACUCUUGUGUCCCUUCCGGGCUUCCUUGAUGUCGUCUGCCAGAGUAGGCUUGACUUCGAGGUUGGCCAGGUAUCCUGGUUCGACUAUCUCAAGCCCAAAGCCCUCCAUCUCUUCAUACAAGACGAGUAACCUUUCCUUGAGCGCGACGUUCAAGGAGCCUGCCUUUCGGCUUAAGGCAUCAGCUACCACAUUCGCCUUGCCAGGAUGAAUUUGAAUGCUGAGGUCAUAAUCCUUGAUUAACUCAAGCCAUCUCCGCUGCCUCAUAUUUAGCUCCCUUUGAGUGAAGAUAUAUUUCAGACUUUUGUGGUCUGUAUAUAUCUCACAUCGCUUCCCCAAAAGGUAAUGUCGCCACGUCUUCAGAGCAUGCACUACAGCUGCUAGCUCGAGAUCAUGGGUGGCGUAGUUCUCAUGCGGUCGCAGUUGCCGUGACAAGUACGCCACGACCCUGCCAUCUUGCAUCAGGACUCCACCGAGCCCGGUUCCAGAGGCAUCACAGUAUAUUACGAAUACCUUGUUGAUGUCUGGGGUAGCCAAUACCGGGGCGGUAGUUAGCCUCUUCUUCAACUCCUGGAAACUUGCUUCACACACCGGUGUCCACUCGAACUUUCGGCCUUUCUUCAAGAGUUGAGUCAUAGGUCGAGCGAUGCUGGAGAAACCUUCUACAAACUUGCGGUAGUAUCCCGCGAGCCCGAGGAAACUCCUCACAUCCUUCACGUCCUUUGGUGAUUCCCAGUUGGUCACUGUAGUAAUCUUGGACUGAUAUACGGCCAAACCGCUUGCCGUCAGGGUAUGACCCAGAAAUCCAACUUCGUUCAGCCAGGACUGACACUUGCUGAAUUUGGCAUAAAGCUGGUGCUCUCGAAGCUUUCCCAUAACUAACCUCAGGUGUUGCUCAUGCUCCUCUUCGGACUUCGAGAAGAUUAAUAUGUCAUCGAUGAACACGACGACAAACUUGUCCAAAUAUUCCAUGAAGACCUUGUUCAUGAGGUACAUGAAGUAGGCUGGGGCAUUUGUCAAACCGAAGGGCAUGACAGUGCAUUCAUAUAGACCGUAUCGGGUCACGAAUGCAGUCUUGGGUAUGUCUUCGGGUCGAAUCUUCAACUGGUAAUAUUGUAAUGCCCCAAGUGUAGGACUUUCCCUUUUUGUAACCUUCCAUGUGGGACCACCUCGACUUUGUCAUGAGAGUUUCUAUGCAUGUAUGAUUUCUUGUGUCACCUUCUAUUUUGCAUUAGCAUGCAUGCAUCCAUGCCAUAUCAUUCCUUGCCAUACCUUAUGAUUGCAUGUCAUGUUCAUGUUGGCAUAUGUUCUUACUAGGAGUUAGUAUUGUGGUGUUAUGAUUGCAUGUGAUCUUAGUAGGGUUAUGUUGUGGUUUUGCACUAUCUUGUGUGAUGCAUGUGAUGUUGGUGUGUGAUGGGUAGGAGUGAGUGCUAAGUAUGUUCAAAGCUCUUUGCUAUUCAAAAUCCUUUUCCCUCCUAUUAUCUCAUGUCAAAAUUCCUUCUUCCCAAAAGUUAUUCUAAAAUGUCUGGUGGUUAGAGUAAAUUGUGGUUAUGAGGAGGCUUAAUUUUGCUGACUUGUUCUUUGAUUUUUUAAAGGUGCAAAUAAACCCAAAACAGUAAAUUAAUUACUGUUUUGCAUUUAUUUCAAAUGGAUCCAAAUAUUGCUUUCCUAUUUUAUUCUAAUAGGCCAUAAUUCCUUAUGACCAGGGGAUUUCUUCCUUUUAAGUUUAUCCCCACCAGUUUAUUUGUUUUAUUGCUUUCCUUCUGGUGUUUCUUUUAUUUGGGAAAGGCCACUUGGGCCUUUCUUAUAGUGCUCACCGUGGGCUUCCUUCCCUUGCUGGCCCAGCUGCUCCCCCUCCAGCGAGAGCCCACGCGAGCGAGCCCCCUCCUCCUCCUGACGCCGUCACUUCUCCUCCCCCCGCUUUUCUCCUUUCCGUCAGUACGUGAGAGAGAGGGAGGAGUUGACGGUGCCGUGGCACCAACGUCGAGGACCCUAUUUAGCUGGCGUCCGAGCCCUCCCCUCGAAUAGGGUUCCCUCCUACCGCCGCCAUCUCCUUCCUCCCCCUCCAUCUCUUCCUUUCUUCCCCAGGUAAGUUUUCUGUAGGGUUAGCAGAGAGACAGAGAAGUGGCUCGCCGGCGUCUAACCCCGCGUGCUUCGUCGGGCGACACGGCCACCAUGUCCGGGAGCUUGGGGAGAGUGCCCGCGCUCCGUUCCCGCCGUUGUUGAGGUCGGGGAGAGACCACAACAACGGGCAGGAGCUUGUCUUCGGCGCGCACCCGACGAACUGUUUCCUCUACUUCGGUCUACGGCAGAACCACCUCGGCUCGCCUUCUUCCCUCUGGUCCGGCUUCCUCUCCGUCAGAUCGGAACCCUCCCUUCCUUCCCAAGGUGAAGCUGCACCUCCCCCUUCCUUUCUCCUCCGUAGAUCGGCUCGGAUCCGCCGUGGUGCGUGCUUUUCUCUGUCCUAGUUGCAGCAACUUAGUAGGUUGUAGUGGUAGGGGUUGUUCUGCAUAGUGCGGCAUUCGUGGGUGUGCUGCAUAGAGGAGGGCCCCCUCCCCCCUCGUGACAGCAGCGCCGUGGCCAGGAGACCUCCCCGUCAUCGUUGGCAUGAUCGGCUGGUCUGCCUGCUGCGUCUCCGGCGAGGAGGUUAGAUCAGAGUGGCAGAUCAGCACGGGGAGCCUCUCCAUCUUCUCUCUCGCGCGUUUUAGUUCAGAUGUCGCGCUGUAGUCUACUGGUUGUGGUGCUGGGUGCCUGAUGAGAAGGGUGUGGGUUCGAUUCCCCCCCUCGGCGCUGUUGUUUUGAUUGUUUUACUGUAUUUUUCUGCACAAGAGCAUCAGGGAUACGAUACCCUGGUCUCUUCCCCCAACCUGUCGACAUGGUGGUGGUGGUGUAGUGGCUAGGUGGUGCUUUGUGUACCAGGAGGUACUGGGUUCGAUUCCCAGGACCCGUGAUGUAUGUUUUUGCUAUUUUUUUACUGUCUUUAAUUUGUUCUUCCUCUUCCUUAUACUUGGGCAGCAAGGUGGCAUUAAAAUCCUUUUCCCUGCUAGUGUAGUUAGGAGCAGAUUCCUUUGUGUGUGUGUUUUGCACACUUGUGAGAUGAUAGAUGAUGUAUUGCUAGCCUUGUGAACCUAUGAGGAUUGCAUCUUGUGGUGUGAAGUUACACUUGGUAGGAGUUUGUGCAUGUGAUGUGGUUUCUUGUGAGUGUUGUUCUUAAGGUGUGGAUUACUAGUUAAGCUAGGGUAGAUUGUUGUGGGGGUUGCACUUUGAGGAUGACAUGAUUCCUAGGGUGAUCCUAGUAAUGCAUGUGAGAGUGUGUACCAUCACAUGCCUUUCCAGCACAUUGGGAUCCUAAGCUUNNNNNNNNNNNNNNNNNNNNNNNNNNNNNNNNNNNNNNNNNNNNNNNNNNNNNNNNNNNNNNNNNNNNNNNNNNNNNNNNNNNNNNNNNNNNNNNNNNNNUACAUUAGAUUGACGAACGGGAGCUAGUUACAUAUAUCUCCGUGUUAUAGCUGUUACAUGAUGAAUCACAUCCGUCAUACUCAUCUAUCACCGAUCCAAUGCCUACGAGUCUUUCACUACUAGUUUUCGCUACGUUACUUUGUCUAGGCUUGUCCCUUGCUACAAAAGGGAUUGGGCCACUUUGCUGCUACUGUUGCUAUUGCUGUCACUUUGUUGUUGUUGCUACUGCUGUUCCUUGCUACUCUGCCGUUAUUUGUUGCAAGACUUUGUUGGAGCCGUAGCCAGGGAAGCAUACUUCUCAAGAAUAAUCCCCCGUCAACGUGCUGGCGCCAUUGAUACAACAGUUAGGAACAGUAUGCCGUCAACAGAUCGUUUCUGGCACCGUUUCUAUCAUACUACCUUGCUACUGAUACUUUGCUUACAGACACUAAUCUUUCAGGUGUGGUUGAAUCUGACACAUUCAGCUGCUAAUACUUGAGAAUAUUCUUUCGCUUCCCGUCUUGGCGAAUCUACAAAUUUGGGUCGAAUACUCUAUCCUUGAAAACUGCAGCGAUUCCAUACGCUUGUGGGACAUCAAGGCUAUUUUCUGGCCCCGUUGCCGGGGAUUGCCAACAGCUUUUUUCUGGCACUGUUGCCGGGGAAGCACAACUAUAUUCUCUGAGUCUCUUGGGAUUGACGUCUGCUGAUCACUAUGAGGUAUUCGAAAGAUCCAAGAACUAAAAUCUUGCCUUCCACUACGAGGAGAGGUAAGGAAUUGCUAUCUAGCUCUGCAUUUGAUUCACCUUAAGUUUUGAGUAAGUUUGCGACUUCGCCUCCUUCUAGAAAUCUUGAUAUGUCGCAUGUGCUUGAUGAUGCUACUUCUGCUAUCCAUGAUGCUAUGCUUGAUACUAUGCCUGAUGAUGCUAUGCUUGAUACUAUGCCUGAUGAUGCUAUGCUUGAUACUAUGCCUGCUAUGCCUGAUACUGCUUUGCCACUUGGUGCAUUCCUUGAUGCACAUAUUGCUAGAGCUGCUGCUAGAUGUGAUGAUACUUCUGAAACUGCUGAUACUAUUAAAGUAGAACCUGCUACUAUGCCUACUAUGCCUGAUACGCGCUAUGUUAUGAAGGGAGAGAUAGCUGAGGACUUUCUUGCGUGUAAGGAUAGCUAUGAUGUUGCGAAACUACAGCGCAAGUGGAAAGAAAAAUCUCUGAACGCUAGGAUGAAAUACGACCCAAAGUUUGCCACUUCGCUUAUCUUUGUUACCGAUAAGGAUUAUGAAUUCUCUAUCGACCCUGAGCUAAUCACUCUGGUCGAAUCAGAUCCUUUUCACGGUUAUGAGUCUAAAACGGUUGUAGCUCAUCUUACCAAACUGCACGAUAUAUCCACCCUAUUCACUAGUGAGGAAAAGAUCCUCCACUACUACAUGCUCAAGUUGUUUCCUUUCUCGCUAAAGGAUGAUGCUAAGACCUGGUUCACUUCUCUUGCUGCUGGAUGUGUGCGUAGCCCCUAGGAUAUGGUCUACUACUUCUCUAAAAAAUAUUUCCCUGUCCAUAAGAAGCAAGCUGCCUUGCAGGAAAUAUACAACUUAGCUGAAGCUGAGGAAGAGAGUCUCCCACAAGCUUGGGGGAGGCUCAUCCAGCUACUGAAUGCUUUGCCUGAUCACCCUCUUGAGAAGAAUGAAAUACUUGAUAUCUUCUAUAAUGGACUCACCGAUGCUUCCAAAGACCACGUAGAUAGUUGUGCCAGUAGUAUUUUAGGGAACGAACCGUAGAACAAGUUGAGAUCCUACUGAAUAACAUCUUGUGCAAUGAGAAUGCUUAGACUAUUCCCGAACCACCUCCUAAGCCAACUCCGAAGAAAAGAGGUAUUCUAUUCCUCAAUUCUGAAGAUAUGCAAGAAGCUAAGAAAUCUAUGCGAGAGAAAGGCAUUAAAUCUAAAUAUGUCAAAAAUCUACCACCUAUCAAAGAGAUCCAUGGUCUCGAUAACCCGAUAGAGGUAGUAGAAGUAAAUUCUCUGCGUAUGUUUGAUGAGAGUGAUAUUCCUUUUUAUAAACCUGCUAGCUUAUGCCUGGAUGAAUUUGAUAACUUUAUUGCCAAACAACAGAAUUUCAACGAUUAUGUUAGCAGACAAUUGGAAAAGAAUGCUUAGUCAUUUAAGUGCUAGUGUGGACAGAAAUGUCAAUGAUCUUAAGAUCUUGAGUAAACAUGCCUCUAUGGUUACUACUCAGGUAGAACAAGUACUUAAAGCUCAGAAUGACUUGCUCAACGAGUUGAAUGACAAUUCUUUCAGAGUUGUUACUAGAGGCGGUAGAAUGACCCAGGAACCUGUGUAUCCUGAGGGUCAUCCGAAGAGAUUUGAACAAGAGUCUCAAGGAGUUAGCACUGAUGCACCUAGUCAUCCUAGAAAUAAGAAGAAAGGUGAUAGCGACCUUCACGCUAGCAACCCUGUUGCUGCUACCCAUGAGAGUCCAAACGAUGCCUCUAUCUCUAAUGCUAAGACACAAUCUGGUGAUGAACAUGAGCCUAAUGAUGAUAUCAAUGGUGAUGUUCAUGUUGAUGCUCAACCUAGCAAUGAAAAGGAUGUGGAGAGUGAACCAAUUGAUCUUGAUAACCCACAUCCUAAGAAUAGAAGAUAUGAUAAGAAUGGUUUCGCUGCUAGGGAGCACGGUAAAGAAAGGGAACCAUGGGUUCAGAAACCUAUGCCCUUUCCUCCCAAACCAUCCAAGAAAAAGGAUGAUGAGGAUUUUGAGCGCUUUGUUGAAAUGAUUAGACCUCUCUUUCUACAAAUGCGUUUGACAGAUAUGCUCAAGAUAUCUACGUAUGUUAAGUACAUGAAAUAUAUUGUGACUAAUAAGAGGAGGAUACCUGAUCUUGAGAUCUCCGCCAUGCUUGCCAAUUAUACCUUCAAGGGUGGAACUCCGAAGAAACUAGGUGAUCCCGGUGUGCCCACUAUACCUUGCUCCAUUAAAGGUAACUAUGUUAGAACUGCGUUAUGCGACCUUGGAGCCGGUGUUAGUGUUACGCCUCUCUCUCUUUAUCGUAGACUUGAACUGGAUAAGUUGACGCCCACAGAAAUCUCUCUGCAAAUGGCCGACAAAUCAACUGCUUUCCCUAUCGACAUUUGCGAGGAUGUGCCUGUUGUGGUUGCUGACACCACUAUCUUACCAGACUUUGUUAUCUUGGAUAUUCCUGAGGACGAUGCCAUGGCGGUCAUCCUCGGAAGACCCUUUUUAAACAGUGCAGGAGCUGUUAUAGAUUGCAACAAAGGCAAUGUCACUUUCCAUGUCAACAGUAAUGAGCAUACGGUGCACUUUCCAAAGAAACAAUAUCGAGUACAUUGCAUCAAUGCUAUCAAAAAACUUCAUCGAUACUUAUUGGGAGCUUUGAAUGCCCUAUUCCUCGUGUCAAGAUGAAGUAUGAUUUGCUUGUUGGGGAGAUACACAUCCCCAUUGAGGUGACCUAGUGACUAUUCAAAAAUUCUCCGUUCUCUUUUGCGAUUCGAGAAAGUCUUGUUGAAGGGAUUUGAUCAACCCCAUUGACGGAUUUCUUUCGAUGACCAUGAGAUGGAUUAAUCGAGGAGUCACGAACCUCUGUUCCAAGCUUUUACGUUAGGUUGCUUAGAAGAAAAAUGAUAGAUUUAGUUUAGUUUUCCAUGUUUUCUGUAUUAGUGUCCGGUAGAAAAAUACCCUGAAAAUAAAAGUUCUCCAAACGCUAUGAAAAUCUAGUAUGAUUUUUUCUGGAAUAUUUGAAAAAUACUGGGAAAAAGAGUCUGUCUGGGGGCCACACUAGUGGGCCACAAGCCCUAGGGGCGCGAGCACCCCCCCCCCCNNNNNNNNNNNNNNNNNNNNNNNNNNNNNNNNNNNNNNNNNNNNNNNNNNNNNNNNNNNNNNNNNNNNNNNNNNNNNNNNNNNNNNNNNNNNNNNNNNNNNNNNNNNNNNNNNNNNNNNNNNNNNNNNNNNNNNNNNNNNNNNNNNNNNNNNNNNNNNNNNNNNNNNNNNNNNNNNNNNNNNNNNNNNNNNNNNNNNNNNNNNNNNNNNNNNNNNNNNNNNNNNNNNNNNNNNNNNNNNNNNNNNCCCCCCCCCCCGCCGCACCACCCAGGCUUGUGGGGCCCAUAGGCACCCCUCCAGUACUUCUUGCUCUUAUCUCCUUCUCCUACCUCCAGAAAAAAUUGUUUCACAGCUCAAACCCGUGUUCUUGCUCCUCUUGCUGGGAUUUUCGAUCUCUUUGCUCAAAUCACCGUUCUCCGAACUGUUUUGGGCAAAUUACUCCUUGGUAAUUGACUCCUCCAUUGGUCCAAUUAGUUUUUGCUCUAGUGCCUUAUACUCCGCGUAUUUUUGCUGCCUUGGUGACCAUGUUCUUGAGCUUUGUAUGCUGAUUCUAGCUGGACCCAAGUAGUUUUGAUGCGUAAUAUGGUCUCUAGGCACUUGUGGGAGUAGUUGCUACGAGUUUCGUUGAGCCUUAUUCACUUUUCCUUAGAAUCACUAAAAAAUUCAGAAAUUUUCAGAGAUAGAAAAGGGAAAAGAUGAGGAGGUUCUUGAGAGGCUCGUCAAGCCGUGACACCAAGGAGGAUGGGAGUGAGAAGAAGCCCGAGUAUCCGGUCCCUCGAGUCGCGGAAGUUCGAGCGCGCGAGUGACCAAGCGACGUGUUCUUAUGCGCCGCUGGAAUUUAUGAAGACUUUUAUCACUUGGUGGAAAUCGCAGGCCUUACCGCCUUCGUUGAAGAUAAGUGUUCGCAAUACCUCCUCCUCACUAAUAUCUUCGUACAAAGCUUUAACUUCUAUCCGAGGAAGAAUCCUCCUAUGGUUGAAUUCAAAAUUUAUGAUAUCCCCUGCGCAUGUCACUCCAGGAUUUUUGGAGUGUUUGCAAAUUACCUUACGUUGGGGAUAUUCAUGAACCUCGUCCACGGGACUUGGAAGCUUUCAUCGGUACAAUUGCUGUAGGAGAGGAGAGAGGAGUGUCUUGUGCUAGAGCUGCUAGCAUUCAUUUUCCCGUGCUUCGGUAUUUCUCACUUUUUGUGGGAAAAAUGUUUGAUUGGCCGUGGGAAAGCUGGCCACUUAGUUCCCCAGAUCUUGCGGUAUUGCGCGAAGCCCUUUAUAACGAUAAAACUUAUAGAUUGGGUGCUAUAGUAGCUCAACGGUUGAAUCUGAACCGUUCUAAAGGUGUCGUCUAUGGAGGUAUCUAUGCUACCCGUCUUGCCAGACACUUUGAGAUACCCAUUAGACUGGAGGAAGAAGACGAGGUUCUUCUUCCCGAGAGAUAUAUAGAUUACGAUAGCAUGGUUCGCCAUGACUUUCUUGAUAGAGAUAUAGGUGGAAGGAUGAUUUAUAACCUAGUAUUUAGUCAGGGUACUCGUGAGACUAUUACUUUGCCUGCUCCUUCUUUGUUCAAUCUUCAUGCAGGCAGGUACAUUAUUAUGCCCUCGGACAUCUACGCAUAUUGGGGCUUAGCCCAACCACAGGUGCCCGUGCCCGAGCCACCAGUCGAGUACCAAACGCCAGUUUAUCAGUGGGAGCUGGAGGAUCUCACACAGCAGUGGCAUCCUCAGUCCACUCCGGAGUACCCCGGAGCUAGUUACUUCCCUCCUUGGGAGUAGACCAACUUAGGCCAAAAGCCUAAGCUUGGGGGAGUACGUGUUCUCACCGACUUUACAUUCUUGCUUAUGCUUUCACUUUGUUAGCCGGUAUUCACACUUUGCCACUGUAUCAUCCAUGCUAGUUUAUUUUCUUUUUCUCGUUUUAUUUUCGUGUGUCUGUCUAGUUUGAGAAAAACCAAAAAGAUUUUAUUUUCUUCGUUUGCUUGUUGGGAGUUUUCCCGUGUAGAUAGUUUUCUUUUUCUUUGGGUCAGGGUAGAAGAUAUUGGUUACAAUGUUUAGUGGCUCUUGCAUUCAUACCUGUUUAGCUUUCAAAGAGCCAUAUUACUUUGUCUUCUCCUUUUUGUUUGCAUGCAGAUUCCAGCGUAGUCCAAUGCACGAGCACGCUUAUUAUUGUUCACAUCGUUCGGUCGUGCAAGUGAAAGGCAAUAAUGACGAUAUACGAUGAAGUGACUGAGCCUGGAGAAGCUGGUAUGAACUCGAUCUAUUUUGUUUUUUAAAAUAUGACUAGCUCAUCAUGCCUGAUUCAUCUUUGUUGUGAGAGAAACAUGUUUGCAAUGACAACUUAGAGAUCAUAGUUGCUUAUGCCAUGCUUACUUAGCUAGGGGCUUAUAAUGGUUUGUCUUGGAUGCUCACAUGAAUUUUGAGAUGACUGUGUUGUAGUAUGAUAGGAUGGUAUCCUCCUUUGAAUGUUUCAAGUGGCUUGACUUGGCGCAUGUUCACGCAUGUAGUUGAAACAAAAUCAACAUAGCCUCUAUGAUGUUCAUGUUCAUGGUGAUUUAUGUCCUACUCAUGCUUGCACUCAAUGUUAGUUAAUCUCAAUGCAUUUGGAUGACCGUUGUCGCUCUCUAGUUGGUCGCUUCCCAGUCUUUUGCUAGCCUUCACUUGUACUAAGUGGGAAUACUGCUUGUGCAUCCACUUCCAUAAACCCAAAGUUGUGCCAUAUGAGUCCACCAUACCUACCUAUGUGCGGUAUCUACCUGCUGUUCCAAGUAAAUUUGCAUGUGCCACUCUCUAAAUCUUGAAGAAAUAAUCUAUUUUGCAGGCCCGAAACGCUCAUGUAGUGACAGGGGGCUAUUGGUAUGUUCCAUGCUAGGUGUGUUAUCCUCGAUAUGUGUUUAUUCACUAUCAUUCAUGAGAAAGGGGCCGGUAAUUGGAAUUCCCAGUUCCAUGCUCAAAUCAAAAAGAUAAUUGCAAACAAAACUCCCCCAGGAUUGAUGUUGGUAUGGACGGUACCCGAGGAUUCAGCUAGCCGUGGAGUGUGAUUGAUUGGUGGCGGGGGAGUCAAAACUUUACUUUUCUGUGUGGGAACCGCCUAUAGCAUGUGUAGCAUGGAAGAUGUUGAGAACUCUUGGCCAUUGCGUUGACAAUGAAAGCAUGCCACCCAAAAUUAUUAUCUCUGUUUUCAAAGCUUGAGCUCUAGCACCUCUGCAAAUCAAUGCUUCCCUCUGCGAAGGGCCUGUCUAUUUAUGUUCCUGUUGAGUCAUCCUCCUCUUACAAAAGCACCAAUUAGAGAUCACCUCUGUCAUUUUUCUGCUUUGCUUUUAACUCUGUUGAGUGUGACUAUGACUGGAUCUUCAUUGCCUUGAAUUACAAUGUUUAGUCAGCCCUUGGUCUUUGAAGGUGCUCUGCAUUUAUGUUUUGCGGUCUCAAAAAGAGCUACAGAGAUACCAUCUAUUCGUAUUUCUUCAUGUUGUCUUGAUUGACGUGUUGACGUUUGAGACUUAUUAUUAUUUGCUCGCUAGUUGAUUAUGCCAUUGAUAUGAGUUUACCGUGAGCCCUAGAUGUCAUUUGCUUUUGUGGUUUGCUAGUGAUGUUGCUGAAAUUUUGGUUAUGAGUUAGACAAAGUUGCAACAACAAGAUCAAACAGAGUUCGUCAAAGUUUUUCUUUUGUCUCUCUCAGUUUGUCAACUGAGUUUCUUGAGGACAAGCAAGGCUUUAAGCUUGGGGGAGUUGAUACGUCUCCGUCGUAUCUACUUUUCCAAACUCUUUUGCCCUUGUUUUUGAGUCUAACUUGCAUGAUUUGAAUGGAACUAACCCGGACUGACACUAUUUUCAGCAGAAUUGCCAUGGUGUUGUUUUUUUGCAGAAAUGAAAGUUCUCGGAACGUCCUGAAAAUUUACGGAGAUUUUUUCUGGAAUAAAAGAAAAAUACAUGCGCGAAGAUCCACCAGAGGGGGCGUGCCAGUGAGCCACAAGCCCACAGGCCGCGGCCACCCCCCUAUGGCCGCGCCAUGAGGGCUUGUGGGGCCCACGUGGCACAACCGCCCCCAACCUCAGCUCUAUAUCUUCUGUUUCGCCUGGACAAAAAAAAUCAGAGAGAAGGUUUCAUCGCGUUUUGUGAUACGGAGGCGCCGCCACAUCCCGUUCUUCAUCUGGAGGGCAGAUCUGGAGUCCGUUUCGGGCUCCGGAGAGGGGAAAUCGUCGCCAUAAUCGUCAUCAACCUUUCUCCAUCGAUAAUUCCAUGAUGCUCUUCAUCAUUCGUGAGUAAUCUCAUCGUAGGCUUGCUGGACGGUGAUGAGUUGGAUGAGAUCUAUCAUGUAAUCGAGUUAGUUCUUGACGGGGAUUGAUCCCUAGUAUCGACUAUGUUCUAGAUUGAUGUUGCUACUACUUGGCUAUGCUUAAUGCUUGUCACUAGGGCCCGAGUGCCAUGAUUUCAGAUCUGAACCUAUUAUGUUGUCGCCAAUAUAUGUGUGUUUCAGAUCCUAUCUUGCAAGUUGUAGUCACCUAUUAUGUGUUAUGACCCGACAACCCCGGAGUGACAAUAGCCGGAACCACUCCCGGAGAUGACCAUAGUACGAGGAGUUCAUGUAUUCACCGCGUGUUAAUGUGUUGGUCCGGUUCUUUAUUAAAAGGAGAACCUUAAUAUCUCGUAGUUUCCAUUAGGANUACAUUAGAUUGACGAAAGGGAGCUAGUUGCAUAUCUCCCCGUGUUAUAGCUGUUACAUGAUGAAUCACAUCCGUCAUACUCAUCUAUCACCGAUCCAUUGCCUACAAGUCUUUCACUACUGGUUCUCGCUACGUUACUUUGUCUAGGCUUGCCCCUUGCUACAAAAGGGAUUGGGCCACUUUGUUGUUACUGUUGCUAUUGCUGUUACUUUGUUGUUGUUGCUACUGCUGUUCCUUGCUACUCCGCUGUUACUUGUUGCAAAAAUUUGUUGGAGCUGUAGCCCGGGAAGCAUUCUUCUCAAGAAUAAUCCCUCGUCAACAUGCUGGCGGCAUUGAUACAACAUUUAGGAAUAGUCUGUCGUCAACACAUCUUUUCUGGCACAGUUGCUAUUAUAAUACCUUGCUACUGAUACAUUGCUUACAGACACUAAUCUUUCAGGUGUGGUUGAAUCUGACACAUUCAGCUGCUAAUACUUCAGAAUAUUCUUUCGCUUUUCGUCUUGGCGAAUCUACAAAGUUGGGUCGAAUACUCUACCCCACAAAAACUGCUGCGAUCCCAUACGCUUGUGGGACAUCAAGGCUAUUUUCUGGCACCGUUUCCGGGGAUUGCCAACAGGAAGCACGACCAUCAUUUAUAGUUUAGAAAGGAAGAACGACUACCAUCGCAAAUGACGUACGUCGCAACCAAGUGGAAGCAAGACUACCAUCGCAAGCACGGCAAACAUUGAAAGGAAGCACGAUGACCUUUGGUUCAAUGGUGUUCGAACUAUGCCUAAUCCCAAAUUUUGUUUUAGAGAAGCAAGUUUUGAUUUCUUUGGAAGCAAUAGUUCAGUUUGUUUCAAACCAAUGCAAGUGUUUCAAGUUCAAAUACACGGUACAAGAACACAAAAUUAAUCGAAGCACGUGAAGGAAUCAUUCAAGCACAUGAAGGAAGCAAAAUGAGAAGAGAUGAUGAGGACCAGCUAGAGUACGCGAGCAACCCAUGACCAUGGUGUUCCUGUCAUCACAGACUUUUAAAUUGAUAGAUGUACCUGCACCGCUAAAAAAAUGAACCUAAGCUUGUAUGAAGUAUUGAAGGAAAUUUUUGAUAAGCAAAUCAGUGCAAAUAUGUAUCAUGUAAGAAGCAUGCAAUAGGAACAUAUGAUGUAUUGUAAUAUCAACAACUUGUAGGUAUAGUACAUUUGUAAUAUGUCAGAUGCAUAAAACAUGAACAUAAAAGCAUUUUCUAUUUUCCUAUUGAUGAAUCUAAAUUUAUUUCUAGUUAAAAUGGAACCAAAUUUUGUUCAGCACCUAAUCAAAUUUAUUUUGAAUCCAUAUAGAAGAAAAUUUCUAAUCAACAUGGAAUCCAAUCGAAAACAAAUUUUGGCAACUAAUAAGUAGCAACACAAUAUUUUAGACCGAUGCACAUUUUAUUUUGCGCUUGAGGAAAUUAUAAAGAAUAUUGGAAACAAGAAGUGUUGUGUAAGGCAAGGUUGUCAGACUCGCGAUUUUGAAUCAGAUCAGAGCUCUGUUGGUAGGAUCGGGAAUCGUAGAAUCAUAACUACUAGGAUCGUAGAAACUUAGAUUCUAUGAGAAAAAUCGUAGAAUCGGAGGGGCUACUUUGGAUCAUAAAUUCGUAAGAUUCUAAGACUUGAGUCACGAUUCUGACAACUUUGGUGUAUGGAAAUACAGUCGCUCGAUGCAAUUUCAAGAAUGUUGGAAACAUGAAGUGUUUUGUAAGGAAAAAAAAUGUGAUUCGUAAGGAUAAAAAUUGCAUUCAGAAAUCUUUAUGCCACAAUCCUUCCAUAAUUAAUUUCCUCAAAAUGCUCCAUUGGUUUCCUAAAUACCUUGGAUUAGUGACCCCAAAUUACGUGCUUCUACUUCUGAACAAACUUGCUUCCAAAUCAGUACUACAUCCAACGGGUCACGAGGCUAUGAUCCAACGGCAGAACACUAGUCUGAUGGGAGGCUAGGAAUCAAUAGUCUGAUUCCUAGUGCUUCCAGAUAGUAAUUUGCAUGGGUCAUAAGGCUGCAUAAAAAAUAGUGAGUGUUUAAUGCAUGAUAAUUAAAACCAUCAUGUAGCACAUAUAGAGAAAUUGUGGUUAAUGAUAUUGAUGUGGUGAUAUGAAAAGGUGUGAGUGCAUAUUCAUUAAUUUAGAGAGGUGUCAAUAUUAAGAGAUGUCAAAACUUCUUGAACAUCUAAAUUUUUUAGAAGGAAUGGUGAUGGUGUGUGAGCAUUUCUAUUCCUCAUGCAAAACUUAAUGUUGUUUCGAGUCGGAGUCGCACGAUGGUUAACUCCUGCCAACCCUCUCCCUCGGGGAAUGCGAAUAGUACUUUGAUUUUUGAUAAGACUAAUAAAACUUUGCAACAAAUAUAUGCCUUCUUUAUGACUAAUGUGACACCAUGGACAUACACAAUCUCACCUCCUCAUUUUUUACUGGGAACUGUAGGGAAACCCCCCACAACAUUUAUAACUUUUAUUGAAAGAGAGUUACAAAUGUUAGAAGGAGUAACUUAAAAGUACAGCUGAGGAACUAAAAGAAAACUAAUAUACAAGGAUAAUAUGCAAUCUCACCUCCUCAUAUUUUCUAGCCUCCCCAGUACGCGCAUAGCCAAUUCUCACCUCGACAAUUGGUGCAACUUUCGCCGGUGCAUCCAAACCCCGUGACACGAUACGCACUGUUGCACAUAAGCCUUAUUAUAUUCUCCUCAAAACAACCACCAUACCUAUCAAUUAUGUCAUUUCUAUAGCCAUUGUGAGAUAUAUUUCCAUGCAAAUUCCAUCAUGACUUCACAUGAUUAGUUCGCUCAUCUUCAUAUUGCUUUGCAUGAUCAUAUAGAGCUGAAAUAGUAUUUGUGGAAAAGCCGUUGUUCAUAAUAGCAUUUGUGGCAAAGCCACCAAUUAUCAUAUGAUGAAUACAUGUCAUGCUAAAUCAUUGCACAUCCUAGUACCCUGCCAGAGGCAUUCAUAUUUGAGUCAUGUUGCUUCAUAGUUCAUGAUAUCGAGUUACCUAUGAGUUGUAAGUAAACAAAAGUGUGAUGAUCUUCGUUAUUAGAGCACUAUCUCCGUGAGGAAAUAAAUAUGGGGGGGGGUCCAAAUGAGCCCACCAUAUAUGAAUAAAAAUAAAAUGAAUGAGAUAAAAAGAGAGAAGGGACUUUACUACUAUCCUUUACCACACUUGUGCCUCAAAGUUGCAGCAUGUUCAUCAUACAGAGAGUCUCAUGUUAUAUCAUUCAUAUGUUAGUGGGAAUCAAAAAAAAUAGAAACUUGGCUUGUAUAUUACGAUGAUGGGCUUCUUCAAAUGCCCAAGGUCUUCAUGAGCAAGCAAGUUGGAUGCACACCCCACCUAGCUUCAGUGGAGUUUUCAUACACCUAUAGCUCUAGUGUAUCAUUUGCAUGGCAUUCCCUACUCCUUCUGUGAAUAUCUAUCGACGGGCAUCUCCAUUGCUUGUUGGUACGCCUUGUUGAUACGAGGCUAUCUUCUCCACUUCUAAACCCCUUUAAAACCUACCACCUUACUCUAUUCGACCUAUAUGCUAUGUCCAAUGGUUCACGCUCAUGUGUUGCGUGAAGAAUAAAAAGUUGAUGCAUAAUGAAAAGGUACGAUCCAAUUUCCUGACUUGGGCACCGUGGUGCUUGACAUUUGUAGUUAUGUGGUGCAGGAGGAGCCAUGCCUUGCUAAUCUAAUAAAGAUGGAUAGGGGUGAAACAAUCUUUGAGAAUCGUACACUUUGAAAAAAUAAUUGUUUUGCUGAUUAUAAUUAUAAAUACUGAUGUGUUAAUAUUUGUUAAUUCAUCGUUUCUCAGUGAGCAUACAUGCAGAAGAUUACAUCAUGGAUAGCAUGUCACAUCAGCAAUUUUGUUUUUAUCAUUUACCUACUCAAGGACGAGCAUGAAUUAAGCUUGGGGAUGCUUGAUACGUCUCGAAAGUAUCUAAAAUUUUAGAUUGUUCCAUGCUAUUAUAUUAUCAUUUUAGAACACUUUUUAUGUACUUAUCUAUCAAUUCAUAUUAGUUUUGAGCACAAACCUACUGACCAACUGCCCAGUACGAGUUGUUGUUUUGUGCGUGUUUUUCCACUUUUCAGGUAUUCAGUACCAAACAAAGUCCACCUGACCUAAAUUUUUUUGUGAAUUUUUUGGACCAAAACAUGACUGUAGAGCAUUGGAAGCACGCUGCAGAGUGCACAACAGCCCGACAAGCCACCACGGUGUGACCUGUGGGGGAUGAUGGCUUGUGGCCCCCUCGUGGCUCUCCCAACCCAGUUCUAUGGCCUAUAAAAUCUCAUCUACCCUAAAAAAUAUAAAGGGAGGUCCCGAAAUACUUCUUACGCCGUCAAAAGUCUUUGUUCCGACGGAAGGUCAUCUAGAGCUCCAUUCUGGCGCUCUGCCGGAGGGGGAUUGAUCACAAAGGGCUUCUUCAUCAACCUUGCUUCCCUCAUGAUGAUGUGUGAGUAGUUCAUCAUAGACCUACAGGUCCAUAGCCCGUACCUAUAUGGCAAUCUAUCUCUCUUUAUCUCUCUCUCUCUCUCUCUCUCUCUCUCUCUUUGUUCUUCAAUACAAUGAUCAUCACAUCUUCGCUUUGAUCGAUAUGAUGUAACUGUUUUGUACGGUGCGUUUGUUGGGAUCCGAUGAAUUGUGGGUUUAUGUUCAGAUUAUUAAUGAUAAAUAUUUGAUUCUCCUCUGAUAUAUAAUAUGAUUCUUAUGUGCAUGAUUAUGAUAGCUUCAUAAUUCUCUUUGAUCUAUUGAAAUAAUUUGGCCAACUAGAUUGAUAUUAUUCGGUGAGGGAGGUGCACUAUAGUAGGUUCAACCUGGCGAGUUUCUAUAUCCCAGUGACAGAAGGGAACAAGUUGCAUCUUUGUGUUGCUGCUAAUAAUGGUAAAACAAUGGGAUUUAUUUACAUUGGUUGAGUUUACUUUGUCUACAUCAUGUCAUCUUGCUCUAAGCAUUACUUCGUUUGUCAUGAACUUAAUACGUAGAAAGGAAAGCAUAGAAGCACUCUUGAAGUGAAGUAAUAGUAAUAUGUGCACACAUGAGUCCGCCUAUUUGUUUAUGGAUGUGAUGCCUAUAUUUACAUGAUCAUUAUCGUGAAUAUCGCAUAACUAUCUGCUCUCCUAUCAAUUGUCGAACAGUAAUUUGUUUACCCACCGUGUACUAUUUUUAUGAGAGAUGCCAUUAGGGAAAAAUAUGGCUCGUGAGUCUAUUCACGACAUAUUGCUAAAACCUCCAAUACAUUGCUGAAAUUUAUUUGCUUUUAUUUUAUUUUUCAUUUUACAAUUAUCUACACACCUCAUUUGCAUGCAAAUAAUGAGACCAAGGGGAUUGAUGACCAUCUUGCGUGCGUUGGAUGCAAUCUGUUUGUUCUUUUGUGUGCAACCUCUAAAUACAAUUGUGGUUGAUAUUCCUAUUAGUUCGAUAAAAAAUGGUUUCAUAACUAAGGGAAAUACUUACCCGCAUUGUGAUGCGAUAAAAUGUUCCUCUUCAUGGAAAACCCAAUGCAGAUCACAAGUAUCAAGUAUAUGUACUCAGUGGGGAACUUAUUUGGGAUAGAAAAGAUCUAAAGAAAGAAAACAUGUUAAAGGAGCCAUGACCAUAUAACUUGUAUGUGAAUGUAAACUACCAUAAUCAUUACAUUGUCUUCCAUGUCCAACAUCAACACUUGACCAUUAUCUAAUAUUUGGUGGGGGCUCACAAUCAUAAAAGAUGACUAAGAUGGUGUAUUUAUAUGUGAGUCUUCUCUCCUCUAUCAUACUCUUUCUUGGAUUGCAUCAAUGACUAAUACUAUGUUUCUUUACUAUCAACAACUUUUAUCACUUAUACGUUUUUUAAUGUGAAGUCAUUACUUCUCAUGAGGUAAGCAUACAAGUAAAGCACACAAACUCAACUAAUAUUUACGAUAUGACUCUCAUACUCAAUUACAAGGAAAGAUGGAUCUCAAAGCAAAAGUUCUAAGCAAAGAAAAUCUGAAAUUUUAUUUCUCUAAAUCACAAAACAACUAAAGAUAAAACUAAGAUAGAUGGUAAUGGUUGAAGCACUACUCCAAUUAGAGAAUUUACCAUCGCGUGUUCUUUGUUGUCUGCCAGCGGACGACAAAGAAGGUCUUUGUCGUCGGCUUCCAAAAAAUAGACGACAAAGAAGGGACUCAUGGAAAUUAAGGUAUUUGCCAUUAGGCCAUUCAUUGUCGUCUGCUAGCUGACGGCAGAAAGCCUAGAAGCAGACGGAAAAGGACCGAGAUGGGCCCACUAGGUACUGGGGCAUGUUAGGUAAAAUGGGUGCCCUCUUUGCCGUAUGCGAGCAGACAGCAAAGCGCACGGCCUCCCUCCCACCGUUAGUCGCCCCCACCUCUCUAUCUCUCCCCCUCCCUCCCUCCCUCAGAUCCCCUCUACCUCCCUCCCGCCGCACCCCGACGCCCACUACCUGCCGCCCCUUCCAAUGGCCGCCGCCCCGUAGGAAGCCCCCUCCUUGUGGCCCCCUCUCUCUCCCCCUCUCUUGCUCCACCCCACCUCCUCCCUCCCACCUCAACGACGCCCCAUCACGUUGAGCCCCCUCCCAAGUGUCGCCCCACCUCCACCCUCCCACUGCGGCGAGCCCCCCAAGCGCCGCCCCACCUCCACCCUCCCACCGCGCCGAUCCCCCCUCCCCUAUGACGUCCCUCCUCCAUCGGCCCUCCUCUAAUGAGUAUUUGCAAGUCUUUUUUUUUCAUUUUAUUGCAUGUGUUGUAGUUACUGUUAGUUUAGGUUGCUUUUAGGUCUUUUUUGCUCUUAGUAGUUAAUGUUAGUGUUGUUAGAGCAUAUUUCUCCGUACGUGGUUUUCGUAAUUGAUGACAAUCCAUAUGGACUACUGGUUUCCUUAAGCUAUAUUCAAAGGAUUUGUCCAUAGGCACUUCUUGAAGUACAUCUAUUGGUUUAAAGGAGUUUAUAUGAUGACCAAGGUGGUAUUCAAGGUAUUAUCCAAUGAUUGGUCAUAAAGACACAAGGUUGAUGAAGACUAAGCAAAUAGUAAAUCAAGAUGAUCAACACACAAAGCAUAUAACAUGUAUCGAGAGGGAUCAAGUGCUCCCAUGGUAUGGUAAGCAUUGUCCAUAACGCUUUUGUGUACUAACCCAUGGUCUUCGUGAGAGUUCUAUGUGGGGUUAAGUGUGUUUCCAUGGGCUUGCAUCAAGAGGAAGAUCUCAUACAACCUUUGGAGGAUGAAUUCAAAUGGUGAUUGUCAUCAAGAUUGCGGUGUGCAAGUUCAAGUGGAGCAUCACAAAGAUAUCAUGCUUGAAGCUUGCCGUCCAUUGUGGUGGCAAUGGAUUUGUGAAGAUGUGUUGGAGAGUGGAUCACCCAUAGUGAGUAGGGGGGAGCAAUCAACUAGUAUUCAUCAAACCAACGCAAUCAAGAAAGGUGGUCCAUCUCCAGGAAUCCAAUAUCAUUAUCAUCUAGCUCAAGAGGACUAGGUGCAAGGUAUAGGUUUGCCCCUGAUAGGUUUUUCUAUUUUAGGAUAGAUUGUCGUUCUAUCAAGAGGGGACCCUCAAGUGAGUAGUUUGAUCAUAUCGUUCGUUGAGAGCUCAAACCAUUUGCAUCCUUGCAUCAUAUUUCUUGGUUCUUGUUUGGUGUUUCUUUUUGUGAGUUUAAAGCUUAUGGUCAUCUUCAUGACAAGCUCGAGUUCAUAAAAAACGGAGUCCAUAUGCAUCUUCUAUGAUGUUUUCAAUGUUGGAAGUUUUUGCUCGUUAUUCAUUCAUAGAGGUCUCACAUCUCUAUAUCAUCGUUGUUUGGAUAUCACUUGUCGUCUUGAAUCCAACAAGCUUGAUUUUGCUUGAUUCGGAGCUCGUAUGCGAAAGUUAUCGCAGUUUCAGUACUAGAGCUGCUUUUCUCUAAACAAGCGGUAGUACCGUUUGGUACCAUAGUAGUACUGCUUGGGCGGUAAUUUCGCUGUGUAAAGAGCGGACAUAGUUUUUUACUACUGCCCUCAGGUGGUAGCACCACAAAACCAUGUCCGGUACUACUGUGCCGUAUUUUUGCACAGCCGCAGCCUCAGGGGAGGUAGACAUGGAACUAACUUUUUACUUCCAUGUACCUCGUGUGACAGUUGGAUACUACCAUCCCGUAGUACCAUAAGGGCGUGCAGUAGUACCGCUCGUUGCCCCGUGUUGUAGUUCCUCCCUCUGCGACUACCGUGCGUGCGGUAGUACAGCUAUGCUCGGGCUGAAAGUGGGGGUAGCAGCUGGAUUCUUCCCCCCCCCACUAUAAAAAGGGGGUCUUCUUCCCCAAUGGUGAUCUAUCCAUUGAGCUCGUGUUCUUUCCCCAUUGUUGACCUUCUUCGAGCUUGCUAACUCUCAAUCCCUCCAAUGAUUCUUGCUCCUUUUUGAGGGAAAAGACAGAGGAGAUCUAGAUCCACAUUUCCAGCAAUCACUUUAUCCUCUAAGUGAGGGGAACCCCUUGGAUAUAGUUCUUGGUGUUCUUCUUUGUUCUUCCUCUCAUUCUCCACCAUAGAAUUAGUUGUUGUGGUGGGAUUUGGGAGUGAAGGAGUUGGGUACUCAGUGUGCCCUUGCCAUUGCAUUUGGUGCAUAGAUUUGAGUUCUCCACGGGGAUACGUGGAAGUCAAGUUUGAGAAGCUUAUUACACUUUGGUACUUGGUACCCUAGAGAUUGUUCUUCGUGGAUGCUUUGGCGUCCUAGUAGCUUGGUGGUGCCUUAGAGCUCAAUCAUUGUGUUGUAAAGCUCCAGGCAAGCGUGGGGGUCUCCAAUUAAGUUCUGGAGAUUACCCCGAGCAUUUGUGGUCACCUUGAAGCCAUAUGCUAUUGUGGUGAAGGUUCAUGGUGUUGUUGGGAGCCUCCAAUUAAGUUGUGGAGAUUGUCCCAACCUUGUUUAUACAGGUUCGGUGACCGCCCUCAAGGGUCCCUUAGUGGAAUCACGACAUCUUGCAUUGUGCGAGGGCGUGAGGAGAUUACAGUGGCGUUAGUGGAAUCUUGGGGAGCAUUGUGCCUCCAUGAUGACCCACAAGUGUAGGGGAUCUAUCGUAGUCCUUUCGAUAAGUAAGAGUGUCGAACCCAACGAGGAGGAGAAGGAACUGACAAGUGGUUUUCAGCAAGGUAUUCUCUGCAAGCACUGAAAUUAUCGGUAACAAAUAGUUGUGUGAUAAGAUGAUUCGUAGCAAGUAGCAAGUAACAAAAGUAACAAAGGUGCAGCAAAGUGUCCCAAUCCCUUUUGUAGCAACGGACAAGCCUGGACAAACUCUUAUAGUAGGAGAAACGCUCCCGAGGACACAUGGGAAUUUCUGUCAAGCUAGUUUUCAUCAUGUUCAUAUGAUUCACGUUCGCUACUUUGAUAGUUUGAUAUGUGGGUGGACCGGUGCUUGGGUGCUUCCCUUACUUGGACAAACAUCCCACUUAUGAUUAACCCCUCUCGCAAGCAUCCGCAACUACGAAAGAAGAAUUAAGACAAAGUCUAACCAUAGCAUUAAACUAGUGGAUCCAAAUCACCCCCUUACGAAGCAACGCAUAAACUAGGGUUUAAGCUUCUGUCACUCUAGCAACCCGUCAUCUACUUACUACUUCCCAAUGCCUUCCUCUAGGCCCAAAUAAUGGUGAAGUGUUAUGUCGUCGAUGUUCACAUAACACCACUUGAGGAAAAACAACAUACAACGCAUCAAAAUAUCGAACGAAUACCAAAUUCACAUGACUACUUAUAGCCAGACUUAUCCCGUGUCCUCAGGAACAAAAGUGACUACUCACAAAGCAUAAUUAUGUUCAUGACCAGAGAGGUAUUGAAUAGCAUCAAGGAUUUGAACAUAUAAUCUUCCACCGAGUAAUCCAACUAACAUCAACAACAAAGAGUAAUUAACACUACUAGCAACCUUACAAGUACCGAUCGGAGUCGCGAGACGGAGAUUGGUUACAAGAGAUGAACUAGGGUUUGGAGAUGAGAUGGUGCUGAUGAAGAUGUUGAUGGUGAUGUGUCUCCUCCGAUGAGAGGAGUGUUGGUGAUGACGAUGGCGGCUAUUUCCCCCACCGGGAGGGAAAUUUCCCUGACAGGACGACCCUGCGGAGCUCUAGAUUGGUUCUGCUCAAGUUCCGCCUCGUGGCGGCGGCGAAUCCUCCCGAAAGCCUCCUCCUAAUUUUUUUGGAAAAAAACCCUCCUUAUAGCAAAAGAUGGAAGCCAGAGGGGCAACAGGGGGCCCACAAGCCACCUAGGCGCGGCCAGGGGGGUGGGCCGCGCCUGGCAGGCUUGUGGCCUCCUGGUGGCUCCCCUCUGGUACUUCUUCCGCCCAGUAUUUUUUUUAAGUUCCAAAAUAAUUCCUCGUUGAUUUUCAUGGCUUUUGGAAUUGUGCAGAAUAGGUCUCUCAAACUUGCUCCUUUUGAGACCAGAAUUCCAGCUGCCGGCAUUCUCCCCUUCAUGUAAACCUUAUAAAAUAAGAGAGAAAAG